CAUGAAGUAGCGCAGCGCCUGGCAUCGGCACUGCUGCGGAAUGUUUGCAAGCUGCUCACAGCACUCCUGCUUGGCGAGGUACGGCGGCCCGGGCAUUUCGAUACGACAUGCUUGUUCUUCCACAUAGUUACGGCAGCUUGGGAGUGGAGUGAUCAGAGUACUCGUCCAUGGGGUGCAAUCUUCAUUGCCGACGGCGGCAACGGCGGCAAAGAUGAAGACUAGGAGGGCCGCGAAGAGGAGAUUGUAGUUGGACUUGGACGCCAUAUUUUUGGAUGGAGGCCAAGUUCGUUGGUGUGGUUUUUUCUUUUGCACUGCACUGGUGGGUGUAUGCUGCACGUACCACACUUGCAUGGAUAUAUACCCCGUGAAAAGUAAGAAAGGCAGUGCUGGUAGCAAUUAACUAAAUUUGUUGUGUUACAUAACGACGAUGGUGAACUAGAGUGCACUUAACUAAUUAGUUGGAACUGAAUUUGGAGGGGAAUGCAAGCUGGCUAUAGCGUGGGAAGCCGUGAGAGAUCCAUAGCCGCUAGAGCCUGCCUUUUGUGGUCAUGGUUGAUGUGGCAUUCUUUUCUUCUGUUGUCAAGUUGUCAUCAGUACUUGAAAGUGGAGCACCAAUUAAGCUAGCUAGUUUAUGCGUGGGAGUGUUGCUAAACCCAACAACGGACUUUGUUUUUGCAUCCUGUGAUAGAGCAAACAUGUGACGGCAGUGUGGGUGAGCAAAUUUGCAAAGCAUUGUUUUUGGAAUUAAUAGCAAAUCAAAGGUCUGCACAGAUAGACGGCUAUGACUCAAAACCUUUUUUCUUUUUGAAAAGGAGGAUACCCCUGGCCUCUCUGCCUCUGCAUCAUUAUGAUGCACACAAACCAUAUUUAUUAAACAAUGAGCAUCACGGUCUGGAUAUCAAAUAAACAAAAAGAAGCCACAACCCCUGAAAAUAGGAAUAUAUGCCUACACACAUAGCCUAUUAUUGAAACGUCGUCCAAACCGGUUUUAAUUAACCCGAGCAACUGCCUCCCACCGCUUGCGCCCAAUACUCAUAACCAUGCUGCAAUAAAGACAUGUACAGAUCCAUGUUGCAGCCCUGAAAAUGAUUUGCAAAAAGUUUUGUGCUUUGACUCUGUUAAACACAGUCAUCCCGGUAGUUCCAUAAAGCCCAAGGAAAAUCAUAAACUUCCGCCCGGAUAUGUGGCUUAACUUUAGGAUUAACCCCACCCAACAAGUUUCUGAACAAGUUUGUUAUACUAGUAGGUAGAGGGAUGCUAAUAGUCACAUGAAUCGUUUGUCAUAGCAAGGUGGCAAACGGGCAGGAAAUAAACAUAUGAUGAAUUGUUUCAUCCUUAUCACAAAAACAACAUCGUUAUGGCAAACCUUGUUUACAAAACAAACUAUCCAACUAUGUGAUUUCAGUUUCAGGCCAAUAACAGCCCCCGGACAUAGGCGCAUAGUACAAUGCGUUUGAUAUAGGAUAUUCAAAAAAAAAGAACGUAAGAUGAUUUUUAGAAUGUACUGUAAUACACACUAAACUCUAAAGACAAUACAUAUGCAUUGUUUACUAUGAUAAAUUCAUUAAUAUAUGGAUCAAGGAAGGUUCCGAAGGGUCAUAAGCAAUAGCUAAGACCACAAUAAGGCUAUAAAACCUGCAAGAUUAUGCAUGAACGAUUGUGUUAUCUCCUUUCCCCAUAAAAAUCUAGUCACCAUCCCGCUAAUUCCGUCAGUUUCAGUGUUGGGAAACUGGGAGACAAUGGAUCUUGAAGCUCGUGGAGAAUAUUGAUCUAUUUUCGGUUUUGGUGUCUUAGUUUCAUUUGCACGGACGGUAUGGAGGCGACGACACAAUGGAAUAAGAACAUUUGUCCACGUCCAUUCAUGGUAACACGGGUUCCAGCAUCAACAUAGGGCGCGUAAGGAUUGGUUUCCCGAGAUCUGAUCGAUCGGGUUGUGGUGAGAGUCAUUAACCACGAUGUUUUUGCCUCUUUUCACUGUCGCUUCUGUGGUCUCAUCAAUUAGAUCACGCGAUAACACUUUCAGCGCCUGUGUGGGAUUGGGUCUACUCAUCCGGUGUUCGCCUUCUCUAGGUCGAUAGAAUGUGCUUCACACCAUCGACGCUGGCAUCUCCUCUUGCAAUGCUCAACUACUUCUCACUCGCAGUUUUUUUUCCCAACAAAUGAUGGAUUUUAUUGGCUUAAAAUGGAGCAUCAAUAGGAUACAAACACAAUGCACACACCCGGUCUAUGCAUGGCUAUGAUGCAUGCAGUCAACACCAACCCACGCACACAAAAAGCACGACAGCAAAGAGCAAAGUCAUAUAAGACUAAAACUAAGCGUAGACGAGGAAAAUGAAAAGGAAACCCCAAACAGAUCAGAUCUGUGAUCGCAACCUACAUCAAUGACCAUAUCCGCACCAACCAUCUCAUGACACCACACUGACGAGGAGGUUCUUCAAUGAUUACAUGGCUCCAAUGAUGUCAACAUGUGAGGCGUUUAGCUAGGCUCAAGACGGGCCAUCAGCUUGUGAAGGUCAGAGACGGCGAUGAACUCCCCUUGGGUCUGUUUGUAAUCUUUAUUUUUGUCAUAGGUGUUCUUAUAAGGUUUGGAUUAGUUAAUAACUUGUAUAUGGCUUUGGCCCUUUACAAACAAAUUGAUCGAGUUGAAAUAUGGCUUUGGCCCUUUACAAACAAAUUGAUCGAGUUGAAAUAUGGCUUUGGCCCUUUACAAACAAAUUGAUCGAGUUGAAAUAUGGCUUUGGCCUUUGACAAAAUAAAUGACCGAGUGUGAACUGAGCGUAGCUCAGAUUGUUAGGUUCAUUCCGGUGGAAUCAGCCCACCAGGAUUCAAGUCCUAAACUUGGCACUGUUGCUCGUAUAUUUCUGGAUUUAUUUCAGCCUUUCCGGUGAUGCUCGCUCAUCGGGAGGAGACGUUCCCGUUGACUACGGAGGCGUCUGUGCUGACUUUAUCAAUCUCAGGAUGUUAUGUCGGCUUAGUAUCUCGGAUGUGCUCAUAGGGCAGGGUGUGCAUGUCAUACAGGUGAUAGUAUAUGCGUGUAUGUGAGCAUCUGCGUUGUGUCGUGUUAAAAAAAAUUGAUCGAGUUGAAAUUAAAGAACCACAAAAUGGUUCUCUUUAUUCUCAUUCAUAGCAGAUAGCCCACACAUGUUGAGCGCGCGGAGCUCACAUAUGCAUGCAUGCACACCACACGCCUAUGGAUGCAACAUGCAUGCUUAUUCACGAACGACUGAUUUUAUCUCUAGAUCCACAGAAGCUGUUCCACGGCGGGGCAGUAUCGAACAUUGUGAAUGGUCGCCAAGUUGCACUGCCCCGGGGCAACAAGUAAUCUGACAAAGUCCCAUUGCAUCUGCCUGGGGCAUCCGGGCAGGUCGAUGAGGCCGCUCUCACCGACAUUGCCGGACCUCGGGUCCACGGGCUGAGACGGUACCGGCAACGCUAUGAAGUAGCGCAGCGCCUCGCACCGGCACUGCUGAGGAAUUUCUGCGAGCUCCUGGCAGCAAUACAACUUGGCGAGGUAUGGCUUCAUGGGGGAGAAUAUUGACGCGGAUGUCAUCCAUUCGGGUAACUUCGACCCGGGGGUGAAGGUGCCACAAGUUUGUUGUAACACAUAGUCGCGGCAGUGUGGCAGAAGAUCGGUCCGAAAAGCCACCCCUGGGACGCAGCUGCCGGAGGCGGAAGCAGCGGCGACGACGGAGAGCAGGACGGCGGCCAAGAGGAGGAGGUUGCAGCUGGACUUGCACGCCAUGGUAUUCUAGCCAAGUCUGGUUCGCUGGUGUAGUUCCUUGAGUGUAUGCUGGAUGCACCACACAAUACAUGCUUGCAUAUAUAUAGUACCCAAAAAAUGUUAUCGAAGGCAGAUUUGUUAGCAAUCAAUAGCUAAAUUUGUUGUGUUAUACUAGGACGGUUGUGAUGAGCUAGAGUGCACUUAAUUGAUUGGUUGCAACAGAAUUUGGAGGGGAAUGCAAGCUGGCUUUUGCGUGGAAGCAGUGAGAGAUUCCUAGCCGCUCGAACCUAGCUUUUCUCGUCAUGGUUGAUGUGGGAUCUUUUCGCAUGCUAGCUGCUCAUUUAUCUCGUCAAUUAAGCUAGCUUAUUAUGCAUGCGGGUGUUGCUAAACCAACAACGGAGUUGGGUUUUGCAUGCAGUUCGCGAACAUGUGACGUACGACUGUGCGUGUGAGCAACUCCCCUUUGGAAAUCAUUUUUCGAGUUAAUAACAAAGCACAAAAGACAUAAAGCAAUUACCUUACUGCUUGCUGGGGAUAUUUUCUCACCUUCUUCGUGUCCAAACACGGAAAUAAACUUGACUGGUACCGUUAGUAAAUCAUGAUGUUAGCGAGCACCAACCAAUCGACUUGUCUCGAAUACUUGACCUAUUUGGAUUAAUUCUUUAAUUUUCAAAAGACUUAACACAACCUAAACCGACAACAAUAUUCCUCUAACUCCUAGAAUAAUUUGGGAGCUCUAAAUGAACAUGUUCCUCAAUAAUUGGGACUUGGGAGAUUUUUCUAACUCCAAAUCCUUAACUCGCAAUAAUUUUUUUGGCGGGAGAACGUUUAUUUCCCUAACCGCCACUGCCACCAAAGUCGUCGCUUGCACUGCUUCAGCCACACCGCCUUGCGCGUCCCCGCCCAUUUCUGGAUGCAGUUCCACAUAUCUCAUACUCCCGAGCCUUCUUGGCUUCCGCCACUGAGUUGGAGCUCGUGGUUGUCGCGCCACGCUGACAUAGCUCCCCAUAGUUGGAGCUCGUGUGUUACAAUCUUGGAUGUAUCAACUAUAUAAAAUGUACACAAAUUAUUUUUAUGACUAUGUGUAUAAGUGGACUAACCAAAUCUCAUCAUUAUGCUUCUUAUUAUGUGACACCUUAUUUACGAAAUAUGUUACUGGUGAACCUAUGAACCAUGGUCAGUUUCUACAAAAAAACACUCCAAAAAAAUACUAGUUAAUAAAAUGGACAACGUGUGCCAGAUUGCUAAAAGUACCACACGACUCUUCUCCCUUCGAUCCCACCUCCUCCCGAGCCCCUCCUUCGAUCCCAUCUUCUCCAGUUUUUUUCGGGCCUGUAGGAGCCCCUCCUUCGAUCCCAUCUUCUCCAGUUUUUUUCGGGCCUGUAGUUUAAAAUAGGCAAAAAAAAUAGCGUUCAAGGGGAAUUGAACCCAGACACUUCCGUACAAAUCUAAGCUGCAACAUCCAGCUGCACUAGACCUCUUAACUGAUUAUGUUCAACUUACAUACUAGUUAUAUAUUUCUGAGACGAGAAUAAACAAAAAAGGCAGUGAUUAGUAACUGAAAAUCCAAACCGGCAGCCUCACUUGUACGGGUUUUAGAACAAUGCGCCCUAGUUUUAUCAUUUUUUCUGCACGUUUCACAUGGUUCACAAACCCGGGCGUCCUCUUCACUCCUUUUCAGAUGCAAAAUAUCAUGAUGUUUGCACGUAAGUUAUCAGGUACGAAGUUUUAGUGUUGCCAUGUUUUCCUCACUCUAGUUUUUGGGUAUGUUUCUCAAUAGCUUUUUCCCUGUUUGUACUUAAAUUAUCAGGUAUGGGCUUCGUAUAUUACCANNNNNNNNNNNNNNNNNNNNNNNNNNNNNNNNNNNNNNNNNNNNNNNNNNNNNNNNNNNNNNNNNNNNNNNNNNNNNNNNNNNNNNNNNNNNNNNNNNNNNNNNNNNNNNNNNNNNNNNNNNNNNNNNNNNNNNNNNNNNNNNNNNNNNNNNNNNNNNNNNNNNNNNNNNNNNNNNNNNNNNNNNNNNNNNNNNNNNNNNNNNNNNNNNNNNNNNNNNNNNNNNNNNNNNNNNNNNNNNNNNNNNNNNNNNNNNNNNNNNNNNNNNNNNNNNNNGGUCAAUAUUACCAUGGUGUUUGCAUGUAAGUAAUCAGAUCUGCAGUGUGUAAAUUAUCAUGUUAUUUAGACAGAAGUUAUCGUGUGUUCAUCAAAGAAAUUCACUUGGGCAAAUUUACUAUGGUGUUUUGUACCAAAGUUAUCAUGUUUGAGGUGUGUAAAUCAUCAUGCUAGGUACAUAGAAGGUACUGCGUGUACAUUUUCAACAAUUUUUUCACCCCCAGGUCAGAAAAGUUACCAUGAUGUUUAUACACAAGUUAUCAGAUCUGCAUGAGUAAAUUAUCAUACUAUUUACACAAAGGUUAUCAGGGAUAUGUUUAUAACAACUUUUCCACUGGGUCAAAAAUUACCGUGGUGUUUGUACGAAUAUUAUCACGAUUGUGGUGUGUAUAUUACUGUGUUAUUUACACACAAUUUAUAGGGGUAUGUUUCAACAUCUUUUUCUCUGAGUCAAAAGUUAACACGGUACGUGUUUUUACUAAGUUAUCAUGUCUGCGGUGUGUGAAUUACCAUUCUAUUUACAUAGAAAUUAACGGGGAUUAUUUUCUCGAUAAUUUUUUACCUAGUCGAACUUUUUCCUUAUUUGGUCAAUGUUAUCGAGGUAUUUACAUCCAGGGUAUCAGAUAUGCAGUUUGUAUAUUACCAUGCUAUUUACACAUAAUUUAUCUAGGGUAAGUUUUUGAACAACUCUUUCCCCUGAUCAAAGUACCGAGGUGUGUAUGUAAGUUAUUAGGUCUGCGGUUCAUAUAUUAUCAUGCUACUUACACUGAAGUUACCAGAGGUAUGUUUUAACAAACUUGUUUCUCCGUGGACGAAAAGUUACCGUGGUGUUUGUACAUAAGUUAUCACGUCUAUUCUAUGCACAUGACCAUGCUAUUUGCACUGAAGUUACCAGAGGGGUAUGUUUUCCAAAAACUUCUUUCUUCGGGGUUAAAAAGUUACUAUGGUGUUUAUACAUAAAUUAUCACUUGUGAUAUGUGCAUAUUACCAUGCUAUUUGCACAAAAGUUAAUGGGGUGUAUGUUUUCCAACAACUUUUCUCCCGGAUCAAAAAGUUACCGUGAUAUGUAUACGUAGGUUAUCAACUCUGUUGUGUGUGUAUUACCAUGUUAUUUACACAAACUUAUCCGGAGUAUGUUUUAACAAAAAAUUCUAGCUCAAACUAUCACUGUUUUUGUAUGUAAGUUAUCAGGUUUUCUGUGUAUGUACUACCGAGUUAUUUACACAGGACUUACUGGGGUAAAUAGUUCAGAGAAAAAAAUGUUUUAGAACUAGCGAUAUCCUAAACAGCGUGCAUCAAAAGAGAUGGAAGUUCAAAAUAAAAUGUCGUUGCCUUCUUGUUCUCUAUCGGCAGUAGAAAAAAAUUCACAAUCUAAAACAAAUGUAGGCCUACAUGGAACAUCAAGACGUGUCGGAGUGUCCCAGCUUGAGUACCUGCUUCAUGGGAGAUAGGUUCAAAUGAGGUUCAGAAGAAUGUUCAGAUUCUGAUGCAAGAAAAAUAGCAGUUGUAAGUGGGGUAGUAGCUUUUUUGCAUCAAUGGUGAAGUGCAUCAGUAGGGAAUGUCCAAAAUUCACACGAGGGAGAGAAAGAGAGAUGGUGAUGGAGAUAGAGCAGCAGCCUGCAUCGGUUGAAGGGACGUCCAUAUCAACAUGCGUCUGUCAGCAGCACUUGAACUUUUAUCCCGAUUUUCCUCUGAAACUGCAACCUACUACAAGCAGCAGUGCAUCUUCUUCUCCGCCGAUGAGGGGCAAGCCUGGUUGAUGUCUCUCAGUUGACAUGUCCAAAAAACAAUCCAGUAGCAGGUGUGUGUAGUGUUGGAACGAACCACGCGAUGGAUCGGAGUGAAUGCGGAUCGAGCGACCAAAUUUAGCUGGUGUGGAACCUACGACCAGGCUGCCAAACCAGUAGUACACAUACGUGCGUGUUGUGAUCUAAAAACAUCCUCCCGGAGAUUGAGACAGGCCGAGCUCAAACAUGUCAACCGAGAAGAAGCAUGUUUCAGUUCAUAGGAUGAGCUCAACCCUCUCUCAAUUAACAUGUUAAACCAUAGAUUAAAAUCGCGGGAGAAAUGAUUUCGCGGCGGCCUCUCCCAGCAGCUAUAGCGGCCGCCGUAGCGGGCAAUCGCGGCAAAUAGCGGAAAUUUUUCUGGUGGGGGAGAUGAUUCUGGAGGGAUUUGUUGAUUGUUGAGCCAUUUAUAGGGAUAUGUGGAGGAUUUCGCGGCAGCAGCCAUAGCGUAGCGGCGAGGCUCCCGGGCAGCUAUAGCGCAGCUAUCGCGGCUAUUUUGCGGGCUAUUUUAAUCUAUGUGUUAAACACAGGGGAAAAUCCAGGGCGACGAUGGAGAGGCCGAGCUCCCUGAGGUUGGGGAAGGUGGCGGAGCAUGGGACGGCGACUGUGUUCGGGAGUGUCCAGGCACUGAGGAAGAAGUGUGUGAGGCGCGUAGCAGAAGAGCAUGACCGUCAGCGCACGUUGGAGAACAGGAGAGGGCGGCGAUGGGAGUCCUCGACGGAGAAGCACUGGGGCAGGCUGCGUUGGUGAGGUCGUGCACGCCUGCGCAGUCGCCGGAGUUCAGGAGCCGGGUGGGACGGGGCUGGAAGCUCUGCCGACGGCGUCAGCCCCUGGGCAUCCACUUCCCAGGAGCAGGCGAUGCUGGUGCGGGGGUCGCCGAAGCCUGGGAGGGGCGGCGCGAGGCAGGCGGUGGCAGUGUGCAGCGGUAUGACGACGGUGGCCGAUGGAGAGCAGGCGGCGCGCGUGAGGUAGUGCGGCGGCGGCACGAGGUAUGUCAGGAGGUUGAGGAAGGGCCCCGUUUUUCUCAGGUGCGGGGACGACCCAGUCUUGCGGGACGAGGAUGCAAACGAGCUUCACGGGACGAAGAAAAAAGGUGAUGUGCGAUGCGGAUCGAACGUCAAACGAACCGUGUGGCAGUUUUGCAAAAACAAUUACUGUUGCCAUAUACAUAUUUUGUAUUUAUAUUUAUUAACUAUUCCUACCAGAGUUCUAUAAAUCUAAUGCAAUCACAAUCACCUUCCUUUACAAGCUGAACAUUCAGGAAUUUAGCAAAAGUGAUCUUAUACAUCCGAGGAAACUAAGUAACCAAUGGUGAUCCAUUCACAGAGAAAUAUUUUUAGAUCAUGGUUUUAAGUUCAUUGUCAAUUAUUCUCUCAUGAAUCUUCCGAAAAAUAUGGUUAAGUACCAUGCCCUCUCCCUCAGUUAAAAUGUACCAGAAAAUGUGAGGCAUUUGAUCUUUCCUGCGCAACACUUGAUUUUGUGAGUAUUUUGUUGUUGUUAGCAUAGUCUAUUAGGUGUUUUGAGUGUUUUCUUAUUUUUCACAACCAUUUAGUUAUAAGAUUGUAAUUUAGAGUGUCCAGAUCCAGAAUUCCAGGCACCACAUAAUCCUUUCGCAAAUAAAAUAUAGGCUUGUUAAACCGGUGACACUUCCUUGUAUCUUUGUUUUGCAAAGGAUACUUCCUUUUAUCUUGAAUAUCUUGCACUAGCCUUCUUGGUCUACACUCACUCCUUUUGAUGCUUCUAGGAAUGAGAACAUGUACAAUGGUACACUACUCAUGCAAGUGUUAGUAAGUACAACCCUGCCUCUGGUAGAUAUGAUAUUACCUUUCCCUCCUAAAAGCUUAUUAUCCACCCUUUCAUGUAUUGGCUCCCUUUUUAUGUUCAUUUUUAAAGAUAGCUCACCACUCAUGCGGAAUGGUCAUGUAUUGGCUCCCGCUAAACAUUACUCAAUAUUUUGACAUCAUUGGAAUACCUAAGUAAAUAAAAAGGCAAUGUCAUAGUAUUGCAAGUGAAGAUUUUACUAUAGUGAUCCUCUCUUUCACAUGCCUCUCCCAGAUAUAAAUUUUACUUUUGUGAGCAUAUAAUUUCAAUCUAGAGUUUUGUUAAAAAAAACACAAAGGAUAGACUUCAUUUAAAUCCACAUUACUCCUAACUCAAUGUAUACAAGGUGUACUGGAUUCACACCUCUCUUUGGACGCUGUACCAUUAAAGAUUACUUAACAACCGCCAUGAGUGAUUGCUCUACCAACAGAUUCAUGUCCUUGUUGGUCAACCAGAAUGUCUCUUGGACAUGGUCCUCAAUCAGAGAUUCGUUUUCACAUCCGGGGGAAGAAGUUUUGACUCCCAAGCUAAUGUGUGUACGCGGAUGAGUAGUUAAAUCUGAAAAGAAAAGGUGAUUGUUUUACAAAACAUGCUUGUGUAUUCUACUUGUAUGUAACUCUUAAUGAAGUAAUAACGUUCCACGUGCUCUAGAUGAAAGAAAAAAAAAACAGUACAAUGAAAGGCUAUUUCUCAAGUUUUGAGUGUGGGUGGAUCCUAUUCACCGAAUACUGCGCAAUCACGCACCUUGACAAGAGUUGCGCUGAUAUAACGGGCCAACCAAAUUUUCGGUUGUAGUGUAUGUUUGCCACCAUGGUGGAAAGGUUCUGUUCAAGAACCUUCCCUGAAUUUUUUUGGGCCUGUGUUUUUGGGUCUUUUCGGUGUUAUUUUUUUCUAUUUUUAUUUUUCACUUUUUCCCUUUUGUCAUUUUAAAAGUCACAACUAUUUUUUGAAUUUGCGAAUAUUUCUAAAAUUCAUGAACAUUUUUUCCAAUUCAUAAAUAAUUUUUGAAAUCAUGAACAUUUUUCAAAUUCACAAAUGUUUUUGAAUUCAUGUUUUAUUCCAAAUUCACGAAGAUAUUUUUGAAUUUGCUGGCAUUUUUUAAUUCAGGAACACUUUUUAAUACACAAAAUUUCAAAUUCACGAAAUUUUUUUCAAAAUUGUGCAUAUCUUACGAAUUCAACAACAUUAUUUUGAAUUCAUAAAUAAGUUUUGAGUUGGCGAACAUUUUUCAAAUUCAUGAUUUUUUUCCAGUAUUGUGAUUUAUUUAAUUCCUGAAUAUUUUUAGAAUUUAAGAACAUUUUUCAAAAUUUGUAUAUUUGUGAAUUUGUAAACAUUUAAAAACUUGAUGGCACUUUAUUAGUUUAAAGCAUGGAUUCUAAAUUCCGAGUCUCUUCGUGUGUGUGGGCGAAGAGAGCUAUAAAUAGCUCAUAGGGUGAAGGAGGCUCCGGCCAGAAUCGGUUGUCGUGGGGAUGAAAUAAAUAAAGCUACGAAGCGCAAAUAAUAUAGCGGCAUGUGGCAAAGGGGCUCUUCAGCAUGGAAAGUUCCUGCAGAGGCCGAGCUCCAUUGAGCUUUUUAUUUUUCUUUCAACGAAACACUUUUUCUACAUCUCAAAAAAAUCUUUAAAAAAUAUACAUGUAUACAUAUAUUUAUAGAAUAUAUGUACAAAAUUCAUGAACAUAUUCAUAUGUGAUGUACACAAAAAAAGGUAAAUGCACAUAUUAAAAUGGGCUUUUACUGGUUGUAUUGGGCCAGAUAUUUGUCUUUAUUGGGUAGCAUGCAAAUAAUCAAAUUAGUUGAUGAAUUUUUUUUCUUCCCUCAAAAAAAAGUUGAUGGAUUUUUUUUGCGAGAAAGUUGAUGAAAUUUUACACAUACUUGAAUACUAUGCAUAUGUGUUUGUAUUAAAGAAAAUGACAUUUUUUGAAACUUCUAAAUAUAUUUAGAUUUUUUUUGAAAAAAGAGCUCCAGUGCCGUUCUCCUCUUCAGCAGAGAUAUAAAUAGCACGGCGGUCCCCAAAAUAAUUUUAAAAAAUAGCACGGCGCACAGUACACGACAUUGCCCCGGCCUGUGGUCACAUCGCACUGUGGCACUGCGCGCACGUACGUGCGGCCAUCUCGCCCAGUAUCGGACCCCCACCUAACUCCUAUAGGGCGUCCGGUCAUACAGCGCCGCGUUAAUGGCGCUGACGGCGACACGCAGCGUCACCUACGUACGGCCGUGUUCCGGGCGGGCGUACGAUCACGGUUGCCGUCGUCGCCGUGGGCGUGGCCCGGGGGACAAUGGGACGGACUCCCUCACCCACAAAACCGGGCGAAACGCACGGCGCGUGACCCCGGGGUACGUAAAAAAGGGUGUCCAGCCCAGCGCACGGAGCACGUACGCAAUGAUCGGAAAAGCGCCCAGCUCUCAGCGAAUCCGGCAAAACGUCUCCAUCCUGGCAAUUUCAAGCUAUGCAUCACUCGUUAUCACCCAAGGAUAUGCUUUUGGAAGUUAACCCGCUGUAAGCUUCCGUCACACACCGGGUUGUUUAAUCCCGGCUCGGCUGUCAGUGCACAUGAGGGCAUUUUAUUUUCAUUCUUGUCUAUUUAUUUUUUUAAAUGUACCCCCACGUGCUCCAUUGAGGAAACCCUUUGGUGGCUCUAGCUACUCAUUGCCAGGAGGUACAAGAAGAGGAUCGGCAGGCCGACGGCGCGGCUGAUGAAUUGGUGGUUUUGCUUUCCUUGUACGGAUGAGUUGUUAAUUGCGGCAGUGGUGACACGACAUGGUGGAGUGGAGUUGCCCGUGCGUUGUGCGUGCCAGGUAACCAUCACCGUAUAAAAAUGCGAAAGCUAUAUGGAAAAGAAACUUCUCGCGGUUGGAUGGUUAGAGAGACUCUAAUAUCUAAUAUCUCAGUCCACCAGAGUUUAAGUCCUGAUGCUCGCAUUUAUUUUUGAAUUUAUUUCAGAAUUUUCGGUGAUGCAUAUUCAGUGGGAGGAGACGUUUCCGUCGACGACGAGGUGCCUACGGUGACUUCGUAAAUUUCAGGAUGAUAUGUCGGCUCAGUCUUUCGGAGGUGCCCCUAGGCCUAGGGGUUAGGGUGUGUGUGCGUUCAUAGCGGUGAGUGUAUGCGCGUGUAUAUGAGCUAUACCUGGCAAUACCUCGGGCCGGGCCGGGCCUAGCCAAGCCCGACGCAAAAAACCCGGGCCCGGCCCAGCCAUCAGGCAUGGUUUUUGGGCCCAAGCCUGGCCCGCACGUGUAAAAGCCCGCCGAGCCCCUUCAGGAAAACGCGAAAACGACGGGCCCGGUCCCGGCCUGGCCUUCGGGCUCAAAAUCUAGGCCCGGACCCGAUCCGAGAGCAACGCCGGGCCGGGCCGGGCUGCCCAUAGCCAGGACUAAUAUGAGCGUUUGCGUUUGUACUGUGUUAAAAAAAUAGAUAUAGACUCUUUUUUUUUGCGGGAAAUAGAUAUAGACUCAGCUAAAAAAAAAACUUCCCGCAAAAAAACCAUAUGGAAAAGAAACGUAAAAGGUUUAGUACAAAACACUGCUCGGAAAAACAGAUGAGGAAACAGUCUUGCAUCCAUCGAACCGGUGACUGGCCUGGCCAGACCAGACCAGGUCGCGGUAGACCCGAGAAAAUACUGAUGCCGCGUUGACAGUCUGAUGUUGCACCAAAAAUCCAACCCUUGGUGGUGAACAAAGAAUGGCGUUGAGAUACAGGCGACCAAGGAAUCGGGUGUCGUACGUAACAUAACGUAGUACAGCUUUCGUUGGUUUCUCAAGACCGGAAGUACCGAAAUCAUUAAUUAAACCCGUUAAGCUACGUAUGAAAGGGCGGCCAACCAGCUAUGCCACGUGGCAUAAGCAGAUUGGCCGCGGUGAGAAAGCUUUUGAAAAAAAGUAAAGGUGUGGAUUAUUUUUUAAAUAUAUAUUUUUUCUUUUUAGAUGGAGGUGAGGACCUUUGGUAUUUUUUAAAUGGAGGGUUAUGCAAAGUGACACUCACUGGUAGGCUGCGGUGGUAGUAAUUUUUUUUAACUUUUUUAGAAGAUUUUUUUUUAAGAUGUUUUUUUAGACGGAGGCGAGGACUCUAUGCAAUUUUUUAAAAUGGAAACAUGCGCGCAGUAACCUCACAAGCGGCGUUACAGGGUGGCGCCCCAACCAUUAGUUCAUUUCCAAAGUAGAGCAAUCGAUGCCUUUGUACGGGACAAACCGUCGGUCUCGGGUGCCGGUGGCCCGACGCUUUCGAAAGCAAGGAGAAGUUGCCCCGACGGAAAGAGAUGGAACGGUCGCCGGAUGCACGGGAGUUUGCCGAUGGGCCUUAAAGCAUCUACAGCCGGACCCUUCAAACUCUUCUUAAACGCUUGAGCGGGCCGUCUGGUCACUGUCCGCGCACGUUUUUACAAUCCAGACGGACGCUUCAGACGGGUCUCAAACUCUCAAACGCCCAGACUGACCGGCACCUCCCAUAUCCAGUCCAAAUAUGGGGUGGACCGGGCACGGCUGGGCGCGUCUGCCUGACAAGCCCGGCCCACCACCGACCCCACGGAUGUCCCACAAAAAAACCCAUUGGGCUCAUCGCUCUGAAACUCUAGCUCACUCACUCUCCUCUCUCACUCAGUCCUCAACUCUUCCCGCACCGAUUUCGAUCGGAUCCGGCAAAAUGUCGAGCUCCGGCAGGCGCUCCGACGACGAGCUGGAUCUGGAGUAUGAGCUAUCCCUCCGCAUCGCCUUCGAGCGAUCCAAGGUGGAGACCGGGGGCAGCUCCGGAUCUGCAGCCUCGCCGCAGCUUCCCCGUCGGCACAGCUCAGACGCUGGCGCUGGCCCCUCCCGGCUCGGGGGCAGCUCCGACGGGUGGCCUGCGCAAUUCGCGCCUCCCCUACUGUUAGGGAACAUAGUAAUUUCAAAAAAAAUCCUACGCACACGCAAGAUCAUGGUGGUGCAUAGCAAUGAGCGGGAGAGUGUUGUCCACGUACCCUCGUAGACCGUAAGCGGAAGCGUUUUAUCAACGUGGUUGAUGUAGUCGUACGUCUUCACGAUCCGACCGAUCCAAGUACCGAACGCACGGCACCUCCGAGUUCAGCACACGUUCAGCUCGGUGACGUCCCACGAACUCACGAUCCAGCAGAGUGUCGAGGGAGAGUUUCGUCAGCACGACGGCGUGAUGACGGUGAUGAUGAAGCUACCGGCGCAGGGCUUCGCCUAAGCACUGCAAUGAUAUGACCGAGAUGGAUUAUGGUGGAGGAGGCACCGCACACGGCUAAGAGAUCAAUGAUCAACUUGUGUGUCUAUGGGGUACCCCCUGGCCACGUAUAUAAAGGAUGGAGGGAGGAGGAGGCCGGCCCUCAUAGGGCGCGCCCAAAGUGUGGAGUCCUACUAGGACUUACUAGUCCUAGUAGGAUUCCACCUCCCACAUGGAAUAGGAAAAGGGGAAGGGAGAAGGAGAAGGAAGGAAGGGGGCGCCCCCUUUCCUAGUCCAAUUCGGACCAGUCCAUGGGGAAGGGGCGCAGCCACCCUUGAGGCCUUUCUCUCCUUUCCCGUAUGGCCCAUUAAGGCCCAAUACGAAUUCCCGUAACUCUCCGGUACUCCAAAAAUACCCGAAUCAUUCGGAACCUUUCCGAUGUCCGAAUAUAGCCUUCCAAUAUAUCGAUCUUUACGUCUCGACCAUUUCGAGACUCCUCGUCAUGUCCCACAUCUCAUCUGGGAUUCCGAACAAACUUCGGUCAUCAAAUCACAUAACUCAUAAAACAAACCGUCACAGAACGUUAAGCGUCCGGACCCUACGGGUUUGAGAACUAUGUAGACAUGACCGAGACACGUCUCCGGUCAAUAACCAAUAGCGGAACCUGGAUGCUCAUAUUGGCUCCUACAUAUUCUACGAAGAACUUUAUCGGUCAAACCGCAUAACAACAUACGUUGUUCCCUUUGUCAUCGGUAUGUUACUUGCCCGAGAUUCGAUCGUCGGUAUCUCAAUACCUAGUUCAAUCUCGUUACCGGCAAGUCUCUUUACUUGUUCCGUAAUGCAUCGUCCCGCAACUAACUCAUUAGUCACACUGCUUGCAAGGCUUAUAGUGAUGUGCGUUACCGAGAGGGCCCAGAGAUACCUCUCCGACAAUCGGAGUGACAAAUCCUAAUCUCGAUCUAUACCAACUCAACAAGUACCAUCGGAGACACCUGUAGAGCACCUUUAUAAUCACCCAGUUAUGUUGUGACGUUUGGUAGCACACAAAGUGUUCCUCCGGUAUUCGGGAGUUGCAUAAUCUCAUAGUCAUAGGAACAUGUAUAAGUCAUGAAGAAAGUAAUGGCAACAUACUAAACGAUCAAGUGCUAAGCUAACGGAAUGGGUCAAGUCAAUCACGUUAAUCAAAUAACAACUCAUGUCUAUGGCUAGGAAACUUAUCCAUCUUUGAUUCAACAAGCUAGUCAAGUAGAGACAUACUAGUGACACUUUGUUUGUCUAUGUAUUCACACAUGUACUAAGUUUCCGGUUAAUACAAUUCUAGCAUGAAUAAUAAACAUUUAUCAUGAAAUAAGGAAAUAAAUAAUAAAUUUAUUAUUGCCUCUAGGGCAUAUUUCCUUCAGUCUCCCACUUGCACUAGAGUCAAUAAUCUAGUUCACAUCGCCAUGUGAUUUAACACCAAUAGUUCACAUCACCAUGUGAUUAAAACCCAUAGUUCACAUCGUCAUGUGACCAACACUCAAAGGAUUUACUAGAGUCAGCAAUCUAGUUCACACUGUCAUGCGAUUAACACCCAAAGAGUACAAAGGUGUGAUCAUGUUUUGCUUGUGAGAGAAGUUUAGUCAACGGGUCUGCCAAAUUCAGAUCCGUAUGUAUAUUGCAAAUUUCUAUGUCAACAAUGCUCUGCACGGAGCUACUCUAGCUAAUUGCUCCCACUUUCAAUACGUAUCCAGAUUGAGAUUUAGAGUCAUCCGGAUCAGUGCCAAAACUUGCAUCGACGUAACUCUUUAUGAUGAACUUUUUGUCACCUCCAUAACCGAGAAACAUAUCCUUAUUCCACUAAGGAUAAUUUUGACCAAUGUCCAGUGAUCUACUCCUAGAUCACUAUUGUACUCGCUUGCCAAACUCAGGGUAAGGUAUACAAUAGGUCUGGUACACAGCAUGGCAUACUUUAUAGAACCUAUGGUUGAGGCAUAGGGAAUGACUUUCAUUCUCUCUCUAUCUUCUGCCAUGGUCGGGUUUUGAGUCUUACUCAACUUCACACCUUGCAACACAGGCAAGAACUCUUUCUUUGACUGUUCCAUUUUGAACUACUUCAAAAACUUGUCAAGGUAUGUACUUAUUGAAAAAACUUAUCAAGCGUCUUGAUCUGUCUCUAUAGAUCUUGAUGCUCAAUAUGUAAGUAGCUUCACCGAGGUCUUUCUUUGAAAAACUCCUUUUAAACACUCCUUUAUGCUUUCCAGAAAAUUCUACAUCAUUUCCGAUCAACAAUAUGUCACUCACAUAUACUUAUCAGAAAGGCUGUAGUGCUCCCACUCACUUUCUUGUAAAUACAGGCUUUACCGCAAGUCUGUAUAAAACUAUAUGCCUUGAUCAACUCAUCAAAGCAUAUAUUCCAACUCUGAGAUGCUUGCACCAGUCCAUAGAUGGAUCGCUGGAGCUUGCACACUUUGCUAGCACCUUUAGGAUUGACAAAACCUUCUUGUUGUAUCAUAUACAACUCUUCUUUAAGAAAUCCAUUAAGGAAUGCAGUUUUGACAUCCAUUUGCCAGAUUUCAUCAAAUGUGGCAAUUGCUAACAUGAUUCGGACAGACUUAAGCAUUGCUACGAGUGAGAAAAUCUCAUCGUAGUCAACACCUUGAACUUGUCGAAAACCUUUUUGCGACAAUUCGAGCUUUGUAGAUAGUAACACUACUAUCAGCGUCCGUCUUCCUCUUGAAGAUCCAUUUAUUCUUAAUGGCUUGCCGAUCAUUGGGCAAGUCAACCAAAGUCCAUACUUUGUUCUCAUACGUGGAUCCCAUCUCAGAUUUCAUGGCCUUAAACCAUUCUGCGGAAUCUGGGCUCAUCAUCGCUUCCUCAUAGUUCGUAGGUUCGUCAUGCUCAAGUAACAUGACCUCCAGAACAGGAUUACCGUACCACUCUGGUGCGGACCGUACUCUGGUUGACCUACGAGGUUCGGUAGUAACUUGAUCUGAAGUUUCAUGAUCAUCAUCAUUAAUCUUCCUCACUAAUUGGUGUAGGCAUCACUGGAACUGAUUUCUGUGAUGAACUAUUUUCCAAUUCGGGAGAAGGUACAAUUACCUCAUCAAGUUCUACUUUCCUCCCACUCACUUUUUUCGAGAGAAACUCCUUCUCUAGAAAGGAUCCAUUCUUAGCAAUGAAUAUCUUGCCUUCGUAUCUGUGAUAGAAGGUGUACCCAACAGUCUUCUUUGGGUAUCCUAUGAAGACUCAUUUCUUCGAUUUGGGUUGAAGCUUAUCAGAUUGAAGCUUUUUCACAUAAGCAUCGCAGCCCCAAACUUUAAGAAACAACAACUUUGGUUUCUUGCCAAACCACAGUUCAUAUGGCGUCGUCUCAACGGAUUUAGAUGGUGCACUAUUUAACGUGAAUGCAGCUGUCUCUAAUGCAUAACCCCAAAACGAUAGUGGUAAAUCGGUAAGAGACAUCAUAAAUCGCACCAUAUCUAAUAAAAUGCGGUUACGAUGUUCGGACACACCAUUACGCUGUGGUGUUCCAGGUGGCGCGAGUUGCGAAACUAUUCCGCAUUGUUUCAAAUGAAGACCAAACUCGUAACUCAAAUAUUCUCCUCCACGAUCAGAUCGUAUAAACUUUAUUUUCUUGUUACGACGAUUUUCCACUUCACUCUGAAAUUCUUUGAACUUUUUAAAUGUUUCAGACUUAUGUUUCAUCAAGAAGAUAUAACCAUAUCUGCUCAAAUCAUCUGUGAAGGUCAGAAAAUAAUGAUACCUGCCACGAGCCUUAAUACUCAUCGGACCGCAUACAUCGAUAUGUAUUAUUUCCAAUAAGUCAGUAGCCCAUUCCAUUGUUCCGGAGAACGGAGUUUUAGUCAUCUUACCCAUGAGGCAUGGUUCGCAAGCAUCAAAUGAUUCAUAAUCAAGUGAUUCCAAAAGCCCAUCAGCAUGGAGUUUCUUCAUACGCUUUACACCAAUAUGACCUAAACGGCAGUGCCACAAAUAAGUUGCACUAUCGUUAUUAACUUUGCAUCUUUUGACUUCAAUAUUAUGAAUAUGUGUAUCACUACGAUCGAGAUCCAACAAACUAUUUUCAUUGGGUGUAUGACCAUCGAAGGUUUUAUUCUUAUAAACAGAAUAACAAUUAUUCUCUGAUUUUAAAUGAAUAAACGUAUUGCAAUAAACAUGAUCAAAUCAUAUUCAUGCUUAACGCAAACACCAAAUAACAUUUAUUUAGGUUCAACACUAAUCCCGAAAGUAUAGGUAGUGUGCGAUGAUGAUCAUAUCAAUAUUGGAACCACUUCCAACACACAUCGUCACUUCACCCUUAACUAGUCUUUGUUCAUUCUGCAACUCCCGUUUCAAGUUACUACUCUUAGCAACUGAACCAGUAUCAAAUGCCGAGGGGUUGCUAUAAACACUAGUAAAGUACACAUCAAUAACAUGUAUAUCAAAUAUACCUUUGUUCACUUUGCCAUCCUUCUGAUCCGCCAAAUACUUGGGGCAGUUCCGCUUCCAGUGACCAGUUCCUUUGCAGUAGAAGCACUUAGUCUCAGGCUUAGGUCCAGACUUGGGCUUCUUCACUUGAGUAGCAACUUACUUGCCGUUCUUCUUGAAGUUCCCCUUCUUUCCUUUGCCCUUUUUCUUGAAACUAGUGAUCUUUUCAACCAUCAACACUUGAUGUUUUUCUUGAUUUCUACCUUCGCCGAUUUUAGCAUCACGAAGAGCUUGGGAAUUGUUUCUGUCAUCCCUUGCAUAUUAUAGUUCAUCACGAAGUUCUAGUAACUUGGUGAUAGUGACUAAAGAACUUUGUCAAUUACUAUCUUAUCUGAAAGAUUAACUCCCACUUAAUUGAAGCAAUUGUAGUACCCAGACAAUCUGAGCACAUGCUCACUGGUUGAGCUAUUCUCCUCCAUCUUGUAGGCAUAGUACUGUCAGAGGUCUCAUACCUCUCGACACGGGCAUGAGUAUGAAAUACCAAUUUCAACUCUUGGAACAUCUUAUAUGCUUCGUGGCGUUCAAAACAUUUUUGAAGUCCCGGUUCUAAGCCGUAAAGCAUGGUGCACUAAACUAUCAAGUAUUUAUCAUACCGAGCUUUUGUCAAAGCGUUCAUAACGUCUGCAUCUGCUCCUGCAAUAGGUCUGUCACCUAGCGGUGCAUCAAUGACAUAAUUCUUCUGUGCAGCAAUGGGGAAAAUCCUCAGAUCAUGGACCAAGUCCGCAUCAUUGCUACUAUCAUCUUUCAACUUAUAUUUCUCUAGGAACAUAUAAAAAUAAACGGGGAGCUACAUCGCGAGCUAUUGAUCUACAACAUAGAUAUGCUAAUACUACCAGGACUAAGUUCAUGAUAAAUUAAAGUUCAAUUAAUCAUAUUACUUAAGAACUCCCACUUAGAUAGACAACCCUCUAGUCAUCUAAAUGAUCACCUGGUCCAAAUCAACUAAGCCAUGUCCGAUCAUCACGUGAGAGGGAGUAGUUUUCAAUGGUGAACAUCACUAUGUUGAUCAUAUCUACUAUAUGAUCCAUGCUCGACCUUUCGGUAUCCAGUGUUCCGAGGCCGUAUCUGCAUAUGCUAGGCUCGUCAAGUUUAACCCGAGUAUUCCGCAUGUGCAAAACUGGCUUGCACACGUUGUAUGUGAACGUAGAGCUUAUCUCACCCGAUCAUCACGUGGUGUCUCGGCAUGACGAACUGUCACAACGGUGCAUACUCAGGGAGAACACUUAUACCUUGAAAUUUAGUGAGAGAUCAUCUUAUAAUGCUACCGCCGAACUAAGCAAAAUAAGAUGCAUAAAGGAUAAACAUCACAUGCAAUCAAUAUAAGUGAUAUGAUAUGGCCAUCGUCAUCUUGUGCCUUUGAUCUCCAUCUUCAAAGCACCGUCAUGAUCACCAUCGUCACCGGCGCGACACCUUGAUCUCCAUCGUAGCAUCGUUGUCGUCUCGCCAACUAUUGCUUCUACGACUAUCGCUACCGCUUAGUGAUAAAGUAAAGCAAUUACAUGGCGAUUGCAUUUCAUACAAUAAAGCGACAACCAUAUGGCUCCAGCUAGUUGCCGAUAAAUCCGUUACAAAACAUUAUCAUCUCAUACAAUAAAAUUUAGCAUCAUGUCUUGACCAUAUCACAUCACAACAUGCCCUGCAAAAACAAGUUAGACGUCCUCUACAUUGUUGUUGCAAGUUUUACGUGGCUACUACGGGCUGAGCAAGAACCGUUCUUACCUACGCAUCAAAACCACAACGAUAUUUCGUCAAGUAUGUGUUGUUUUAACCUUCAACAAGGACCGGGCGUAGCCACACUCGAUUCAACUAAAGUUGGAGAAGCUGACACCCGCCAGCCACCUGUGUGCAAAGCACGUUGGUAAAACCAGUCUCACGUAAGCGUACGCGUAAUGUCGGUCCGGGCCGCUUCAUCCAACAAUACCGCCGAAUUAAAGUAUGACAUGCUGGUAAGCAGUAUGACUAGUAUCGCCCACAACUCACUUGUGUUCUACUCGUGCAUAUAACAUCUACGCAUAAACCUGGCUCGGAUGCCACUGUUGGGGAACGUAGUAAUUUCAAAAAAAUCCCUACGCACACGCAAGAUCAUGGUGGUGCAUAGCAACGAGCGGGAGAGUGUUGUCCACGUACCCUCGUAGACCAUAAGCGGAAGCGUUUUAUCAACGCGGUUGAUGUAGUCGUACGUCUUCACGAUCCGACCGAUCCAAGUACCGAACGCACGGCACCUCCGAGUUCAGCACACGUUCAGCUCGGUGACGUCCCACGAACUCACGAUCCAGCAAAGUGUCGAGGGAGAGUUUCGUCAGCACGACGGCGUGAUGACGGUGACGAUGAAGCUACCGGCGCAGGGCUUCGCCUAAGCACUGCAAUGAUAUGACCGAGGUGGAUUAUGGUGGAGGGGGGCACCGCACACGGCUAAGAGAUCAAUGAUCAACUUGUGUGUCUAUGGGGUGCCCCCUGGCCACGUAUAUAAAGGAUGGAGGGAGGAGGAGGCCGGCCCUCAUAGGGCGCGCCCAAAGUGUGGAGUCCUACUAGGACUCACUAGUCCUAGUAGGAUUCCACCUCCCACAUGGAUUAGGAAAAGGGGAAGGGAGAAGGAGAAGGAAGGAAGGGGCGCCCCCUUUCCCUAGCCCAAUUCGGACCAGUCCAUGGGGAAGGGGCGCGGCCACCCUUGAGGCCUUUCUCUCCUUUCCCGUAUGGCCCAUUAAGGCCCAAUACGAAUUCCCGUAACUCUUCGGUACUCCGAAAAAUACCCGAAUCACUCGGAACCUUUCCGAUGUCCAAAUAUAGCCUUCCAAUAUAUCGAUAUUUACGUCUUGACCAUUUCGAGACUCCUCGUCAUGUCCCCGAUCUCAUCCGGGAUUCCGAACAAACUUCGGUCAUCAAAUCACAUAACUCAUAAAACAAACCGUCACAGAAUGUUAAGCGUGCGGACCCUACGGGUUCGACAACUAUGUAGACAUGACCGAGACACGUCUGCGGUCAAUAACCAAUAGCGGAACCUGGAUGCUUAUAUUGGCUCCUACAUAUUCUACGAAGAUCUUUUUCGGUUAAACCGCAUAACAACAUAUGUUGUUCCCUUUGUCAUCGGUAUGUUACUUGCCCGAGAUUCGAUCGUCGGUAUCUCAAUACCUAGUUCAAUCUCGUUACCGGCAAGUCUCUUUACUUGUUCCGUAAUGCAUCAUCCCGCAACUAACUCAUUAGUCACACUGCUUGCAAGGCUUAUAGUGAUGCGUAUUACCGAGAGGGCCCAGAGAUACCUCUCCGACAAUCGGAGUGACAAAUCCUAAUCUCGAUCUAUGCCAACUCAACAAGUACCAUCGGAGACACCUGUAGAGCACCUUUAUAAUCACCCAGUUACGUUGUGACGUUUGGUAGCACACAAAGUGUUCCUCCGGUAUUCGGGAGUUGCAUAAUCUCAUAGUCAUAGGAACAUGUAUAAGUCAUGAAGAAAGUAAUAGCAACAUACUAAACGAUCAAGUGCUAAGCUAACGGAAUGGGUCAAGUCAAUCACAUCAUUCUCUAAUGAUGUGAUCCCGUUAAUCAAAUGACAACUCAUGUCUAUGGCUAGGAAACUUAACCAUCUUUGAUUCAACAAGCUAGUUAAGUAGAGGCAUAGUAGUGACACUCUGUUUGUCUAUGUAUUCACACAUGUACUAAUUUUCCGGUUAAUACAAUUUUAGCAUGAAUAAUAAACAUUUAUCAUGAAAUAAGGAAAUAAAUAAUAACUUUAUUAUUGCCUGUAGGGCAUAUUUCCUUCACCUACGCCGUACCCUAGCCCCGCCGGCAGCUGCUUCCCCUCGUGGGCAGCGGUGGGUGCUUGUGCCCGCUCCGCCGGCCCGGACGCGCACGCCGUCCACCGCGAGAGGCAGCGGCCAAGGGAGAGGGAUGCUGCGGAGAGUUCUGUCCGCCGCAGCGGUGGGUUACCGGCGGAUCCCGACGAGGACAAGCGGCUCCUCGCGUGGGUCUACCGCCGAUCGCUUACGACGGCGGAGACGGACGCUCGACGGCUCCGUCGGAUGAACGCGAAGGUUCUCCGGCUUGCCAUCGAGCAGUACGAGCGGGAGGCGAAGGAGAAGGCGACGGAGGCGGCUCGGCUGGCCAAGCUCAGGGCCAGCAGGACCGGGUCGUCCAGCGCCUCGAGGGCCUCGUCAUCGUCUCCUCCUCGUCCGACGAAUUGGACGACCUCCACCAGUCGCCGCCGGCUACAGCUACGCCGGCGACCAGAAGGGGAAAGGGCCGGCCCGAAAGUGGUGAGAUGUAGUAUAAAGUUGUCCGUCGUUUAUGUGAACUUUGGUGGACCUUUGAAUAGCCGUUUGUGAUCUUUUGGUGAACUGUUGUGCUAUCCUAUGUCUGAUUCUAUGUCCGGUCAGCUGAUCUACGUAGUUUGAUUGACGUUACAUGAUUUAGUAUGAAUAUAUGGGUUCGGAUAUGAGAUACACGGAUGUGGACGACGCGAUUUGAUAAGUGCGCGGUCAGUGUCCGCGGACGCGCCCGGACGCGUCCGCGGACGUUUGAUGGGCUGCAUUUGGCAAGUCCGGCUGUAGAUAUUCUUAGUCCAACUCCGACACUAUGCACCAAAACGAACACACCGAAUGUCCGUAGACAAUGAUAGGUAGCCGGUCAUCCAAUUUGAUGCCUCUUAGUGCAUCUACAACCGGGCGCCUGAAACCGGUCUCAAACACCCGGGCGGGCGGACCGGUCACUGACCGAUAAAGAAAAAGACCCACCCGGAUGCCUCAAACUGGCCUCAAAUGCCCAGGUUGUCUGCUCAAAAAACUCCAAACCAAAAUCCUGGCUCACUUCACUCUCCUCUCUCACUCCGUCUCUUCUUCUCCCCUCUCCGAUUAGGAUCGAUUCGACGGCUCCGACGAGGAUGUCGAGCUCCGGCAGCCGCUCCGACAACGACAUCGACGUCGACCAGGAGCUGGCCCUCCGCAUUGCACUGGAGCGGUCCAAUGUGGACAAGGGGGCAGCUCCGGAUCUGCCCAUCGUCGCUCCCGCGCCGGCGCAGCACAGACGACAGAGCUUGCCCCUCCCGGCCCGCGCAUAGCUCCGUGAGGGUUGCACAGUCUAUGCCGCCCCAACGCCGUCCCCUUUCCCCGCCGGCCACUGCUCCGCAAAGGCAGUGGUGGGUGCUAGUGCCCGCUCUGCUGGCCCGGACACGCACGCCAGAAUCGAAGGCGCACGGCGCCCGCCGUGAGAGGUAGCAGGCAAGGGAGAGGGAAGCGUGGAGCAAUUCGUGCGCCGCCGCUGCGGGUUGCCGGCGGAACCUGACGAGGAUGAGCAGCUCCUUGCUUGGGUCUACCGACGGUCGCUAAUGACGGCGGAGGUGGACGCUCGCCAUCUACAAAGGAAGAACGCGAAGGCGCUCUGGCUUGCCAUUAAGCAGUCAGAGUGUGAGGCGACAGAGGCAGCGGCGGAGCCGACUCGGGUGGCCAAGCUCAAGCGGCAACAGGACAGGACUGUCCGACGGAUGAAGGGGAUCACCGUCCUCUCCAACUCUUCUUUCGACGACGAUGGCGAUGAUCACGACUCCAACACCUCCGACUCCGACGAUUAACCACUUGCCGACGGACGCCUACAGCUGCGCCGGCGACCGGAAGGGUAAGGGCCCAGCGAGGAAGUGGUGAAUCUCCGCCGUCUCCGUCGUUAAUUUCUAGAUGUUUAGUACUGUAGUUAGAACCUGCCCUCGUGUGUGUGGAUUAUGUGAACUUUGACUAGCUUUUGAAGAUCCUUUGGUGAUCUUUUAGUGAUCGGAAUAUGCAUAUCUAUGUCUGUUUCGUAGUCCGUGUGAUGAUCCAUGUACUUUUUAUUGACGUUGCAUGCUUAGUAUGAAUAUAUCAUCUGUGAAGGACGCUAAUUAAGGAGUGCAGGAGUGCCCGCGGAUGCGCCCGGGCGCGUCCGCGGGCGUUUGAGGGGCCGAAUUUGAUGACCGCGGCUGUACAUGCUCUUAGGGAUCGCGGCAACCCCGAUCAAUCGCCGCUAUGCACUUGCGGCGCAUCCGCUCGGUUGCCUCCUUGAGGGGCCUUGUUGUCUUCCUAUGCCACGCGCAAUAGUCGAGCGCGGACUUCGGCCCAUGCUGCCCACCGCUUGCCCUUGUCGACAAGGUGUUGGGCCAAGUGCUCGAACUCGGUCGACCUCACAUUGUAUAGCAGGUAGCUGAUCAGGAAUCGGCGGCGGACAGACGUAUGCAUGAUGGUCCUGCACCGAUCCUCAGCCCAGGCCAACCCGAGGUCAGGGUUGGCGAGCACCCAAUCCGACGCCACAUCCGAUGUCUCAAACGCCAAACGUCGUGCCUCCUUGGUUGCCACCUUGUCGGCCGCCAUCAUGAUGUGCAAGGACGUGGCACUGCUGCCAUGACUGAGGUGGUGAAGGAGGCGGCCGCACGAGUUGGCAAUCAUCGGGGAGGGCGCCUCCUCUUCCUUCUUCAUGGUGAUUGGGCGCCACUGGUUCCCGGACUAUUGGCGGGGCGGGGAUGACGGCGCCACAACCUUCCCGCCCCAUAAAAUGAUGCAUGGGGACGCCGACUAGACAAAGCGCUCGGCCUUACUGUGCAGGCGGGAUGCUGUCUACUCCUUGACAUGUCGUUUGAUUUGGACGCUGCGGUUGGGCGGCGAGGGCGGCACCGUUCCGCGGUCGUGGCGAGACCGCUCGAGGUUCAACGUUAUCUGCACCAUGAGCCCCUCGUAUGUCCGCGCAGCCUAAGCGAGGAGGGAUGGCUGCUGCUGCUCGUCAUAGUGUGAGAGGAGUACCACCUCUGUCUUGACCGUCAGAGUGGUGGUCGGCAAUGGGCCCGGAGACUACGGGCAGCAGCGCCACGAUCCGGAGCUCCCGACGAAUUCUUCUGCCUGCGUGAAGAACCACUUGUUGCCGCCGCCGGACUUGCCCAUCGCGGCGGUGUGCGAAGAAGAGGCGAGGCGCUGCCACGUUCGCAUUGAAUCGGCUUCGGCCGGCCGUCCGGUCACGUCGAUUUUACUAGCAUGAAUGUUGCAGGCGACCGUUCGGUCACGUCCGCUUUAAGGGGCAUGAAUUCCGGACCGCUCAGUCAGGCACCUACGUGACGGUUUGCCAACAUCCCCGGGUCUGCUUUGGCUUGUGAGAUUUCAAACAUUUCACGGAUAUUUGAUGCAACAAGAGCGCUGCAGACUGCAGCCGGAGCACUCGAUCGCACCCGCCACCGCAGCACGCACGUACGUCCGGCCGAAUUCUCAGCCAGGAUCUUUCCCGACGUCCCCUGUACGCUUUCUUUUUUCGAGGUGUGUCUCCUGUACGACGACUGCACGGCCCCCUACGCAUAGGGCAGGGCCUGGAUCAUUUGAGCACGUACGGCCCGGCCCAUCCAUCGCCGUCCAUCUCAACGGCGCACCACUCGGUACAGUGGCUGUCUAAAAAAAAUUCGGUACCGCGGCUGGCUGGUGUGGUUCGGUACGCGUCCUUGUCCUUCUACCUGAGCACAUUCAGCUCGGUCCACCUUUUGCGCUUCAUGAUUAUCACCUUGAUGACUUGCUGCUAAUUAUUCGUGUGCUUUUCUUUCUUUUUCCGGUGGAGUGGUGGAUUGCACAGUUGGAGAACAGGGGACGAGCCGCAUGAGUUGACGUCCGUGUUAAUUGAGUUUUGCAAAUCUGAAAGUGAUCGAAAGGGAUGUUUGUUUGCUGCUCUCGUGUUUUUAUGUUAGGCCACGUACGUAAUCACAGCAUGAGGAUCAGUCUGUCUCCAUCAGCAUCUCACUCACGCGCUUUGGCUGUUGUUUUUCACAACUGCGAAUGUGCUAUUAUAGCUACCUCUGGCCAACCGCCACGUCUGGACUUUCUCUGAUGAUGUGUCGUCGUCCAGGUCUUAGUUAAUUUAGGCUUCGUUUGGAUGCUAUGGGAGCUAUUCGCAGGGAAGAGCCCCCCGGGUGAAAGAUGUGUAACUUUCUAGGGAGAAAGAUUUCCUUUUGAGCAAAUUUCUGGUGUUCACCCUACCAUGCAUAAGUAGCCAGAAGAAAAUUUUGUGCCUCAACCUACAUGAACUCUGCCACAGCCAUUUAAAAAUCUGUUGUUCUUGUUGGGGUGGACUUAGGUGUGUUGGCGAACGUAGCAGAAAUUUAAAAUUUUCCUACGUGUCACCAAGAUCAAUUUAGGAGAUGCUAGCAACGAGAGGGGAGGAGUGCAUCUACAUACCCUUGUAGAUCGCGAGCGGAAGCGUUCAAGAGAACGGGGUUGAUGGAGUCGUACUCGUCGUGAUCCAAAUCACCGAUGAUCCUAGCGCCGAACGGACGGCACCUCCGCGUUCAACACACGUACGGAGCGGGGACGUCUCCUCCUUCUUGAUCCAGCAAGGGGGGAGGAGAAGUUGAUGGAGAUCCAGCAGCACGACGGCGUGGUGGUGGAAGUAGCGGGAUCCCGGCAGGGCUUCGCCAAGCCCAAACGGGGAGGAAGAGAUGUCACGGGAGGGAGUGAGGCGCCAGGGCUUGGGGUGCUGCUCCCAUGCGCCUCCCCACUAUAUAUAGGGGUGGAGGGGGCUGGUUUCUUGCCCUCCAAGUCCAUUGGGGCGUUGGCAAAGGUGGGGAAAGAAAUCCCAUCAUUUCCCUUCCCCACCGAUUGUUAUCCCCCUUUUUUAGGGAUCUUGAUCUUAUCCCUUCGGGAUAUGAUCUUAUUCCUUCUAAGGUGGGAUCUUGGUGCGCCUUGACCACGGGUGUGGGGCCUUGCCCCCACUACCCACGUUCAUGUGGGUCCCCCCAUGCAGGUGGGCCCCACUUCGGAACCUUCUAGAACCUUCUCGGUACAAUACCGAAAAAUCCCGAACAUUUUCCGGUGGCCAAAAUAGGACUUCCCAUAUAUAAAUCUUUACCUCCGGACCAUUCCGGAACUCCUCGUGACGUCCGGGAUCUCAUCCGGGACUCCAAACAACUUUCGGUUAACCGCAUACUAAUAUCUCUACAACUCUAGCGUCACCGAACCUUAAGUGUGUAGACCCUACGGGUUCGGGAGACAUGCAGACAUGACCGAGACGACUCUCCGGUCAAUAACCAACAGCGGGAUCUGGAUACCCAUGUUGGCUCCCACAUGUUCCACGAUGAUCUCAUCGGAUGAACCACGAUGUCGAGGAUUCAAUCAAUCCCGUAUACAAUUUCCUUUGUCAAUCGGUACGUUACUUGCCCGAGAGUCGAUCGUCGGUAUCCCAAUACCUUAUUCAAUCUCGUUACCGGCAAGUCACUUUACUCGUACCGUAAUGCAUGAUCCCGUGACCAAACACUUGGUCACAUUGAGCUCAUUAUGAUGAUGCAUAACGAGUGGGCCCAGAGAUACCUCUCCGUCAUACGGAGUGACAAAUCCCAGUCUCGAUUCGUGCCAACCCAACAGACACUUUCGGAGAUACCUGUAGUGCACCUUUAUAGCCACCCAGUUACGUUGUGACGUUUGGUACACCCAAAGCAUUCCUACGGUAUCCGGGAGUUGCACAAUCUCAUGGUCUAAGGAAAUGAUACUUGACAUUAGAAAAGCUCUAGCAAACGAACUACACGAUCUUGUGCUAUGCUUAGGAUUGGGUCUUGUCCAUCACAUCAUUCUCCUAAUGAUGUGAUCCCGUUAUCAAUGACAUCCAAUGUCCAUGGUCAGGAAACCAUAACCAUCUAUUGAUCAACGAGCUAGUCAACUAGAGGCUUACUAGGGACAUGUUGUGGUCUAUGUAUUCACACAUGUAUUACGGUUUCCAGUUAAUACAAUUAUAGCAUGAACAACAGACAAUUAUCAUGAACAAGGAAAUACAAUAAUAACCAUUUUAUUAUUGCCUCUAGGGCAUAUUUCCAACAAGGUGAUGAUACAUCAAUACGGAGGAAUAUUUGCUUUUCUGGCCCUUACAAAUCCAAGAGUCUUUUUGUUGGUCAUUAGCAUGCAUAUGCACCAAUAGCUGCAGUUCAUUGAACUGGGAGUAUGCUUGAGUGGACAGUGGAGUGUUGAAAUAUUGAGUUUGGUCCUCGGAUGACGUCCAAUCAUUUACAAAUAAAGCAUCAUCCUUUGCAAAUGAAAGAAGCUCAGGAAACUUUUUCUUGAGAGGUUGCUCAGUCCAAUUAUCAUGGCAGAGAAGGAUAGCCUGUCCAUUGCCCAGCUUACAAUUUGAAUUAGAUUUAUAAUCAUCAAAUAACCUCAUGUGACUUCUAAAGAGGUUGGAUCCCUCUAACUUAGAACCUGGCGGUGACUGAGAAUAAUACUUCUCCCAAAUAAGUUUCCUAACAAGGAACCCCGUCCUUGGGUUCCACGGCGUUUCGCUCGGUUUCUAUCAACCGGGGCCGGAAGGAUGGUUGUCGAGCAAACGAAGAUGAGGAAAACCGAGUGACGCGACGGAGCACCGGCGGUGCGAGUGGGGCGGGUGUACCGUCUUCUCUGAAACACAAGGAACAUGCACGCACGUACGAAAAGGAAAGAAAUUGUGAAAAAGAAAAAGAAAAACGAAAAGGUAAGAAGUAGCGAAAAAAAGGAAAACGAAAAGGAAAGAAGUUAUGGACGCGGGAAAGAAAAGAGAAAUCCAGACGGAUGUGAACGAGAUGUGAACGGAAUGAAUACGGAAGAGGACAGACGCUGCUGUAUAAUGCGUCCGUGUGUUGGACGCACUGUCAACUCAAAUACAAAAGGAGACGAACACGGCAACUCAAACGAAUAAAAAUCAGGCAAGCCGGGUCAACGCGAUGGAGUUGCUCUAAUGCAGAUUAUUGAAAUCAUUCAUUUGCCAAAGUAGAGCGAGCAUGGAUCGGUACCCUUGUACGGGACAAACCGUCGGUCUCGGGUGCCGGUGGCCCGGCGCUUUCGAAAGGGUCGCCUCGAGAUGCCUUAAAAAAAGGAAGUUGGCCCGGCGAUGGAACGGCGCCGGCCGCGGCGACACGGUCGCCGGAUGCAAGGGAGUUUGCCAUUUACCUCGGUUUUGCUUCGGCUUCGGGGACGCGCCAGUAACAUGCAAGGUGGAUCGACACCUCUGGGCCACCGAUGGAUCUGCCGACGACGUACGUCGUCUCGGGCUGUUUUAGGAGCAAAAAAGCGGAAAAGGGUCCGGAAGUGCUGUUCUGCCAGUAAAUUCCAAAAAAUUGGAAAGAAAAUUAAAAAAAUCUGAUUUUUCUGAGAGAUAAACAUUGCUGAAUGUUUUACCAACUUGCAAAGUUUUGUGAUGGAAAAACAUUCCUGGAGGUCUGAAAAAAAAAAGAAAAUUGAUGUUCUAAAGUGCUUUCAAAAAAUGCCCUUUUUAGAACAUUGUUUUUGUUUUUUUUGCGGUGGCCUCCACAAAUGUUUUUUCACCACGAAAUUUUGCAUGUUUGUAAAACUUUCAACAAUGUUUGUCCCAAAAAUAGUUUCACAUUUUUUUAAUUUUUAUUUCAUUUGAAUUGAUUUUACUGUUCACCCAGGUGCAUAUGCACCCAAGUGCAGAAACUCCAUGUCCGAAAGGGUCCCUUAAUUGGGUUUGGAUUUGUCGCGUCUGCUCUCGUGCCCACUCUACCCAUCUAUCCUAGUAACAAAAAAUUUAGCGUAUGUGUCGUUUGCAUGCCUGUGCUGCCUUUGCCCCGCGAUUUCAUCCAAAUCCGAGAACUCGUCCACUCCAUGAUUUUUCUGAGCGUGGCACGUCUCCGUCUCCAUCGAUCCGGACUCUUGUCCAUCGCCGUACGUAGCAUCGCUAGCUAGCUACUACUCCUAGCACGUAGCAGUAGCAAGUUGGUGAUCGAUCAUCUCCUGUACGGCCGCAUACAUAGGCAGCUCUGCGCUACCGACGCUGGUCGGCCCAUCCACGAUUGAGGCGUCCAUCCACGGCGGCGGCGCCACGGCACCACUCGGCCCCGUCGCUGGCUGGCUGGGGCGGUUCGGUACGUACGCGUCCUUGUCCUUCUACCUGAGCACGCUCAGCCCCGUCCACCUUCUGCGCUUGAUGGUUAUGUUAGGCCACGUACGUAAUCGCAGCACGAGGAUCAGUCCAUCUCCAUCGGCAUAUCACUCACUCACACGCUUUGGUAUUGUUUUUUUAACUGCUGCCAUUAUAGCUACCUCUCGCCGACCGCCACAUCUGCCAUUCUUCUGAUGCCUCAUGUCGUCGUCCAGGUCUUGGUUAAUUUACGGUGUACCCGGGCCGAAAUUCCAUGCUUGGCUCGGAAGCUUAUGAGAAUGCACCGGAUCGUGUGAGACAAAUCUACUUGUUUAUCAGCCGGAUGGGCAAAUUGACUAUAGAAAAUUAUUGUGACACGCUUAAAUCUUUUUUCAUGGUAAUACAUGUCGCAUUCAUAUGAUAAAGAUCAAAUUGCAAGUCACAGAACGACCAACAUGACAAAACUGAAAAGAUAGCAGAACAUCUCUGAGUUGACACCAACGUUCAUCAUCUGCCUCUGGCAUCACCACAGCAGCCACUGAAUAAUAGAAUGACAGAUCACCUCCUUACCCGAGCUCGACGCGGCUCCAUCGAUGGUAUGCAGCUUUGCGGACCUUCAAGGUGACUCCCCAAAACUAAAGCUAUUGCCAUUGAACGAAUCAGACCUGAGCAACAUGGCGGACACGCCAUCGAACUCCAGAUCUGACACCCCACCACGACUAAGACGCCAAAGGAGGAAACUACACCUGCCAUCCAUCAACCAUGAACCCAACACAUGUUCCGUCUUCCAGAUGUUGUCGAUGCAGACCACAAUCUGCAUCCACUCCUGGACUACCUCCCCAGCUCUACGACGAUGUUGGAGCAGACGCCAUUGCAACGGCGGAGCCCGAUGACACAUGUCCACCACAAGGAUGCCAUCGCCACCACACCAUUCUUACUUGAACAGACUGGAUUUGAAAUACAUCCCCAACGAUAGGACCAAUCGUCUCAUCGGAGUAGGAUCUGAAGAAAUUUUAUUCAGCGCCGCCAUCACCAUCGUCGAAACCAAGAUGAUGAACAAACUAAAAAACUAAACUACUUUGGUCUAAGACUAUCCACACGCGUGGAUCCCAUAACUCCCCUCACCAUCGACGAUUGAGAUGGCCGACGGAGGGGAGUCGCCAGGGAACGGCGGCGGAGCACGAGUCCCUAGCGGCGGAAAGCUAGAUUGCUGUUCCUGGCGUACACUAGUGCAGAACCGGGCUUUAGCGCCGGUUCGUAAGGGCCUUUAGUGCCGAUUCCACAACCGGCACUAAAGAGUGGGGACUAAAGGUCCCCUCUUCUUUAGUACCGGUUCAUCACGAACCGGCGCUAAAGUGCCACCACGUGGCACGAGCCAGGCCCGGGUGCGUGUAGGACAUUAGUACCGGUUGGUAACACCAACCGAUACUAAAUGUUUGGGGUGUUUUGGUUUUAUUUUUUAUUUUUCCUUUAAUUUUGUGUUUUCAAUUUAAUUUAGUGAUUAUUUUACAUUAUAAUGAGUUGUUAAAUCAUUAGGUGAAUGUACCGCGGAUUAGUUUCGACUGGAUGCAUGUGGAUCCUAGCUAAGUGAUCAAGUAUAUGCCAUAUCCAUAUUAUACUUGAUCACCUAUAAUUAAGUGAUCAAGUAUAAUAUGGAUAUGACAUAUACUUGAUCACUUAGCUAGGAUCCAUCCAGCUGAAACUAAUCUGCGGUUUCUUUCAUAAAUGAUAUAAUAACUCAUCCUCAUCAUCAUAUUAAUAUAAAAACUCUUGCAUCAUAUCAUCAACAACAGUAUACUAGCUAGCUAAAAAUCAUCAUAGUCGUCAUUACCACUGUUUAAUCAUCACUGUUUAAUCGUCAUUACCGCUAUCUCAUCACCACCAACACUAGCUUAAAGAAGAAACAUUCACUUAUACCAGAAGCAAAGAUAUCAUCGAGUUCAACAUGGUCAUGAUAUUAUAAGCGUUCAUAACGCCAUAAAAGCAAAUCACUCUUUGAGAUUAAGUUCGGGACGAAGAACACGGACAUGAGAGGACAAGUACUAAGAGCAUGAACUAGCUAAAUCACUCCUGCUGCUCUCUCACAGGUAAAAUAGCAUAGAACAUGUAUAGCUCUCCUGAUUCAUCAUACUGGAGCAUGCAGAUGAACCUGUCUCCUAAUCGUGGGCUGCUCUUCUCAUUGCUGCCCCCUAGUACUUCUCUGGGAUCGUUAACAAUUUUGCUCCAAUCUUUCACUAUUAAGCAUUCACCGCUUUUAGAAAUCCUGAAUGCACUCAUGUGCAAUGUAGGAUAUCUUGGCCGUAAGCUAACCAUUGACAUGUGACCUUUACUCUCGAUCCACUGAGGCACAACUGUCAUCGGGAGUCCCUGUUGAAGAACAUUGUAUAGUAAUUAAUAUACUUAGCAAUGAAAGUUUAGCAAAAAAUAAUGUAUGCAAAAGAUGCACUGAGGACAAAUAGUAAAAAUCUUACCAUCUUUCGUAAAUAGAUGUGACCGUAGUUCAAUACGAUCACUAUUGGUCACACGUUUUGAGUACUAACAUUUCUAAGUGCAGGAAGAAAAUUUGUCUUGACAGUAUGAAGAUCCUCAAGCCAUGAAACAUAAUGACUUAUCUCCUCGCAGUUUAGUUUAGCUCCGGGACAGUAGUAGGUCCUGUCUACCAAGCGCCAGACAUGUUUGCUUGAAUGGAAAUAAGCUGUCAAUAGAAAUUAGUUGUCAACUAUUUUUGAAUAAACAAUAUCAAAGACAUUAAUAUGGUUGAGAAACUCACAUAAUGGUAGAACUGGAGGCGUCUGCACAUCGACCCAGAUGUCUCUAUUACCUUCAAUAUCAUCUUCCGGACGAAUAUCAAAGGUGAUAACCAUAUCAGACUCAAAUGCAUAAGCCUUGCAUAGUGCUUGCCAAAUUUUGCAUUCAAAAUAGGUGUACGUGUCUGCAUUGUAUAAUUUGAAGUUGAAAGUAUAACCAUGUUCGGUCUUCAGGUAAACUCUCUUUACCUCCAUAGUUUUCAAAGCACUGAAACCUAUCUUAUCCAAGACAAAAAUUCUUGCAUGGCAGGGGAUGCGCUAGUAGAAUAGUAAAAAUUUAAAAUUAUAAGUUGAAGCAAAUGAAGCAUAUAUAAGUCAUGCUUAAUUACGAAAAAAGACUUGUCGUUGUGACUUACUGUAUCCACUUCGAAGGUCUCAUCCAGCUUGAUGCUGAAGCGCCUAUCAUCAACAAGGAAAUUUCUGUCGCACAGGCCGCGCUGGUCUUCACAGUAUUCACACAUAAUGAAAUCUUUUUCGUCGUCAGACGACAUUUCCUAUGUUCAUAUAGGUGAAACAUUAAACACUUACUAGUUCUAUUAAUUCAACUAAUUUAACUACUUCUAUUAAUUCAACUAAUUCAACUAAGCAUUUACUAAAAGUAAACUUGUUCUAUUAAUUUUCUUACUAAAUAAAGUAGCUNNNNNNNNNNNNNNNNNNNNNNNNNNNNNNNNNNNNNNNNNNNNNNNNNNNNNNNNNNNNNNNNNNNNNNNNNNNNNNNNNNNNNNNNNNNNNNNNNNNNNNNNNNNNNNNNNNNNNNNNNNNNNNNNNNNNNNNNNNNNNNNNNNNNNNNNNNNNNNNNNNNNNNNNNNNNNNNNNNNNNNNNNNNNNNNNNNNNNNNNNNNNNNNNNNNNNNNNNNNNNNNNNNNNNNNNNNNNNNNNNNNNNNNNNNNNNNNNNNNNNNNNNNNNNNNNNNNNNNNNNNNNNNNNNNNNNNNNNNNNNNNNNNNNNNNNNNNNNNNNNNNNNNNNNNNNNNNNNNNNNNNNNNNNNNNNNNNNNNNNNNNNNNNNNNNNNNNNNNNNNNNNNNNNNNNNNNNNNNNNNNNNNNNNNNNNNNNNNNNNNNNNNNNNNNNNNNNNNNNNNNNAACUAAUUCAACUAAGAAUUUACUAAAAAUAAACUAGUUCUAUUAAUUUUCUUACUAAAAUAUAUAAAGUAGCUAUAUAUAGUAAUAUUUUAAUUAGAUCAUCAAAUCUCAUAUACCUAAAUUUUCUUACUAAAUAUAAACUAGUUCUAGUAAUUCAACUAGUUCAACUAAGCAUUUACUAAAAAUAAACUAGUUAUAUUAAUUCAACUAGUUCAAAUAAUCUCAUAUACCUAAAUUUUCUUACUAAAAAUAAACUAGUUCUAUUAAUUUUCAUGCUAAAAUUAAACUAGUUAUAUUAAUUGAACUAGUUCAAAUCUCAUAUAUAUACCUAAUUAAUAUCGGCCCCCUUUAGUACCGGUUCAUGACACCAACCGGUACUAAUGGUUGUACGCUGCCACCAGCGGUGCACAAUGUUUAAUCCCACCUCGCCGAGCGAAGGGCAGCCGCACUGGUUUAUAAACCCAGCCGCGGCUGCUCCUUCGAACUUCUCUAUAUAGCAGGCUUCUGGGCCUAACUAUGGCGCGCUGCCUUGUGAGCCUGCUCGCCCUUCUGGGCCUGAAUUUGCACACCCUAGGUCUGGCAGGCCCACUGGACAGCGCCCCAACAAUUUCACGGUCAUUUAGCUCUUUAAACAAAUCAGUAAAUGACUGAAAAAUAGCAAAUGAUGUCAGAACGUGUUGAAAAUUGAUGACGUCGCUUUGAAUGCUGCCUGAACGCAAAAAUAGUCUGGAGUUCAAAUAAGUUUAAAAAACACUGAAGUGCCCAUGUAACCGAUGAGUUCUCGUCCGAAACCCUGAUACUCCGAAAAAGAUUGUCCAGUUUGUACACGAAGCGCGUCCAGUUUUCGCCGUGACCCUCUCUAUUCUUUUGCACAUGCUAUGCGGGUGAAAUGAUGAUACCAUGCCAAGUUCCAACAUUUUCAGAGUUCAUUUUGUAGUGAUUUUCAAUUUCACGGUCAUUUAGCUCUCUAAACAAAUCGGUACAUGACUGGAAAAUAACAAAUGAUGUCAGAACAUGUUGGAAAUUGAUGACGUCGCUUUGAAUGCUGCAUACUGAACGUAAAAAUAGUCUGGAGUUCAAAUAAGUUUAAAAAACAUUGAAGUGCCCGUGUAACAGAUGAGUUCUCGUCCGAAAUCCUGAUACUCCGAAAGAGAUUGUCCAGUUUAUACAUGAAGUGCGUCCAGUUUUGAAGUGAGUGGAGAGAGUGAGGGGCGGCCGGCGGGGGAGGACCGGCGCGGGGGAUUGAGGGGGAGACCGAGUGAGUGGAGAGAGUGAGGGUGUAAACAUGUAAAAAUAUACAUAAAAAAUACAUUGAUUAUCAUUGAUCUUUUUGUGUACAGUCUGAAUUGUCAAUAUGAGUUCUCAACGGUUUAGAAACCGGUGAAGACUCAUAUUGCGACCACAAAUUCUACACAUAGAGUUCAAUGAAGACCAAGUGCUUGUGAUAGUUUGAGAAGUAACAUAUUUAAUGUGGUAAAAAUUUUGCUAGGGGAGCGAGGUGGGACUAAAAACAGUCUGCCACAACCUCUUUACUACCGGUUCAUGCCACGAACCGGUAUUAAAGGGGCUGGCCGGGCCCCAGCCUCUUUAGUACCGGUUCGUGGCAUGAACCGGCACUAAAGGUUCGCACUGAACCGGUACUAAAGAUCUCCUCUCGCCUAGCCGUUUGAACCGGCACUAAUGAACACAUUAGUGCCGGCUCAAAUGCAAACCGGGACUAAUGUGUCUCACAUUUGACCCUUGUUCUACUAGUGGUAGUGAUACGCUCAAAUCUUACCACAAGCAGUAACAUAUAACAAACUGGUAACAAUAGCUCGCCUGCCAUGGCUUUGCCCCUAGUCUCCAUCACUACGUCUAAUCUAAUCUAAUGGAGUUGUACUACUAAUUUAGUGGAAACCCCCGAAGCCGCCUGGGUCAAGGUGCAUGCACGAACACGAGCAGCAGAUUGUAACUUUAUUAGAGUAGAAGGGCAGUGGCACCAAUAAGAUAGCCGAUACAUCUAUUGGUUGUCAACAUGAGCCCACAUAUACUCAACCAAAUUAUCUUGCAGCUGAAUGGGAGUUUCUCAAUCACGCAUUGAUGACGAAAUUCAGUGAACUGUGCAAACCUUGCCGCUCUUGCAUGCUCAGGCGCAACAUUUUCACCCUGAAACUGAACCCUUGGUCAUAGAUACGUUUCGGGCGCUCAUCCUCUACGAUCAUAUUGUGUAUGAUCACAUAAGCAGUCAUCACCUCCCAUAACUUCUUGGUGCUCCAAGUUCUAACAGGAUAUUGAACGAUGUCCCAUCAAGAUUGAAGAACACCAAAGGCACGCUCCACAUCCUUCCUAGCACUCUCUUGCUCUUGGGAAAAUCUCUUCCUCUUCUAUCAUACAGGGUCGGGGAGUGUCUUCACAAGAGUAGUCCACUAAGGAUAGAUACCGUCAGCUAGGUAGUAUUCUUUGUUGUAGUGAUGGCCAUUGAUCUCAACAUUGACCUCUGGGCAGUUGCCUUAUGCAAGCCUUGCAAACACCGGACAGCGUUGAAGCAUGUUGAUAUCAUUGUGAGAUCCGGUCAUAUGACGAAGAAAAGUGUGCCAAAUCCAGAGAUCUUAUGAAGCCACGGCCUCGAGUAUGAUAGUGCAAGCUUUGACAUGGUCCCUAUACUGCCCUUGCCAAGUAGAAGGGCAGUUCUUCCACUCCCAGUGCAUACAACCUAUGCUACCAAGCAUCCCCGGAAAGCCCCUGCUGGCAUUCAUCGCCAACAACUGGGCAGUAUCUGCAACAUUUGGCCCUCUCAAGACUCUGGGCAAAACACUGCUAUCACAGCCUUGCAGAACCUAUACAUGGAGUCUAGGCACGUGGACUCGCUCAUUCGUACAUACUCAUCAAUGGGAUUCACGGGAACUCCGUAUGCAAGCAUUCGAAUAGAAGCAGUGCAUUUCUGAUAAGAGGAGAAGCCAAUCUUUCCCAGGGAAUCCUCCUUGCACUCGUAAUACUUAUCGUAUCCCACCACCCCCUCCCGGAUACGGUUGAACCCAUGUCUAGCCAUAUGGAAACAACGCCAGAAUAGGUGGUAUUUGAAGAGCGGGUUGGGGUUCUCGAAGUAGUCCUUCCUGAGUAGGAAAUGGACGCUCUCUAUGUUGCGAUUCAAGUCCGGAGUGUGCCCUGGGAUCGAUCACCUAAACAUCGGCCGCUGCCUACUAAGGUGGUCAUGGACGACGAACACAACAACCACAAGCUCCUCAUCGUCGGAUGAAGAAUCAUCCAAGUUGCAAAUGAAAUUAUGAAAAAAGAACUCGUCGGCGGAGUCCAUCUGUACCUUGCGGGCAAACCAUCGCACAACUUGCGGGCGUAGUCGAAGAAGCUGGCCGGUGAAGAGCCUCGCGCCUCCCUGGACUGGUAGCAGGCAUGUAGGCAUCCGACGGACGUGGUGGCGUCCGGCGAGCGAGGUCGCCGCACUUGGGUGUUGCAGGCAGGGGGAGCGCGGGGUGAGGGGAUGGUGGCGGCGACGUCGGGGUGCUACGACGGCGGUGGGGCGAGGCGGUGGGUGCGGCGACGUUGGAAGGUGGUGUGCUGCGGGGGGAGGUAUGUCGGUGCUGAUGGCUGGCCUGGGCACCGGAACUGGGCGUCGGCGACAGGUGGGGCAGCCGGGUGUGGUGGUUGUCGAUGGGAGGAAGAUGGAAUGGCCAAUGUGCCACCGAGUGGCGGGCUAGGGGGGAUGACAAGGGCGGGCCUCACGCGUGUCCGUUUCAUGUCCGCGCGGACGCAAAUGCCGGCCAAAUUUGGGCCGGAAAUGGGUCGCGCGACGGACAAAAAGCGGGCACACGUCCGUUUGGAUCACCGUGUUUAGCCGACUUUUGUUUCCGUUUCACUUUCAACCUAAAUGAACACGCGCAGACAGUUUUGGUCGGCGCGUUGGAGUCGCUCUUAAUUCCAAUUUCUAUACUUCUAAAAGAAAUCAUUUCCUAUAUAUUAGUAAAAAAAGAACCAUUUGCUUUGGUCUAAAAGAAAAAAAAGAGCCAUUUGGUGGCUCUGUGAGAGUAGAACAUGUACGGCCGAUGAGCUGUGUUUUUCUUUCCUGAAGUAGUAAAUUUCGCUUUUCGAGACACCACUGUACGGACCGAUGGAUUGUUAAAUGCGGCAGUGGCACCGGUGAUGUUCGCUCGCGUGCGCGCCAGGUAAGCCAUCCACCAGCGGCAUACAAAAUUGCUAGGAAACGGUCGUCUUCUGCAUCGACCGGCGGUGACCGACCAGGUCGGGUCGGGUCAGGUCAGGUCAUGCCGCGGGACCUCAAGAGCGUUGACGUGCCCGGUCCGGGCCGGUGCAAUGUACGUGUACUGUUGUGGUGUGAACCAAAAAACAUAUGACUGUUCAAAUGCACCGGACAGGCAGCUUUGGUCCCAGGAGGAGAUGCCUCCAAAAUGGGAAGGACGGCGACGGAACGGCACCGCGGCGACACGGUCGGCCUGCCGGCCGUUCCACGGCGGUUUGGCUUGGCUUCGACCGACCCGGCCAGGACCGGUCGCCGGACGCGCGGGUGGGGCAGGUGUACCGUCCUCUCUACUAAAACACAAGGAAGGAAACACGCACGCUCGCACGAACGCACGCACGCACGCAUGAAAAGGAAAGAAUUUGCGGGAAAAGAAAAGGAAAAGGAAAGAAUUUGCAAAAAGGAAGAAGAAAAGGAAAGAAGUUGCGAAUCCUUCCGAAAGAAAUGAGGAACCAAUAAUGAUCGUCCAAGCCUGGCACAGCCAGCCGUGUGGUACUACUGUAAAGAGAGAGAGAGAGAGAGAGCCGCCAAUCAGUGAUCGGCUAGGGGGGUUGGGUUGGUUCGCCGAGGCGGCCGGAUGUGAACCAGGUCUCGCCGUCGACAGCGACACGGGCCGCGUGGAUACACGGGCAGCAGCAGCACGCACGCACGCACGCGAGAAACCAGACGAAAAUCCAUCCGCACGAGUGCACAGGCACAGCGAUAAAGGCCAGCAGGCAGGCAGCAUCGCAGCAAAGCCGGAGCAGAGCCAUCAAACCGCGGCGCAACUCCUCCCCCUCCCCUGCUCCUGCUCCUGCUCCUCCCGCUCGCCCUGCCCGGCAGCCCCUUUCUGCUGACCGCUGAUGGGUUGCUGCCGCUCGUCGCUGCGGGCGGUGACGCACCCGCACCCGGAGAAGCCGCCGGGGGCGGGGGCGGCGCCAGCCAGGCGGCCGUCCUUCUCGGCGAGCGCGCACCGGGCCGCGCCGCCGCCGGCGGCGGCGGCGGCGGCGUCGGGGUCGUCCUCCGAGGCGGGGUUCGCGGAGUUCUCGCUGGCGGAGCUGCGCGCGGCCACGGGCGGGUUCGCGGCGGAGAACAUCGUGUCCGAGAGCGGCGACAAGGCGCCCAACUUCGUCUACAGGGGCCGCCUGCAGCAGCACGGGCAGGGCCCCCGCCCCGCGAUCGCCGUCAAGAAGUUUGGCAAGAUGGCCUGGCCCGACCCCAAGCAGUUCGCGGUACGUUCCAACAACCCCCCUUGCCGCCGGAGUCCCUCCCUCUGUUUCCAUUCCUCUGUCUGCCGCGGAACUGCAAUUCGCGAGCUAAAAACAACGGCUUUGCUCCGGGUUUGGUUUGGUUUGGCGUGCAGGAGGAGGCCAGGGGGGUGGGCAGGCUGCGCCACCGCCGGCUGGCCAACCUCAUCGGCUACUGCUGCGACGGGGACGAGCGCCUGCUCGUCGCCGAGUUCAUGCCCAACGACACCCUCGCCAAGCACGUCUUCCACUGUAAGUUUCUGCUCGCCCCCCCGUAUCAACACCGCCGAUCGAUCCUUCUUCAGCUAGCCUGGUUUCUGAAUUUCUGCUCCUCUGUGGAUUUUGCUUUAUCCAUUUCCAUAAACACAUGCUGCGAAAUUCCUGGCAGUUGCAGUUCCUGAUUGGGCCAGAAACCUGGCAAAAGCAACGAAUUAGGUGGUGUUUGGUUGUCCUAGGACUUCUUUUUCUAGUCCGUAGGACUUUUUGAAAAAGACUCUCAUGCUUCUAAGGACUUUUAGCAAAAAGUCUCAAAAAAGUCCCACCCUGCUUGGUUUACUCUAGUCCCAACACAAAAAAGUCCCUGGAACCAAACACCCCUUAGUCUGCUCCGAGCAACUGCAUUUGGUGUACCGAACGAAUCAUUUGGACAGCUCUUUGUUAUACGCCAUUCCUUUUCUUUUGUUGCUGCCAUGCCCAACAAAUCGAUUCGAUUGGGACCAAUCAAGGCACAAGUUCCCCAAACGCGUGACAUAAUUUAUUACUUGUCUGCUUACGCAUAUUGUAUUGGAUCCACUGCAGUUCAAUGUGGAAGUGACUUGUCACAGUAAAUUCACUGCAGUUAUGACCAAUGCAGGUAGUACCUGUAUUUAUGUGCUUAUGGAGGUUCUUCAGUGACGAUGAAAUUAGGCUGCUGACACUAGCUAGACCAUGAAGUAGGAGUAUUAGCCAUGUGCUGUGUUUUCUAUGAUGCGCAUUAGCUGAUGAACAUCUUGACCAGAGGUCCAGAGCGGAUGGAUGUACGUACUAGUUUUGAUUUGAUUGGCAAUAAUUGCCAUCGGUACUGUAUUGUCUUGAACCCCUACAAAAAUGCAUCUGAUUGCCUCUUUUUCAUGCUCUUCAUUGCUUUCACCAUGUACGCAAAAUUUACAGAACUGCGUUUCAGUUCACUUUCAUGAUAUUGCUUUCGCUCUUCUGCAGGGGAAAACCAGACUAUUGAAUGGGCUAUGCGUCUAAGAGUCGCGUACCACAUUGCUGAAGCGCUGGACUACUGCAGCAACGAGGGUAGACCCUUAUAUCAUGACCUAAAUGCAUAUAGGGUCCUUUUUGAUGAGGUAAGCAACCAAUUACUCUGUACUACUCGUUUUAUCCUAUCAUUAUAUGGAGAAAAGCCAAUUGUUGUCUCAUCUGGUUAAGGAAGGAAUGUUUUUUUUAUCUCUAAAAUAAGAAUGCCUCUCUUGGAAGUGCUUGUUGUGCAUCUCUGGGAACUGGAAAGUGCAUUUAGUGAUUCCAUUUAGCUUGUACGACCAAAUAUCGAUAUGCUCUUUCUGGUAGUUGUUUGGAUGUUUGCCAGUUGGAGGGAGGGGUCUGCUUCCAACUGUUUUACCUGUGGCUGAAAGAAGGCAAAGCACACACCAAACAUGGAAAUUCAACUCUUACAUUAUAAAUGUUUGGUAAUUCGCCACUAAGAACAAUCACUUUUUCUUAGUCAAGUUGCAUAAUGUUUCCUUGACAUGUACUUCAGUUGAAGAAAUUGUUACUUGAUUAGGGCCACUUGAAAGGCUAAACACUUGCACUUUUGGAUGAUGUUGAUUCAUUCAGCAGUCGUAUGCACAAUUCUCUACCUGUUAUCCUCUGUGAGCAAAAUUACUGAUAUGGUUAUCUGCAGAAUGGUGAUCCUCGUCUUUCAUGCUUUGGUUUGAUGAAAAACAGCAGAGACGGGAAAAGUUAUAGCACAAACCUUGCAUACACACCUCCAGAAUAUUUGAGAACUGGUACAUUCUUACCCUCGUACACCUGAAUAUUUUUUAAGCUAUCAUUUAGUGAAUACACUUUAAUGUUUUCUUUACUUACUUUGUGACAGCUGUUUCUUGAUUUAAUUCCUUAGUCAAGAAAUUUGGUAGAAAUAAUAAGGUGUUAACCUGUAGAAACAGAAUCUGGCUUCGACACAAAUGGAAUGAUACCACAAUUUGAGACUUGAACUGGGACAAAUUAGAAUAGAAUUAGAAAUACUUUCUGUCCCUCCAGACCAAUGGUUUAUCUUGUUGAAUUACUACAUUCUUUCAUAAGCAGCUGAUAUGAGUUGUCAGUGAACAAAUAUGAAGUUCCUAUUAAGACUACUUACAAACGUGUGGAGGCGACUCAACCUAAGUUCAGAUAAUACAGUUUCACAUAGCUAAUAUAAUAUGGUAUCUUUCUAAAGGAAAGAUAGAUUAUUUUACAUCUGUUAUUCUGUGCAUGGUAUUCUUUUGCUUUCUCUGGAAGAGUCAUACUGGAAAGUGUCAUAUUCAGCUUUGGCACCAAACUAACAUCUUUCAUUCUGACUGCUUGCUUUCUCAGGAAGAGUCACUCCAGAAAGUGUCAUAUUCAGCUUUGGCACCGUACUACUGGACCUUCUAAGUGGAAAACGCAUACCUCCUUCCCAUGUAUGUUUUCUUGCUAUUAGUUGUGCUUCCUUGCUGCACUUUAUCCUACAGAACCAAUUUUGAAAAUACCUUGGCACACCGGUAGUUGACCCUACCAUGUAUUUUUCCCUUGGUACAAUUACCUGUUGCACUGAAGGAUGAAUGAUGCACAUGUAUUGGGUUGGUUUUAAGCCUGACGUUCUUGCUUGUUGUUCAGCCUUUAGAUUAUGUGUAACCAUCUGAAGAUUUUGGUAAUGAGAUCGGGAGCCUUUUAUCCUUCAGAAAAUGAACACGUAGCUGGUAUUCUGUGAUUGUAAUAGUAGUGUCAUAGAAACUGUCACGGCAAAUGCAAGCGCUGAAAUUUGCUGUCGGAGAAUACAUAUUCUGCUUCCGGGUGUGACUUGGUAGCUUAAUUAUUCGGUAGCAGUACUUCAUACCAAUGGAAAUCAUGCUUUCUAAUUUAUAGUUAUGUUUGCUUCACUCAGGCUCUUGACAUGAUGCGAGGCAACAAUAUCCAAAUGUUGAUGGAUUCACAUCUGGAAGGAAACUACUCAACAGAAGAGGCAACCGCUUUGGUAGAUCUUGCCUCCCAGUGUUUGCAGUAUGAAGCUAGGGACCGCCCCCAUACAAAAAAGCUGGUCACCAUACUUGAGCCCUUGCAAACAAAAUUAGAGGUAACCAUUGUGUUUUCAUCCUUCUAUAUCUCAAAUAUGUAAUUCUACGUACUUAUCUGUUCAUCCUUGAUGGUUCAAACAAAAUUUGUAUUUUCCCACUGAACUGUAAUUAUAUCACAAUAACCUAUCUUGUCCCUUUCUCAUGGCUGUCAAUUUCAUUUUCAAACCAAAACAGGUACCUUCCUACGAGAUGCUUGGCAUACCAAAGCAUGAGGAAGAAGUAGCUCCACCUCCUGCUCCACAACCACCACAACACCCUCUUUCUCCCAUGGCUGAGGCCUGUUCUAGGAUGGACCUGACAGCUAUCCAGCAGAUUCUUGUAUCGACGCAUUACAGAGACGAUGCAGGCAGUAAUGAGGUAAGGAUCAGAGCAUUUCUGCAGUGCAGGGUGUCACAGGAGGAACUGAUCACUUUAUCCGUCUCCUAUUACAGCUAUCAUUCCAGGAAUGGACGCAGCAGAUGAGGGACAUGUUGGAAGCCAGGAAACGUGGGGAUCUAGCUUUUCGUGACAAAGAUUUCAAGACAGCCAUAGAAUGCUAUACACAGGUGGGCUCAUAGAUAAUUAUAUCAGGAGCCUUUAAAAUGUACUCCCUCCAUUCCAAAAUAGAUGACCCAACUUUAUACUAACUUUAGUACAAAGUUAGUACAAAGUUGGGUCAUCUAUUUUGGAACAGAGGGAGCGCAAAUUAUAUGUUGGAAUCAAGCUGACCCGUUACUUCCCUUUGGGUUGUUGCAGUUUGUUGAUGUGGGCACAAUGGUAUCGCCGACGGUGUAUGCUAGAAGGAGCUUGUGCCACCUCAUGUGCGACCAACCCGAUGCCGCCCUCCGGGACGCGAUGCAAGCGCAAUGCGUGUGCCCUGACUGGCCAACUGCAUUCUAUAUGCAAGCCGUCGCGCUUUCGAAACUAGAUAUGCAGAGCGACGCCAAGGACAUGUUGAGCGAGGCUUCGCAGCUAGAAGAGAAGAAGCAAAAGAACUCGAGAUGAUCCCGAGAGCGUGCUCUUUGUAAAGAUGUGUCGGUUUGGUCUCUUUUGCGGCUCAAAUGUUUACGUCGAUUGAGACAUGCUAUUCCGUCCUUUGGGGAAAAAAAACUGUGAGAUAUUCGAGGUUGAGUUAGGGAGAAAAUGUGGGGAAGAAGUGCUGUAGAGUCGUGUGGUUGUAACUAUUUGGUUUGGCAUUUCUGUGAUUGCAUUAUUUUUUGGGUCUAUAUAUAUGUGACAUUUAAAAAAAGUUGUAAUCAGGCAUAAUGCAAGGGAGUUUACGGUUGUUAAUUCUAGAGAUUAAGCUAAUGCCGUAGCUUCCAGCUAAAACCAUGGUUUUUUUUUUCUUCAUGCGGAUAUAUGAGUGUUUCUACUCGAUUUCAUAAGUAAAUUAAGAUUGGGGUGUCUCUACUCUACAAUCUGUUUUGACGGUGAACUUAAUUCGUUCUCACUUGUUCACACUGAACUUUUUUUUUACAGUGAACUUGUGAAGGCAGCCCAGGAGAAAAAUGCAAUGCAGCAGGACCUCUGUUCUUCUUACCAAGGGCUCCAUUAGCACAGUGAAUCAAAUAAUUGCAUUGCGUUCACCGGCCAGAGACUAGAGAGGGAACAUCAAGGCUCCAUUGGCACAGUCCAAAUCCGUGACAUAUCCAUGCCAAUCAGUGCACUACUCUUGGCCGCGUGUUGACGAGCUCACGCACGGAUCUUGAGGGUCCAGCCCAUGCAUCUUUGGCUCUUUGCUAUAAAGCCAUGAGCAAUGGGUUUGCGACGUACACAGUCCACAUUGCACACAUCACAUCACAUUAUUCAUGGGCUCAUGGCAACAUGAUGAGGGUGCUCGCUCUGGCCGCCGCCAGCGGCGUGCCGUCGAUCAUCUCUCGGGGCACGUUCGGUCGCAUGCUGGGCAACCGCAGCCAGAGCGGCUGCGAGGGCGGCGCCUUCUACACAUACGACGCGUUCGUGGAGGCCGCAAACGCGAGCAAGCUCCGCGGCUUCUGCACCAUCGGUGACGAGGACACCCGCAGGCGCGAGAUUGGUGAUGAUAUCGUACUCAUAGUUUUACAAAUAACAUCGACUACAACUACCGGCAAGCCGGAGACGCGAUGGGGCUGGAUCUGCUGGAUAAUCCGGAUCUGGUGUCCGCCGACAUCCUGUCGUCGCGUUCAAGAUCUGUGUCAAUGCCGAGGGGCCAAAUUUCGUGUUUUGAUCUUUUUCAAAAAGUUAAACCGGAUCUGACCCGGUUCGAUUUUUUUUUUUUACAUUUGACCCUUUUCCUACCGCCAAGGCCCUCGGCGGUAGGGUUGCCUAGCCUACCGCCAGAACCUUAGGCGGUAGAGUAACGGUAGCCGCCGUCUCCGUAACGUCUCGACACUGACCUGACAGACGACCUACCGCCGGCGGCCUCGGCGGUGGGAGGUGCAACCCUACCGCCGGGAUCCCUGGCGGUAGGGUGUCCAACCCUACCGAAAAAUUUCAGCCACUUUUGGUUUCAAUACGUGUGAGCCCCCUACCGUCGGAGGCCCCGGCGGUAGGAUGUGCAACCCUACCACCAAGGACCCUAGCGGUAGGGUGUGCAACCCCACCGAUAAAUGUCAGCCACUUUUGGUCCCAGUACGAGUAAAGGCCCCUACCGUCAGAGUCCUUGGCGGUAGGGUCUUAUCACAGUGCAUAUUUUGCACCCAACUUUUAUUUUGUCUUCAUUUUUUUGCCACAGCAAUGUUAUAAACUUAAAAACAACAUCCACACAUCCACACAUGUAGCAAUGUUAUAGACUUAAAAACAAUAAGUUUCACAUAGCACAUCCACACAUGUAGCAAUGUUAUAGACUUAAAAACAAUAAGUUUCACAUAGCACAUCCACACAUGUAGCAAUGUUAUAGACUAAAAAACAAUAAGUUUCACAUAGCACAUCCACACAUGUAGCAAAUAGUUUCACAUAGCUAAUGGUUCAACAAAUACCAAAUAGUUUCACAUAGCUAAUGGUUCAACAAAUACCAAAUAGUUUCACGAAGCCAACAUAAAAAGUUUAACUAGUUCAACGGUCCUCGACAACAUAAAAAGUUUCACUUGCUCCUUCCCCUCUUUGAGGUACGGUCCUCGUUGUUCUUUGAACGGUUCUCAGCCGCCUUCUUCUUGCGCCGAGGAGGGCGCGCUCUCUGAAACGGGGGUGGACUUGCCCAAUCCCUCUUCGGCACAUUCCUCUUCUCAAGCUGGGUUGUCUGAGUUGGUGGAGGUCCGUCAUCGUCGUCGUACUCCUCCUCCUCAUCGCUCUGUUCCUCUUCUUCCCCAUGUUCUUCUUCUGCUCGCUCCUCGUCAUCGUCUUCAUCAUCACCUUCUUCGUCCUCGUACUCCUCCUCGUCCUCUUCAGCCACCCUAGACGACGAGGCGGCCUGGCUCGAUGAAGCAAGGCUAUGCAUCGGGGCUGCAUGAGCAUAAGCAUCAACAGAGGAGGUAGCGCACCCAAGCAGGCCCACAAGCUUGCGACAUUUGUUGACCAUCUUCUGCAAUAAGAACGAAACAAGAACAUAAUAUGGAUCAAGUUUAUGGUUUACAAUGAAAAUGAACUUAAGAAAGAAUGUAAUUGUAGGAGGCUCGAUGUUAGCUUCACCGUUCCCCUCAACUUGUUCUCACUAUCUCGAGUCCCGGUGAUAGAACUUAGCGCAUCUGAGGCUUAAAAAAUGCUUUUGUUCAGCUCCGAAGACUGCAAAACAAUAAAUGAGUCACACUCACUAAAGUGGAUUUCAUCCAACCGCCGGUUGAAAACAGAUAAACACAACUUACCAUUUUGUUCAUGAGGGGUCCAUACUCCCUAAAUCCGCCUUUUAGCUCUUUGAUGCUGUCAUGGUAGGCUUCAUUCUCGGAGUAGUCAUCGUACAUGUCUUCGACAUCUGUUGUCGUCCACUGGGGCCUCAGGCGUAGACGAUGCUUGAUGCCAUCGUCGUACCACCGCAUGUGAUCCUCGUACUCAUUCCAGUCCAUCACUUUCCUCUCCACAUCUUUGCGAGUUUUCCACUCGUUCCAUUCCUUCACGUAUCUCGCAUGUUGCUCUCCCCAAUCUAUGAUCGAUUGAUUCUUCUGCUUGCUCAUCCUGUAAGGCGUAAGAAAGAAUGUAAAACAUCAAAACAAAAACAUAUAAAUGGAGAAGAAUGCACUCACAAGUGUAGGUCGGAGCCAGCAAUAUCGAUGACAUUGCCUGGUGGUGUACGUUGCGCCCUACCAAAUUGCGCGGUAACGCGCUGUGGCAAGUGGUACUCGACGGCGUAGACGCCAGAGAAGCCGGUCCUAUCCGCACAUCACGUUCAUCUCGAACCCCCACUCUCGUUCAUCAUAUGGCCGCCAAUUAACUAGUACCAAAAAAUGGUAAGCUCACGUGAAAGUGUCGUCGAAAAUAUUCAAAAUCUAGUUCUUAUACCUGGAAAGCCGCCAGAGCAUCAAGCUCGUUGGUGAAGACCUUGUACAAAGCCUUGGAUGUGCCCAUGUAUAGACACCCACCACGUCACAAGCGUAUGCAACGGUCGGGUAUCGAUCAUCUUCGUCAUCUUCGCCGUAGUCAGUCCAUUCACGCUGGCGCAGCUUCUCCGGACGCCCCACCGGGAUUCGCUUCCACAUCCAAAUGGAGAGGCCCCAGACACAUCCACACAUACCGGACGUAUCUUCCGCCCUCUGGGUUGCGUCGUCAAACUACAAAACAAGUAUAGAUGAUAAGAUGACAUAAACUAAAGCAGCAUACGUCCAUGAUAUUUGAAACAAUGUGAUAUUCUCUUACCGCACGGUAUAGGUAGGCGAGGCCGGCGGACCCCCACCUGUACCCUGCAUCCCAGUCCUUUAGGAAGUCGAGAUACAUCCAUAGGGCAUUGUCCCCAGAGCAGUCUGGAAACACGACCUCUGUGAGAAGAUACCACAGAUAGGCCCUGGCGUACUGCUCCACCACCCGGGGUUCGGCACCUUCCGGGCACUUGCUCCGGUGCUUCAGGAGCCAGGGCAGCGGUACGCUGGAAGUCCGGUUAUUUCUUAGCUGGGGGGGCAGUCGCCGAUGAGGGUGACAACCCUAUCAUGCCAGUUCUUCCUCUCCAUUCAUCUAGUGAGAGCACAAUGCUUGAGCGAUCAGGCCGUAAUCAUCCCUUUUGCAAGGGCAGGAGAGAGAGAGGCUAAAUCGCCAUUGCAAAUACUGGAGAUUGUUCACAGAACGGACCAUCUGUCGUCCGGACGAAUCAGGUGAAAUCUGUCCAGUCAAUUUUUAUUGAUACAUUUUCUUCUUUAAAGAACAAUUACUCUGACUUGCGAUAUUUAUUAUGCAGGACAAUUGUUCACUGUAAGGGCGAUCAUUGUGCCAUGAAUAAAGAGCUCGCGCCAACGUUAUCAUGCGCUAGCAUUCAACCUAUCAUCUUGGCAGUCCAGUUUACAAUGACACGAGGAGGCCAUGCUGGCAAACAUCUGCACCGCGCCUCUCAACAGACUGGUGUCCAACAUAUCCUCUUGACGGUCCACUCUAUAUUAACAUGCCGGAGGUUAAUCUCUGCACCUGACGUUGCCUGGCAGACACACACAUGGCCUGUCACCCUCGCGGUUUGAUCAGUGCCGAAUAUAACAUGGGGAGCCAGAAGAACCAACCAUGGAAGAGUCAACGAGAACCGACCAUGAAAGUGCUGGCCUGUAAAGAAAACAACCCUGAAGGAGCCAGAGAAUCAACCCUGGAAGAACCAGGGGACCUGGCGACUUAAACAUCGGCAGCAGAGGUCAAAAUCAAGAAACCCUGCGAAUAGCUUAAACGAUAUCAUGGGAUGAUCCAAUUCAUUGCGAAGAGUUCAAUUGUCAUAAAAAAUGGCCCUGGAAGAACCAGAUGAGCCGGACCAAGAGAGAACAACAAGCAAUGGGAGGACAUAUGAUGCGCAUAGCAAAGAUCAUCAACUCGCCAUCUCACCUCAGCUUCAAACAAAUUCCAAUGUUCCGCUGUCAAACUGUAUGCGGUUUAUGCCACGGCUGAAUAUGAAGAAUCUUAAGCCGACUCCUCGAGUCAUCUUAAGACUCGGGGGCUACACAGACAUGGCUCGACAAAUUUGGCUGGUUUCAACAAAAUUCAAAAACCUCGGUCAUUAAAGGAAAAAAACAGUCCCGGAGACUGCUGCCACAUUGGUGAAAAUUUAAAGAUCAUCAGAAAAUUUCCGUCUCAAAAAGUGCCGGGCAAUCAGAAAAGGUUCCGGUUCAAAAUCUGGGUCAAGAGAAAUCUGUCUCUCACAAAGUUUUGAACUCUCAAUAUCCGGCUCAACGUCCGGUUCAAGAGGAAUCCAUCUCUCGCAAGUUUGAGUUCUCAGAAAAAAAUUAAGGUUGCCAAAGAGGACUAGCUACCAAGAUGCGCGGUUCAAACGUGGGUAUCCUUCCAUAUUGGAUUACCAUAUUAUGAUCAACGUAAUAAAGCCGGCAUCCCCGAAACUCGGGGCCUCUAUUGUUUCAUCUCAUAUUUACUGGGCAUGAGUCUUUAUUAAUUGAUCAUAAGGGCACUAGGGGGCUUCCAACUCACUGAGUUUAGCUUACAAAACCCUUUUGACCCAGCAAAAACGUCACAUUAUUGGUUAAACCUGCAUGUAUGUUUGAUGCUACUCCGAACAAGAUGAUCCGCCGUACUCUUGAGAAGUCAAUCUUCAUGACCCUGAACUUGUCAAGGUUAAAACGGCGGCUUAAGUCAUGUGAGAGCCAGCUUACUGAUAGUGAGGAUAAACCAUGGCUAUCACGCCAAGCUUCAUUGAAGCAAGACUCGAGCCUCGAAAGCUGGUCUUUUUAUACUCUAUUGUCAUAGACAUACAUCAUCAUACUAUGCAUCAUAUAUGCAUGGACAUACUGGUUUAUGUUGCAGGAGCCGGUUUUCAAACCGGGUUAUAUUAUUCAAAUUUUAAAUAGACAACAUGGCUGGAUUUUCAUUAUGGUUAUCAUAACCAAUAUUGGAUGAUUGAGGUUUUCGAAACCGCUUCAGAGAAAUGGCUAUUAUUCCCUCAUCCAAAAAUAUCAGCUUACACGAGCAUGGUUCAACAUUGAUAUGCAAGGCUUUCAUCAACAUCAUCCAGAUGGUGGAUAUGAUUUUAUUUUACAAUGGAAGGAAUAGUCCCGAGUCUCUGCAUGCACACGACCGGCACUUGGGGGCUACAUUAUUCAAAUCACGAUUAUAUCAAGUAUGCAAGUGUCAUGUCACUGCAAGUAUGCACCAUAGCACCUGGGGACUAAUGCAUGGUAUUUUUAACUAGUCUCAUUGAAGACCCGACCAUCACAUAAUGAUGAGCCGGCCCUUGGGGGCUACCGAUUGCUCCUGUCAAAAUUUCAAAGUACACAAGUCUUAAUCCACUAUAUUGAAAGUUGCCUGAAGCUUGGGGGCUACAUCAUAUGAUGCUAUUUUCAAAGGAGUAUAUCUAAUGUCCCGGGUCGCUGCAGGUAAGACAACCCGGCACUUGAGGGCUACAACAUUAAGUUGUUUACCCAGAUUAUAAGGUCCAAAUUGAAGACCUGACCCAUCACAUACUGAUGAGCCGGCCCUUGGGGGCUACACAUAUGAAGUACAAAAUAUUCCGUUUAUGAUUGGAGACUCAUCUGGACAAACUGGUUCUCUCUAAAAGAUGCAACAUUUAUAUUUAAGCAAGUCUUAAGCCGUCACUUCGUCCUACUCAAGACUUGGGGGCUACAGGUGAGGGAGAACACCUUCAAAAAAUUUAGUGUUGAGCAAACCAGGUUUCAUGUUUUUUGGUGGAAAAAUGUGCAAAAGAUUAUCUCCUCGAGGCUACUCAGACACGUUAACUUAAUAUCGUACGGAUUUUUCAUCGAAAUCUGAAGUAUUGAAAGUUGGCACAACACCAGACGAAUUUUCUUUUUAUCAAGCCAAGGCAUUUGAAGAUAAGCUCAGAAAUAUCAUAAGGGUUAUUUUUUCUACAAGGAGCCAACGUCAGCAUAUUGAUAGGACAGAGAUUUCUACAAGGAGCCAACGUCAGCAUAUUGAUAUGACAGAGAUUCAGACCUUUCAGGAGCUGAUCAAUGAACUAAAACUGGUCUUUUUGAGUGAGCCGGUCCCUUUACAUAUUCUUAUUUCAGGAGUUUAGCAUGAAUAAACUCAAAGCUAACCUGGGGGCUAAUGUUGGGGAUAUUCCCCACGACCAAGACCCAGAUCAUAAGGAUAAUCCGCCCUGAUGUUAAGUCAUCUCUGGGUUUAAGUAGCCAUCUUAACAUGCGAUGAUGAGUCCCGGAGAUGAGUCUUGGAGAUGAGUUCAGAAGAUGAGCCCUGAAGAUAAGCCCUAAAGGUAAGCCGCCCGACUGUGAGCCGCCCGGCGUAAACCGCCCGGGUGUAAGCCGCCCGACGUAAGCCGCCCGGGUGUAAGCCACCCGCUUGGAGAUAAGAAGCCCAGGGUUCAGAUGCCCACGGUGAGAAGCCCGUGAUAAGAAGCCCGCGAUGAGAAGCCAGAAUAGGCCAAGUCCUAAUCUGACUUGGACUCUACAUGGAAGCCGCCCCUUCAACUAUAUAAGGAGGGACAGGGUAUCCCAAGAGGGACACGUUUUAGACAGAGAGGCAAGUCUUAGACAAGAUCAAAGUAGAUGCUCUCGAGAUAGAGGUAGUGAGACACCACCCAUGUAACCGAGAUCAUCAUCGUCAAUAUCAAUCAAGCAGGAUGUAGGCUUUUACCUCCACCGCGAGGGGCCAAACCUGGGUAAAAUCUCGCGUCUCUCGAUUCCGACCAACCCCGUUCAAUCUACCACCUAGUUGCGACGGCCUCAUGACUAAGUCCUCACACUAGGACAUCUGCCGUGACAAAACCACGACACCUUCCUUCUCCUUCCUCAUUCAAAAUCGGCUGACCCGAAUUUGAAAUUCAGCUGACCGACAUGUAGCUAAACUGAUAAAGUAAAGUAAAUGAUACCUUUGAUUAUUAUUUUUGAACAGGAUACCUCUGACUUGUUUAUGUGAAGCAGCAGUACAUGUGCGUACACAAUCUCCUGAUUGAUUCGGUUCUACACAUACACAACAGCCUUGGGCUGACUGAUCUUUGUGACUACCCGGAACACACAAGCACGCACGUACACGUAUACGCCAAAUCGAUUAGAUAGUUAAUCGGCCACGUCUUGCCUUUGUUUCCAUGCUAUCGUGUCUCAUAGAGUCCAUAGCAAUUUGCAGAUGUCUGUUUUCUCAUCACCUAGAUAGGAAUCAUUCGGCAGCCAGCUCCGGGUAUGUGUAAGGUUUGCAUAUAUAUUAAUUGUUGUGGUUGGAUAUAAGGAGUUGAGGUGGGACCAGUUCAUAACCGGAGAACCCUCCAUUAAGACACAAACAUAUUGUAGCUCCUCUGACCGCAACACGUUGACAGCCUGCCUGAUAGAUGGUCUCAUUUUGAUGUCAAGUUGGGAACACCAGAGCCCAACAAUCAUCACGUCACAUGUCCUGAUGAUAUCACACAUCCAGAUCGAAAUGACCAUACACCAUCAUCUCUUACGGAAGAACACACUCUCGAAGGUUUUUGCCCUGCAGUUUGCUACAGCUUUUAUUCUUCUUCUUUUCAGUUUUCACCAGCAAGCAAACAAACACUGAAGCGAGCAACCAUGAGCAUGAGCUACUCGCUGACUGAUCAGCCUCCGUGCCCGUAUGGCUUCUGGUUGAUGCAGGCCACGUUGCGGCCGAGCCGGACACGGAGCAGGCGGCAGUACCUCUUGUAGUACCCGACCCGGUCCCUGCCCUGGGGCGUCCCGUGACGCUUGCCGCACGCCAGCCCGCCGCUGAUGAUGUUGGUGGUCAUGCCGUACCCGGGGAGCCUCCCGGCGCGACGGCCUCCAGCCGCCGGUCAUCACGGCGUGGCACGACGGCAUCUUCUGCGCCCCAUGUCGCGGCGUCAUCCAGAACCAGAUGGCCGUCUUGAAGGCCACCACGGGGUCGGUCGACACCAGGUCCGGCCUCCCCAGCAGGCAGGUCCAGCCCCAGCGCGUCCCCGGCUCGACGGAAGUUGUGCUCACUGUGCAUGCAUACACAGCACGGUGCGUGCAGUGUGAUUAAAAUCAUCACGAACCAAGCGCCAAGUGAACGAGAACAGGGAAGAAGAAAGGAACUUACUGAGUGAGUUGCAUGGGGCCUCGCCCGUAGUACCGAUCGCCGGCCGGACUCCGCUGCUUCACCCAGCAGUAACCUGCGCGCAUGCACGGGCACGUAGGUACAGCGACGACAUCACGCAUGGCAGCAAUCGUCGGAGUAUACAUGCACACGCGUCGACAGAAAGGUAGAAGAGGAUACAUACCGGUUGUCUCGUGGGAGGUCUGCGCGAAGAAGGCGGCGAGCUCCCGGCGGCGGGUGGCCUGGUCGCCGGUGGUGCCGAAGCCGCGGAACGUGCUCGCGGCCUCCACGAACGCGUCGUAGGUGUAGAAGGCGCCACCCUCGCACCCGCCACCGCCGCCGUCGCCGUGGUGGCCCUGCCUCAGCAUGGAGUAGAACGUGUCCCGCGUGACGAUCGACGCCACGCUGCCGCUGUCCCUGGACGGCCGCGGCCAGCAGCAGCGCCGCGCCGGCGAGAGCGAGAAGCCCGAAAACCCUCAUGCUCCUCACACCUGAGCGAAAACUAGAGUCUAGAGGAGCCUGGAUUUGUAGCGAUCGCGAUGAAGCAAAGGUAGGUCGUGAUCAGGUACAGGGUUCGCACAUGGCCUGAAAGUUGCACGCUGCGGAGAGUGGACGGAUUGGCACGUCGGUUUUCGCGGAUUUGGGCUGCGAGACGCCGUUGCUGGAGCCCUGGUGUUCCCUCGGAUCGGUGAAUGGGUGAAUGCAACGCAAUGGCGCGCGCAAUGCUCUACUGGAAAUCCAUCUGAAUCGACAUAUAUGGCAAUGUGAUGUGGAUCGUGGCAAGGCUUUGCACAUGCUCUGGGUUCCUUGGGAGAAUCGUUGGGUCGUGGUCAGUACACACUGCUGCCAAGGACGAUGCACUGAUUGCUACGGAAGUAAUUUUGCUGGCUUGGAGUGUGCUACGUAACCUAUUGGAGCCACACGGAGCCUCAUGUUCCUGUGUGAAAUCGGUGCAUCUGUUCCUCACAAAUGUACAACUUCACAAAUCGGACUCCAUGCUUGAAACCAUGAAUUUUGCUUGGGGUUUAGCCUAAACACCAAAGUACCGAGAAGCGGGCGAGAAUCUUUUUAUCUUCCAUAUGUUCUGCCUAGCCUCGGGGACGGAUUGGAAAAAAGUUGCGCACAGUGGACCUUGGAUUUUCCGAGGUUUUGGCGUGAUCAUCGAGGAUUAUGACAUCGAUCGCUCUGGAUCUGGACGGGUUUUACGUCUGGGCACAAACCCAUAAAGCGUCUGACUUAUAUCGCCACAAAACAGUAGCAGGCCAACUUGCUCGUCGAACCGGGCGCCCAUCCAACAUAGAUGUAUGAGGGCUCGUGUGUUGACCUCUAAGCCUAUGAGCCGCUUCACCCCUGACUGUUGAAGGAGAAGGCCGACGCCCGUGUCUCUGUUUUCUCUUCUGUUCCUUUUGUUAACUCUCUGAAGAUAAAUUCCCCUCUCUUUUCUGUUCCUUUUAUUAACUCUCUGUCUCCGUGUCUCUGUUUCAUACAAGGGCAUGGUCUCUGGUUUAGUAGAGCAUUAACAUAAAUCAACAAGUGUCAGAAACUAAUCGAUCAAACAGCACACCAUAUCGAUAGGAGGAUACACACCCGCUGCUUCAACUUGAACCGUUCCGGGACGAAUGGUCGCGCCAUGGCGGACAAUUUUGACUGGCACCAUGGUUGUCGGUCGGGCCAUGGCGCUCCCUGCCGUUGCCCGUGGGCCGUGGUGGUCUUUUUUGUUUUUUGUUUUUUGAGGGAAUACAUCAUCUGUUGUCGAGGAGACGUGGUGAGACGAUUCUCUCAGGCCGGAUGACUGAAAAAAUGGUUCUGAUCGACGGUCAGAUUUGAUGACUUGACUGUUCCGUCAUAUCCGUACUCCUUUAUGGUUUUUCUUCAUUUUUGUCUAGUCUAGCUAUAAGACAAUGACUUGGUAGGAAAAGUUGGAACCAAUACUACCAGCCCCACAGGAUUCCUAGGCGGCUGGGCUUUGCAUUUCCACACAGAAAACACAACAGAUAGAGGAAAAGGCAAACAUUUUUUUUUCGAGCAUGGAGAGGAAAAAACAAACAUCGCUGUACCAAUCAGUGCACCGCGUUUUGACCAGGCCCAUGCACGCAGAGAUUAAAUACGACUGUUGCUUCGUCGCAGAAAAUUCAUGAAGAAGAAAGAAAUGUCAUAGUAGCACGCAACAAUAAAUCCGGAACAGCAUUUUCACAUCACACUCCAUCCUCCCUCAGACUCCACACCUUGGCGGAUGCGGCUCUCUGAGCUGCUGACUCUCGCCGGCGCCGCGCUGCUCUGCAUCGGCGUGGCCAGCGGGCAGCAGCCGGCAGGCAGCGUGCCGUCGACCGUCACGCGGGAGGCGUUCGAUUCCAUGCUGGGCGGCCGCAACAUGAGCGGGUGCGAGGGAGGCGCGUUCUACACCUACGACGCGUUCCUGGCGGCGGCCAACUCGAGCGUGUUCCGCGGCUUCGGCACCACCGGCGACGACGCGACCCGCCGGCGGGAGCUCGCCGCCUUCUUCGGGCAGACCUCCUUCGUAACCACCGGUUACUGCUACGUGAAGGCGGUGAACCGAGCGAGCGCGCCCUACUACGGCCGAGGCCCCAUACAGCUGACGACGUACGUGAGAAAUCUUCACUCUGUUUCUGGUAUACUUGACACUGGAUCUGUACCCUGUUUUUCCUUACAAGAUGAGGUUCAAUUAUUCGCGAUGAAUGAACUUCAAUUAUUCGGCAAAAUUUGAUCUAAAAAAGUUUCGUACUACUAAUGCACAGUUUAUAAUCGCAGCGAGGACAAUUACCGGCAGGCAGGGAGGGCGCUGGGGCUGGACCUGCUGCGCAACCCGGACCUGGUGUCCACGGACCCCGUCGUCGCCUUCAAGACGGCCAUCUGGUUCUGGACGACGGCGCCGGCGCCGAGUACGUCGUGCCACGCGGUGAUGACCGGCGGCUGGACGCCGUCCGCCCAAGACCGCGAGGCCGGGUUGCUCCCCGGGUACGGCAUGACCACCUACAUCCUCAACGGCGGGACGGAGUGCAACCAAACCUCCGCGGCGGCCCAGGACAGGGUCAACAACUACUACAAGAAGUACUGCGACAUCCUCCAAGUGGGGUAUGGCGACAACACCUUCUGUCAGAACGACGAGCUGGCUCAACCGCCAUCGUCGUCUCUGCAUCCUCCUCCUCCAGGAACCCCAGGAGGUCAGUAGCCGUCUCUUUUAGUUCUUUACAUGCUUGGAGGAGCUAGCUAGACCUUGCACAUGUUGCAUCGAGAUGCUAGUCCAAUGUCAUUCUCCGAUUUUCUUUCCACAGAACCAUCGCCUCCACCACCGUCAAGGAGUGUUCUGAUCGGCGUCUCUAGUUCAAUCUCCCUCUUGAUCAUUAUUGGCUCCUUGAUCUGUUUCAUUUUAUGGCGGCGGCGAAAGCAAGCUGAAAUCCACGAGGAAGCAAUGGAGCAUGGGUCGGAAGAGGGUAACCUCUUCGACGUUGAUCAGGCCAUGGAAGACGAUUUCGAGAAAGGCUCCGGGCCCAAGCGGUUUCGUUACAAGGAUCUGGUCGUCGCCACCGGCAAUUUCUGUGAUGAGAACAAGCUCGGACAAGGAGGCUUUGGCUCCGUGUAUAGAGGGUUUCUGAAUGAAUUGAACCUUCAAGUUGCUAUCAAGAGGGUCUCCAAGGGCUCCAAGCAGGGGAGGAAGGAGUACGCCUCUGAGGUGAGGGUCAUAAGCCGGCUCCGGCACAAGAACCUCGUGCAGCUCAUCGGCUGGUGCCACGAAGGCGGCAAUCUGCUCCUCGUCUACGAGUUGAUGCCCAAUGGCAGCCUCGACGGGCAUCUCUACGGCGCCAAUAACGUCGUGCUCCCAUGGUCUGUAAGGUAUGUCUACCCGCCCAUCAUAGAAAAAGCAUGAGCACCGCAAAUGUAUCACUCUCCGAUUGCUUUGCCCUUAAGAUCGAUGAUAAUUAACCAUGUGAUAUUUCCACCACAAAUGUAUUCUGAUUCUCCGAUUCCGAUAGCUUUGCCCUUAACAUCAAUGAUCAUUAACCAUGUGAUGCUCUAUUUCCUUUGUCUUCAGACACGAGAUUUUGCUCGGAUUAGGCUCGGCGCUUCUCUACCUACACCAGGACUGGGACCAAUGCGUCCUGCACAGGGACAUCAAGCCAAGCAACAUCAUGCUAGACGCGUCGUUCAAGGCCAAGCUCGGCGACUUCGGGCUCGCCAAGCUCGUCCAGCACGGCCGAAGAUCACUGACGACAGAUUUCGCAGGCACGAUGGGGUACAUGGACCCGGAGUGCAUGACCACCGGCAAGACCAAUCCCGAGUCAGAUGUGUAUAGCUUCGGCGUCGUCCUCCUCGAGACUGCUUGCGGCAGGCGGCCUGUGGUGGUAGCUCAGCGGGAGGAGGACGCAGUCCACCUAGCUCAGUGGGUCUGGGAUCUGUAUGGCAAGGGGAGGAUUCUGGACGCCGUUGACGAGCGAUUGGGUGGAGAGUUUGAUGCCCAGGAGAUGGAGCGUGUGAUGAUUGUUGGGCUCUGGUGUUCUCAGCUCGACUUCAAAAUGAGACCGUCUAUCAGGCAGGCUGUGAACGUGUUGCGGUCAGAGGCGCCCCUCCCAAGUCUCCCUGCGCUGAUGCCGGUUGCAUAUUACAUGCCUCCAGCUGGUACACAAAGUUUUACAUCUUCGUCUGUAACAACUGGCAGCAGCGGUGGCACUUCUACAUCUUCGGUGGUAGCAUCAGCGCGACCACCACCCAGUCAACAUUGAUUGUAGAAUUUUUCUAUGACACGCUUGUUCUGGAACGUUUAUUUAUGUGCUGAAUUGAUGAGAAAUUUAUGAAUCAAUUUAUGUAGAAUAAUCAUAAUCUAUACCUACUAAGAAAUGAAGAAACCCUUCUUCCUUCCUAUUUUUCCAGGAGAUGGAGCGGGUGAUGAUUGAUUGUUGGGCUCUGAUGUUCUCAGAUUGACUUCAAAAUGAGACCGUCUAUCAGGUAGGCCGUCAAUGUGUUGUGGUCAAAGACGCCCCUCCCGAGUUUCCCGAUAGUGAUGCCGGUUGCAUAUUACAUGCCACCGGUUGGCACACGAAGUUUUAUUUCUUCGUCUGUAACAAGCGGUAGCAGCAGUGGCACUUCUAUGUCUUUGGUGGCAGCAUCAGCGCGACCACCACUCAGUCAACAUUGAAUGUAGAAUUUUUCUAUGACAAGCUUGUUCUGAAAUGUUUAUUUAUGUGUUGAAUUGACUAGAAAUUUAUGAAUUAACUUAUGUAGAAUAAUCAUAAUCUAUACCUACUAAGAAAUGAAGAAACGCUUCUGUAGCGACCCGACCUCAGACGGUCAAGUCUCUGUGCUUAAGUGUCAUCUCUGAAUCGGAAUGCUGACACACACAGUACUCGAGGAUUUAUAACAGAAGUAAAUCACAUGUAUAAUUAACGUAAAUAUUAUUAUUACCUCAAUCCAUAUAGCGGAAGUAUCGAUAAGAUUGUGGAUUCCCAUCAAUACCAACGGCAAAGUUGAGUGUAGACAUCGUAACCCUAAUGUAUCACUUGCUCGUUGUAAGAAUCCUGCAACAUGAGACGUUGCAGCCACAAAGGGUCAGUACAUUGAAUGUACUGGCAAAUUCACACCAUAGGAUAAUGAUGAAUAAAGGCUAUCACUACAUGCAUAUAUGGCUGGUGGAGGCUCUGGGUUUAUUUUUGCAUAAAGCCAAAUUUUCCCUACAUCAAAGAAUAUAUUUUAUUUAUCUACAAAGUUGGUUGAUAAAUAUUGAGAAGGUUCCUCCAACUCAAUCCCCAAAAUAAUAGUUAUAACCCAACAACUUAAUUAAGUAAAGUGAUGAGAUCAAUAUGAUAAUCCAAUAACCAGAUAUUCAGGAUGUCCAUAACGGGGGACACGCUAACCAUGAUUAGUUUGUACACUCUGCAGAGGUUUGCGCACUUUUUUCCAUAAGACUCGAUCUCCUCCGUUGGAUUUCUCGCACUGCAUGGUGUUUGAGAAACGGAUGACCGAGACACAGUCUUUCAGAAGCACUAACUCUUUACUCUGGGUGGACAGUUACACCUACUUUCCCUCUACAUCUGCUAGCCCACCACUGAAAGAGGUCAUGCAACAUACUCAACUAUGCUAGAGCCCAUAAUAGUUUGUGGCUGCACACGGAAGUUUCUAACAUGAAUAAUCUUAUGAUCCCUUUGAGCCUGGGUGGCGAACCGUAGGAUGAUCACACGGGUACUCCGGGAUAUCCUAGGACAACACUGGAUUCUCCAGGUGCCGAAACCAACAAUCCACCCAGAUGUGUAUUAAAGUUGCCACCUUAAGUUGAACCAUUAAAUAAUAACUCUCACAUCUGUCAUGAAUCACUCAACCAAUCCACGUCUACGAGCUUAGCAGAGUAGUAUGAGCAUAACGUAGAAGUAACUCCCAAGGUUUAAAUGCAGGACAAUAGGUUCGUACCUCAUCAACUACUUCCCAAUACCCACAUGUUAUCAAGUCCUAACCAUGCAGUAUUCAAGGGUUGAAACUAAUGCAUAAAACUGGGUAUGAAAGGGAUAUGAUCAAAGUGUGAACUUGCCUUGUACUGUUGAUGUAGAUGAUUCGCACUCAUAACUCCUGAUAGUUCUACUCGUCACACUCCGGUCAAUCUAUCGUGAGCAAGCAAUUGCAUACAUAAGCACUCAUGCAAAAGAAUCGAAGAAAAGAUCUCGGAAAGCUUCGAAAACAAGCAAUUUACUCUUGCAACAUAAAACAAUUUCGAACAGUACCAAAAUUGAGUGAAUUUGGCCUUAUCAGAAAGUUUAGGUCAAGUGCUUCGAUUUGCGAAAAUAAUCAACUCAAACGGAGUUAUAAGACUCAAGUUACGAUCAAAAGAAGAUUCAAAUUCAAAUCUGUUUGAAUUCAAAUUUUAAACUUUCAAAAACAUGUUUAAGUUGCUUAUCUGGAUAGAGGGGAUCAUAACGAAGAAGUGGGUGUUGGUUUCGUUGGAUUUGGACAAACGAGUAAAAAGUUACGAGCGUUGCAAGAUCAGGGACUAAUCUGUAAAAACAAUCGCGAAUAGGUCCCUGACGUGAAAAAAAAGAAAAAAAAGAAUUUUUUUAAACGGGCCGGCGGAUCGGGCGUAAAAUUGGAGGUGGGUCCAAGGCGGCGAGGCGGGCUGGAAGCGGACUCUAGCCGGAGUCGGUCACAUAUUUUUUUUAUAGAGUAAAAUUGUAAAGAAAAAAAAAUAAAACUAUUAUAUAUCGUAUUAUAUAUCAGAAUUUUCAGGAAAAGAUUUUCUACGUCAUGAACAUUUUUCUAGAGUCAAAUAAAAUCCAUAAAAAUUCAAAUAAUUCAAACAGUGCUACUGCUAUAAUAAAAUCCAGUAAAAAUCAUUUUAAAAAUACCAAAAUAAUUUCAAACCCAUUUUUCUCCAAUUUUCUAAUGUAGGGAAUCAUUUUACCCUAAUUUCCAUAUAUUUUAUUUUUGUAGAAAAAAUAGUUUGAAUAAAACCCAAAUAACUCCAAAAUGAAAAUAAUUCGAUAGGGACUUUUAAAUUGGAUUCUUUGAAACUCCCAACUCAUAUUUCAUAUGUUUUGAAGAAGUCAUUUUAUCUUCUCUCAUGAAAAUCAUUGAUUUGCUUAAAGUUUCUGAAUUGGAAAAUAUUUCCAAAAAAAAAUUCAAAUCUUUUCAUAACCCUUUUCAUUUAUUUAAAUGGAAGAAGUCAUGUCAUCUUCUCUCUAGGGUUUUGUAAUGAAGUAGAUUUGAAUUCAUGGAAAUCAGAAAGCAAAGAUGCAAGUUUGGGAAAGUCCUAUUAUUCCCUCUCAUUUAACUUUCAAAAAGUUUCAAAUUUCACUCAAUUUCACACAAGCAAUCAAACAAUCAAUCAAAACUAUCUAUUUGAUAUAACAUUCCAAAAUUUAGAAUUUUGGGAUGUUACAAACCUACCACCCUUAAAAUGAAUCUCGUCCUCGAGAUUUGGAGAGGCUAGCAAGAAAUAGGUUAGGUUUGGGGGUCUUCUCAAAAUCCACCGAUCAUCCCAGGGGGUCUGGGGUGCUACCACCCUUAGAAGCAUGGUUAUGGUUCCAUCAAAACUCAUAUACUCCAUCCUUAUUCUUGACAGUGUCUGUCUUCUCAUAUCCUCGAGAAAAUUCCUUCUCUGGGCUCUUCCGGUAGUGGCAUAACCUUUACCUCGAUUCUUGUGUCUUUUUUUUAUCUUGGUAAGGUUAUUCCGAGACUAGUCUUCUUAGCUGACGGGUCUGGCGCCAAUACUAAACAACUAUUGAUAUCUCAUGGUGGUCAACAAUUUAUGGUUUUUCCCGCAGGAAAUGGGUCUGGGCUUCAUUCUCAUCGUAUGACCUACAAUUGGCAACAGCUGCCUUGUACAAGGGAAAAUACCUAUACCAUUCUAAGGUUAAACAAGUUUUAAUAUCGCCGUCUCUCUACUAUAGGCAAGUCACUCAGAUUUACCAUCCCACAUAGCAAAGCGAAUAAUAAGAGUAAGUCGGUAUGGUGAUCAAUCCAUCCCGCACCCAAAUCAUUACCCUGUAUAUGGUUUAGCGAAUCUCGCAUUCUAACACUCGGUCAUCCUCACCAGCAUUGCAGAAUUUCUCUUGUCGUCAAACCAAGUUCGGAUGAAUCCAUUGAUUCUUCAUGCCAAACAAAUAUCUAUCGUUCCUUCACAACUCUCAGGUUUUGCGUUACUCCUAUAAAAUCGUCAGUGGGUAAGGUCGUAAUCUCUUCCAGGUUUUUUCCUUCAGCAAGAGUGUGCUUGCUCCUUGGCAGGUCCUGGGGCCUGUGGGUUAUGGCCCAUCUCAUCACUUGUAAACCUUAAACUCAUCAUCGGGGCAACAGAUCAUUAUUCCAACAUCCAGCUUCCUAGCAUUCUUAAAUACAUCCAAUUGUACUGUCUCCCUUCCUUCUAUUGGUGCCAAACUAAAAUGUGAUUACUCAAACUCAUCACGGGGUUACAAUUGCUCCAUAUUUCCAACAUCAUACCUCCUUUAUACUCCAAUAGUACUUCAUCCCUUCAUACUCUUGGGGUAUCCCACAUAUCGAGAUAAAGCUCAUACUUAUUUUGUCCGUACUCCACUUCGUGGAACAUCAUUAUCUCUUCCAGGGGUCAAGGGUUCUCACAGGGUACUACCACCCUUAAAAUGCCCCAGUUCCUCCAUAGACCAUAUUUCUCAUAUCCUCGAAAAUGGUCAAAAUCUUUCUUCAUAGAGUAACAACUCAUAAAAUCCAAAUCAGUACCAACGAUGCUAACUUCAUUGAUUCUCAAAUUAUUUCAAUCUCCUGCAUUUCCAUUACAUGCCUCAGCUCAACACCUCAAAACCAAGGAGUUGUUCCCACUACUUCUACUAUACUUCUCACAGACACAACUAAUUAUCACCAGUCUCCUUCUCCUUGGGACAAUCUCUGGCAAAGUGCCCUGCUUCAUUACAACGAAAACAUAUUACUUCCGACAAGUCUUGUGGUUUCCUUUUUGGGCAACCGCUGAAGUAGUGCCCUGACUCCUUGCACCUGAAACAGGUGAUAUGACUCGGGUCCUUCCUGGUAUCCAAUCUACUUCUCUUCCUGGACUUUUCCGUUCCAAUCAGGGCUUCUAUUUCCUUUGGGUCAUACUCUACUUCCUCUGUCAGGAAUUCUGCUAGAUCCCCGUUCUGACAAUUCAGGGAGAUGCGUCCUUCUUCUCCACAUGAAUAGCAAGACUUGGUGCAGGGUUUAAUUGGGUUUCCUUCGGGUGUGUCCUCCACCUCUUCCUUCAUCACGGGUUCUUCUAAAUUUUCCAUGAGGGCUCCUUUCAUUGCUUCUUUCUUCUACUGGAUGGUUCUUUGUACCAUAGGGUAAAUGUGACACUGAGCAGGGUAGUGGUUAGUCCCUUCACACCAGAAACAAGUAAUCUGCUUAGUUGGGCAUUCUUCAGAUGGGUGACUUUCUUCACAAUGAGGGCAUUCAUCCUUGUGUUCCUUAUGGUUAUGCCCUAUUUUCUCCACAGAGCUUGCAUGCAUAAAGUUUCUUCAUAUCAUUUCCAUAAGGCUUCAAUUUCUGGGACACAAACCAAGACUUUAGCAAAGUAAACUUAAAUUCUUUCCAAGUGGUUACUCCUUGCCAUCCAUUGAUGUUUUGGUACAUCCUCCACCAAGUAGCAGCACCUCUUUCAAAGCACUGAAGAGCAUGAUGGGUCAUAUCCUUUCCGGCUAUAGUGUUAAUCUUCAUAUGAUCCUCCAUGUUCUGAAUCCAUCGGUCUGUCUCCAAUUGAGUCAUCAGUCUAGAAAAAUAUGGGUUCAUCUCCAUUCAUUGUCUAUUGGGUCCAUGGGUUUUUGGGGUGGGAUAAGAGAGAUAGAGAGGGAUACACACAAUACAAACAAUAGUCUUGAAAAGACAGAUUUUUAUUGUGGCUGUCGGAAAAACAUCAAACAAAUGACAGCUCACAAUCGUCGCAUCUCACGUAGGUAUAAAACAAGGGUUUGGUCUUCUAAAGGUCAAUAACUCUUCAAGUCUUGUUCAUGUCUCCGAUGGCUGCUUCCGAUCGUGCUUGUCCUUCUGAAAUUUUUCUGCCAGGCCAUCUCUGUUGAUGCGAAGUCUCUCGUGACGUCAUUUAAUAUUCUGGAGUUGCAUUCCAAACUUCUGGGUUUCAACAUCCUUGGCAUGAACCAUGGUCCUACUGUUCUUCAGUCCUGACGAAUCUGUGGUAUCUCGAGGUUUUGCUCCUCCAGCUUGACUACUUUUAGCUUCUGGGUCCUGAGUUCUUCAUGAAAUAAUUCCUGGUCAAAAAUGGCUUCCUAAAGGUCCACCCUAAACUUCUUGAUGUAAGUAUCCAGAUCCUGGUGAUACACCAGCUAAAGUUAAAAGUGCAUCCUUUGCUGAUAGAUGCUCCCUCAGCCUUCUUCCAUCCAAUCCUUCCGAAGAAAUGCAUGCUUAACUCAGCACGGUGACAAUAGCAUAAGCGGGCGAUAAUACCAUGGAUACCCGUGUUUAUGCCCAUGUCAUUGCCAUGAGCUAUCAUUCCAUAGUUGAUAUCUCCUGCCUUAGGGUUUUCUUGACAAAAACUUUGAGUUUUAAUGCUCCAUGUUCCUGUCUUUCUCCGACACACCUUGAUCUCGAGUUUUGACAGCUUCAAUAGUCUGACAAAUUCCAUAAGGGUAGCAUUCCUAGGUCACACUAAUCUGGAAAUUCUUCAGAGCCUUCAAAUUCUCCUAGUCUUCGGUGUCUUCAACCGUUAUAGUUUCCAUUAAUAUAAUGCUCCGUAAAAUCCUCUUCAUUCCGAAGUGGUCUUGGUUGUCCAAUAUCUUGUCCUUCUUGGGUAGUCUCAUCAAUCGAAUCUUCGUGGUCAAAAGGGGAAAGGGGUAUAGUCUCACUAAAAUGGAAUAUUUGAAUAAGCUCAGAAAAGAAGAGAGGUAAAAGAUCUUUUUGAAAAUAAAGUUGUAGAGAAAAAUAUUUCCUAUGGGCUUGCCAGUUUCUAGGAGUCACGUCCUACAGUCAACAUGUGCUCUGAUACCAUCUUGUAGCGACCCGACCUCAGACGGUCAAGUCUCUGUGCUUAAGUGUCAUCCCUGGACCGGUAUGCUGACACACACAGUACUGGAGGAUUUAUAACAGAGGUCAAUCACAUGUAUAAAUAACGUAAAUAUUAUUAUUACCUCAAUCCAUAUAGCGAAAGUAUCGACAAGAUUGUGGAUUCCCAUCGACACCAACGGCAAAGUUGAGUGUAGACAUCGUAACCCUAAUGUAUCACUUACUCGUUGUAAGAAUCCUGCAACAUGAGACGUUGCAGCCACAAAGGUCAGUACAUUGAAUGUACUGGCAAAUUCACACCAUAGGAUAAUGAUGAAUAAAGGCUAUCACUACAUGCAUAUAUGGCUGGUGGAGGCUCUGGGUUUAUUUUUGCAUAAAGCCAAUUUUUCCCUACAUCAAAGGAAUAUAUUUUAUUUAUCUACAAAGUUGGUUGAUAAAUAUUGAGAAGGUUCCUCCAACUCAAUCCCCAUAAUAAUAGUUAUAACCCAACAACUUAAUUAAGUAAAGUGAUGAGAUCAAUAUGAUAAUCCAAGAACCAGAUAUUCAGGAAGUCCAUAACCGGGGACACGGCUAACCAUGAUUAGCUUGUACACUCUGAAGAGGUUUGCGCACUUUUUCCCAGAAGACUUGAUCUCCUCCGUUGGAUUUCUCGCACUGCAUGGUGUUUGAGAAACGGAUGACCGAAACACAGUCUUUCAGAAGCACUCACUCUUUACUCUGGGUGGACAGUUACACCUACUUUCCCUCUACAUCUGCUAGCCCACCACUUAAAGAGGUCAUACAACAUACUCAACUAUGCUAGAGCCCGUAAUAGCUUGUGGCUGCACACGGAAGUUUCUAGCAUGAAUAAUCUUAUGAUCCCUUUGAGCUUGGGUGGCGAACCGUAGGAUGAUCACACGGGUAAUCCGGGAUAUCCUAGGACAACACUGGAUUCUCCAGGUGCCCAAACCAACAAUCCACCCAGAUGUGUAUUAAAGUUGCCACCUUAAGUUGAACCAUUAAAUAAUAACUCUCACAUCUAUCAUGAAUCACUCAACCAAUCCACGUGUACGAGCUUAACAGAGCAGUAUGAGCAUAACGUAGAAGUAACUCCCAAGGUUUGAAUGCAGGACAAUAGGUUCCUACCUCGUCAACUACUUCCCAAUACCCACAUGUUGUCAAGUCCUAACCAUGCAGUAUUCGAGGGUUGAAACUAAUGCAUAAAAACUGGGUAUGAAAGGGAUAUGAUCAAAGUGUGAACUUGCCUUGUACUGUUGAUGAAGAUGAUUCGCACUCAUAACUCCUGAUAGUUCUACUCGUCACACUCUAGUCAAUCUACUGUGAGCAAGCAAUUGCAUACAAAAGCACUCAUGCAAAAGAAUCGAAGAAAAGAUCUCGGAAAGCUUUGAAAACAAGCAAUUUACUCUUGCAACAUAAAAAAAAUUCUAACAGUACCAAAAUUGAGUGAAUUUGGCCUUAUCAGAAAUUUUAGGUCAAGAUCUUUGAUUUGCAUAAAGAAUCAACUCAAACGGAGUUAUAAGACUCAAGUUACGAUCAAAAGAAGAUUCAAAUUCAAAUCUGUUUGAAUUCAAAUUUUAAACUUUCAAAAACAUGUUUAAGUUGUUUAUCUGGAUAGAGGGGAUCAUAACGAAGAAGUGGGCGUUGGUUUCGUUGGAUUUCGACAAACGAGUAAAAAGUUACGAGCGUUGCAAUAUCAGGGACUAAUUUGUAAAACAAAUCACGAAUAGGUCCCUGACAUGAAAAUAAAAGAUUUUUUUUAAACGGGCCGGCGGAUCGGGCGUACCGGGCGGCGAACGACGGGGCGACAGGCAGCGCUGGGCGGCGACGNNNNNNNNNNNNNNNNNNNNNNNNNNNNNNNNNNNNNNNNNNNNNNNNNNNNNNNNNNNNNNNNNNNNNNNNNNNNNNNNNNNNNNNNNNNNNNNNNNNNNNNNNNNNNNNNNNNNNNNNNNNNNNNNNNNNNNNNNNNNNNNNNNNNNNNNNNNNNNNNNNNNNNNNNNNNNNNNNNNNNNNNNNNNNNNNNNNNNNNNNNNNNNNNNNNNNNNNNNNNNNNNNNNNNNNNNNNNNNNNNNNNNNNGUUAUAUAAAGGGGCAGGGGAGGCCCGAUUUGGAGGAGGGUCCAAGGCGGCGAGGCGGGCUGGAAGCGGACUCUAGCCGGAGUCGGUCGCGGAUUUUUUUUACAGAGUAUAAUUGUAAAGACAAAAUGAAAAUAAUUCCUGAAGGAAAUAUGCCCUAGAGGCAAUAAUAAAGUUAGUAUUUAUUUCCUUAUAUCAUGAUAAAUGUUUAUUAUUCAUGCUAGAAUUGUAUUAACCGGAAACAUGAUACAUGUGUGAAUACAUAGACAAACAGAGUAUCACUAGUAUGCCUCUACUUGACUAGCUCGUUGAAUCAAAGAUGGUUAAGUUUCCUAGCCAUAGACAUGAGUUGUCAUUUGAUUAACGGGAUCACAUCAUUAGGAGAAUGAUGUGAUUGACAUGACCCAUUCAAUUAGCUUAGCACUUGAUCGUUUAGUAUGUUGCUAUUGCUUUCUUCAUGACUUAUACAUGUUCCUAUGACUAUGAGAUUAUGCAACUCCCGUUUACCGGAGGAACACUUUGUGUGCCACCAAACGUCACAACGUAACUGAGUGAUUAUAAAGGUGCUCUACAGGUGUCUCCAAAGGUACUUGUUAGGUUGGCGUAUUUCGAGAUUAGGAUUUGUCACUCCGAUUGUCGGAGAGGUAUCUCUAGGCCCACUCGGUAAUGCACAUCACUAUAAGUCUUGCAAGCAUUGCAACUAAUGAGUUAGUUGGGGGAUGAUGUAUUACAGAACGAGUAAAGAGACUUGCCGGUAACGAGAUGGAAAUAGGUAUUGAGAUACCGACGAUCGAAUCUCAGGCAAGUAACAUACCAAUGACAAAGGGAACAACGUAUGUUGUUAUGCGGUCUGACCGAUAAAGAUCUUCGUAGAAUAUGUGGGAGCCAAUAUGAGCAUCCAGGUUCCGCUAUUGGUUAUUGACCGGAGACGUGUCUCGGUCAUGUCUAAAUAGUUCUCGAACCCGUAGGGUCCGCACGCUUAAAGUUUGAUGACGGUUAUAUUAUGAGUUUAUGUGUUUUGAUGUGCCGAAGGUUGUUCGGAGUCCCGGAUGUGAUCACGGACAUGACGAGGAGUCUCAAAAUGGUCGAGACAUAAAGAUUGAUAUAUUGGACGACUAUGUUUGGACACCGGAAAGGUUCCGAAAGGUUUCGGACAUUUAUCGGAGUACCGGGGGUUACCGGGACCCCCUGGGAACUAAUGGGCCUUGUUGGGCCCUAGUGGAGAGAGAGAGGGGCCGGCCAGGGCAAGAGGCGCCCCCCCUCCCCUUGAGUCCGAAUAGGACAAGGAAGGGGGGGGGGGGCGGCGCCCCCCUUGCCUUUCCCCUCUCCCACUCCUUCCUCACCCCUCCUUCUUGGACUUGGAAAGGGAGGGGCAAACCUACUUGGAGUAGGUUUCCCCCUCCUACUGCGCGCCACCCCCUUGGCCGGCCCUCUCCUCCUCCCCCUUUAUAUACGGAGGAGGGGGGCACCCCAUAGACACAACAAUUGAUCUCUUGAUCUCUUAGCCGUGUGCGGUGCCCCCCUCCACCAUAAUCCACCUCGAUAAUAUCGUAGCGGUGCUUAGGCGAAGCCCUGCGUCGGUAGAACAUCAUCAUCGUCACCACGCCGUCGUGCUGACGAAACUCUCCCUCAACACUCGGCUGGAUCAGAGUUCGAGGGACGUCAUCGAGUUGAACGUGUGCAGAACUCGGAGGUGCCGUGCGUUCGGUACUUGAUCGGUCGGAUCGUGAAGAUGUACGACUACAUCAACCACGUUGUGCUAACGCUUCCGCUUUUUGUCUACGAGGGUACGUGGACACACUCUCCCCUCUUGUUUCUAUGCAUCACCAUGAUCUUGCGUGUGCGUAGGAAUUUUUUUGAAAUUACUACGUUCCCCAACAGUGGUAUCAGAGCCAGGUUUUAUGCGUUGAUGUAAUAUGCACGAGUAGAACACAAGUGAGUUGUGGGCGAUAUAAGUCAUACCUCUUACCAGCAUGUCACACUUUGGUUCGGCGGUAUUGUUGGAUGAAGCGGCCCGGACCGACAUUACGCGUACGCUUACGCGAGACUGGUUUUACCGCCGUGCUAUGCACACAGGUGACUAGCGGGUGUCAGUUUCUCCAACUUUAGUUGAACUGAGUGUGGCUACGCCCGGUCCUUGCGAAGGUUAAAACAGCACCAACUUCACAAACUAUCGUUGUGGUUUUGAUGCGUAGGUAAGGACGGUUCUUGCUCAGCCCGUAGCAGCCACGUAAAACUUGCAACCACAAAGUAGAGGACGUCUAACUUGUUUUUGCAGGGCAUGUUGUGAUGUGAUAUGGUCAAGGCAUGAUGCUAUAUUUUAUUGUAUGAGAUGAUCAUGUUUUGUAACCGAGUUAUCGACAAAUGGCAGGAGCCAUAUGGUUGUCGCUUUAUUGUAUGCAAUGCAAUCGCCCUGUAAUUGCUUUACUUUAUCACUAAGCGGUAGCGAUAGUCGUAGAAGCAAUAGUUGGCGAGACGACAACAAUGCUAUGAUGGAGAUCAAGGUGUCAUGCUGGUGACGAUGGUGAUCAUGACGGUGCUUCGGAGAUGGAGAUCACAAGCACAAGAUGAUGAUGGCCAUAUCAUAUCACUUAUAUUGAUUGCAUGUGAUGUUUAUCUUUUAUGCAUCUUAUCUUGCUUUGAUUGACGGUAGCAUCAUAAGAUGAUCUCUCACUAAAUUAUCAAGGUAUAAGUGUUCUCCCUGAGUAUGCACCGUUGCGAAAGUUCUUCGUGCUGAGACACCACGUGAUGAUCGGGUGUGAGAGGCUCUACGUUCAAAUACAACGGGUGCAAAACAGUUGCACACGCAGAAUACUCAGGUUAAACUUGACGAGCCUAGCAUAUAACUGAUAUGGCCUCGGAACACUGAGACCGAAAGGUCGAGCGUGAAUCAUAUAGUAGAUAUGAUCGACAUAGUGAUGUUCACCAUUGAAACUACUCCAUCUCACGUGAUGAUUGGACAUGGUUUAGUUGAUUUGGAUCAUGUGAUCAUUUAGAGGAUUAGAGGGAUGUCUAUCUAAGUGGGAGUUCUUAAGUAAUAUGAUUAAUUGAACUUAAAUUUAUCAUGAACUUAGUACCUGAUAGUAUUUUGCUUGUCUAUGUUGAUUGUAGAUAGAUGGUCCGUGCUGUUGUUCCGUUUAUUUUUGAUAUGUCCCUAGAGAAAACUAAGUUGAAAGAUGUUAGUAGCAAUGAUACGGAUUGGAUCCGUGAUCUGAGGAUUAUCCUCAUUGCUGCACAGAAGAAUUAUGUCCUUGAUGCACCGCUAGGUGACAGACCUAUUGCAGGAGUAUAUGCAGACGUUAUGAACGUUUGACAAAGCUCGGUAUGAUAACUACUUGAUAGUUUAGUGCACCAUGCUUUACGGCUUAGAACCGGGACUUCAAAAUUGUUUUGAACGCCACGGAGCAUAUACGAUGUUCCAAGAGUUGAAAUUGAUAUUUCAUACUCAUGCCCGUGUCGAGAGGUAUGAGACCUCUGACAGUACUUUGCCUACAAGAUGGAGGAGAAUAGCUCAACCAGUGAGCAUGUGCUCAUAAUGUCUGAGUACUACAAUUGCUUGAAUCAAGUGGGAGUUUAUCUUCCAGAUAAGAUAGCGAUUGACAGAAUUCUCUAGGCACUAUCACAAAGUUACUAGAACUUCGUGAUGAACUAUAAAAUGCAAGGGAUGAUGUAAACGAUUCCCGAGCUCUUCGUGAUGCUGAAAUCGACGAAGGUAGAAGUCAAGAAAAGCAUCAAGUGUUGAUGGUUGACAAGACCACUAGUUUCAAGAAAAGGGCAAAGGGAAGAAGGGGAACUUCAAGAAGAACGAGAAGCAAGUUGCUGCUCAAGUGAAGAAGCCCAAAUCUGGACCUAGGCCUGAGACUAAGUGCUUCUAUUGCAAAGGGAUUGGUCACUGGAAGCGGAACUACCCCAAGUAUUUGGCGGAUAAGAAAGGAUGGCAAAAGUAAACAAAGUUAUAUUUGAUAUACAUGUUAUUGAUGUGUACUUUACUAGUGUUCAUAGCAACCCCUCAGUAUUUGAUACUAUUUGAGUUGCUAAGAUUAGUAACACAAAUCGGGAGUUGCAGAAUGAACAGAGACUAGUUAAGGGUGAAGUGACGAUGUGUGUUGGAAGUGGUUCCAAGAUUGAUAUGAUCAUCAUCGCACACUCCCUAUACUUCGGGAUUAGUGUUGAAAUAAGUGUUAUUUGGUGUUUGCGUUGAGCAUGAAUAUGAUUUGACCAUGUUUAUUGCAAUACUGUUAUUCAUUUAAGUUAGAGAAAAUUGUUGUUCUGUUUACAUGAAUAAAACCUUCUAUGGUCAUACACACCAACGAAAAUGGUUUGUUGGCUCUCGAUCGUAGUGAUACACAUAUUCAUAAUAUUGAAGCCAAAAGAUGCAAAGUUAAUAAUGAUAGGGCACCUUAUUUGUGGCACUGCCGUUUAGGUCAUAUUGGUGUAAAGCGCAUGAAGAAACUCCAUGUUGAUGGAAUUUUGGAAUCACUUGAUGCUUGCGAACCAUGCCCUAUGGACAAGAUGACUAAAACUCCGUUCUUCGGAACAAUGGAGCGAGCAACUGAAUUAUUGGAAAUAAUACAUACUGAUGUAUGCGAUCCGAUGAGUUUUGAGGCUCACGGCGGGUAUCAUUAUUUUCUGACCUUCACAGAUGAUUUGAGCAGAUAUGGGUAUAUCUACUUGAUGAAACAUAAGUCUGAAACAUUUGAAAAGUUCAAAGAAUUUCACAGUGAAGUGGAAAAUCAUCGUGUCAAGAAAAUGAAGUUUCUACGAUUUGAUCGCGGAGACGAAUAUUUGAGUUACGAGUUUGCCCUUCAGUUAAAACAAUGUGAAAUAGUUUCACUACUCACGCCACCUGGAACACCACAGUGUAAUGGUGUGUCCGAACGUCAUAACCGUACUUUAUUGGAUAUAGUGCGAUCUAUGAUGUUUCUUACCGAUCUACCACUAUCGUUUUGGAGUUAUGCAUUAGAGACAGCUACAUUCACGUUAAAUAGGGCACCAUCUAAAUCCGUUGAGACGACACCUUAUGAACUUUGGUUUGGCAAGAAACCAAAAGUUGUCGUUUCUUAAAAUUUAGGGUUGCGAUGCUUAUGUGAAAAAGUUUCAUCCUAAUAAGCUCAAACCCAAAUAGGAGAAAUGUGUCUUCAUAGGAUACCCAAAGGAGACAGUUGGGUACACCUUCUAUCACAGAUCCGAAGGCAAGAAUUUUGUUGCUAAAUUUGGAAUCUUUCUAGAGAAGGAGUUUCUCUCGAAAGAAGUGAGUGGGAGGAAAGUAGAACUUGAUGAGGUAACUGUACCUGCUCCAUUAUUGGAAAGUAGUUCAUCACAGAAACCGGUUCCUGUGACACCUACACCAAUUAGUGAGGAAGUUAAUGAUGAUGAUCAUGAAACUUCAGAUCAAGUUACUACCGAACCUCGUAGGUCAACAAGAGUAUGAUCCGCACCAGAGUGGUACGGUAAUCCUGUUCUGGGGGUCAUGUUACUUGACCAUGACGAAUCUACGAACUAUGAGGAAGCGAUGAUGAGCCCAAAUUCCGCAAAAUGGUUUGAGGCCAUGAAAUCUAAGAUGGGAUCCAUGUAUGAGAACAAAGUAUGGACUUUGAUUGACUUGCCCAAUGAUCGGCGAGUCAUUGAGAUUAAAUAGAUCUUCAAGAGGAAGACGGACGCUGAUAGUAGUGUUACUAUCUACAAAGCUAGAAUUGUCGCAAAAGGUUUUCGACAAGUUCAAGGUGUUGACUACGAUGAGAGUUUCUCACUCGUAUCUAUGCUUAAGUCUGUCUGAAUCAUGUUAAGAAUUGCCGCAUUUUAUGAAAUCUGGCAAAUGGAUAAACAAAACUGCAUUCCUUAAUGGAUUUAUUAAAGAAGAGUUGUAUAUGAUGCAACCAGAAGGUUUUGUCAAUCCUAAAGGUGCUAACAAAAUAUGCAAGCUCCAGCGAUCCAUCUAUGGACUGGUGCAAGCAUCUCGGAGUUGGAAUAUACACUUUGAUAAGUUGAUCAAAGCAUAUAGUUUUAUACAGACUUGCGGUGAAGCCUGUAUUUACAAGAAAGUGAGUGGGAGCACUACAACAUUUCUGAUAAGUAUAUGUGAAUGACAUAUUGUUGAUUGGAAAUAAUGCAGAAUUAUUCUGCAAAGCAUAAAGGAGUGUUUGAAAGGAGUUUUUCAAAGAAAGACCUCGGUGAAGCUGCUUACAUGUUGAGCAUCAAGAUCUAUAGAGAUAGAUCAAGACGCUUGAUAAGUUUUUUCAAUGAGUACAUACCUUGACAAGUUUUUGAAGUAGUUCAAAUUGGAACAGUCAAAGAAGGAGUUCUUGAAUGUGUCGCAAGGUGUAAAGUUGAGUAAAGACUCAAAAACCGACCACGGCGGAAAAUAGAAAAGAGAAUGAAGGUCAUUCCCUAUGCCUCACUCAUAGGUUCUAGAAAGUAUGCUAUGCUGUGUACCAGACCUGUUGUGUACCUCACCAUGAGUUUGGCAAGAGGGUACGAUAGUGAUCUAGGAGUAGAUCACUUGACAGCGGUCAAAAUUAUCCUUAGUGGAAUAAGGAUAUAUUUCUCGAUUAUGGAGGUGAUAAAGAGUUCGUCGUAAAGAGUUACGUCGAUGCAAGCUUUUACAUCGAUCUGGAUGACUCUAAGUCUCGAUCUAGAUACAUGUUCAAAGUGGGAGCUAUUAGCUAGAGUAGCUCCGUACAGAGCAUUGUAGACAUAGAAAUUUGAAAAAUACUUACGGAUCUGAAUGUGACAGAACCGUUGAAUAAAAUUAUCUCACAAGCAAAACAUGAUCACACCUUAGUAAUCUUUGGGUGUUAAUCACAUAGCAAUGUGAACUAGAUUACUGACUCUAGUAAACCAUUUGGGUGUUGGUCACAUGUCGAUGUGAACUAUGGGUGUUAACCACAUAAAGAUUUGAACCAUUGAUGUUAAAUCACAUGGCGAUGUGAACUAGAUUAUUGACUCUAGUGCAAGUGGGAGACUGAAGGAAAUAUGCCCUAGAGACAAUAAUAAAGUUAUUAUUUAUUUCCUUAUAUCAUGAGAAAUUCUUAUUAUUCAUGCUAGAAUUGUAUUAACCGGAAACAUGAUACAUGUGUGAACACAUAGACAAACAGAGUGUCACUAGUAUGCCUCUACUUGACUAGCUCGUUGAAUCAAAGAUGGUUAAGUUUCCUAGCCAUAGACAUGAGUUGUGAUUUGAUUAACGGGAUCACAUCAUUAGGAGAAUGAUAUGAUUGACUUGACCCAUUCCGUUAGCUUAGCACUUGAUCAUUUAGUAUGUUGCUAUUGCUUUCUUCACGACUUAUACAUGUUCCUAUGACUAUGAGAUUAUGCAACUCCCGUUUAUCGGAGGAACACUUUGUGUGCCACCAAACGUCACAACGUAACUGGGUGAUUAUAAAGGUGCUCUACAGGUGUCUCCAAAGGUACUUGUUGGGUUGGCGUAUUUCGAGAUUAGGAUUUGUCACUCCGAUUGUCGGAGAGGUAUCUCUGGGCCCACUCGGUAAUGCACAUCACUAUAAGCCUUGCAAGCAUUGCAACUAAUGAGUUAGUUGUGGGAUGAUGUAUUACAGAAUGAGUAAAGAGACUUGCCGGUAACGAGAUUGAACUAGGUAUUGAGAUACCGACGAUCGAAUCUCGGGCAAGUAACAUACCGAUGACAAAGGGAACAACGUAUGUUGUUAUGCGGUCUGAUCGAUAAAGAUUUUCAUAGAGUAUGUGGGAGCCAAUAUGAGCAUCCAGGUUCCACUAUUGGUUAUUGACCGGAGACGUGUCUCGGUCAUGUCUACAUAGUUCUCGAACCCGUAGGGUCCGCACGCUUAAAGUUUGAUGACGGUUAUAUUAUGAGUUUAUGUGUUUUGAUGUACCGAAGGUUGUUCGGAGUCCCGGAUGUGACCACGGACAUGACGAGGAGUCUCGAAAUGGUCGAGACGUAAAGAUUGAUAUAUUGGACGACUAUGUUUGGACACCGGAAAGGUUCCGAAAGGUUUCAGACAUUUAUCGGAGUACCGGGGGUUACCGGAACCCCCCGGGAACUAAUGGGCCUUGUUGGGCCCUAGUGGAGAGAGAGAGGGGCCGGCCAGGGCAAGAGGCGCGCCCCCUCCCCUUGAGUCCGAAUAGGACAAGGAAGGGGGGACGGGCGCUCCCCUUGCCUUUCCCCUCUCCCACUCCUUCCUUCCCCCUCCUUCUUGGACUAGGAAAGGGAGGGGCAAACCUACUUGGAGUAGGUUUUCCCCUCCUAGGGCGCGCCACCCCCUUGGCCGGCCCUCUCCUCCUCCCCCUUUAUAUACGGAGGAGGGGGGGCACCCCAUAGACACAACAAUUGAUCUCUUGAUCUCUUAGCCGUGUGCGGUGCCCCCCACCACCAUAAUCCACCUCGAUAAUAUCGUAGCGGUGCUUAGGCGAAGCCCUGCGUCGGUAGAACAUCAUCAUCGUCACCACGCCGUCGUGCUGACGAAACUCUCCCUCAACACUCGGCUGGAUCGGAGUUCGAGGGACGUCAUCGAGUUGAACAUGUGCAGAACUCGGAGGUGCCGUGCGUUUGGUACUUGAUCGGUCGGAUCAUGAAGACAUACGACUACAUCAACCGCGUUGUGCUAAUGCUUCCUCUUUCGGUCUACGAGGGUAUGUGGACACACUCUCCCCUCUCGUUGGUAUGCAUCACCAUGAGCUUGCGUGUGUGUAGGAUUUUUUUUUUGAAAUUACUACGUUCCCCAACAAUUCCAUAGGGACUUUUAAAUUUGAUUCUUUGAAACUCCCAACUCAUAUUUCAUAUGUUUGGAAGAAGUCAUUUUAUCUUCUCUCAUGAAAAUCAUUGAGUUGCUUAAAUUUUCUGAAUUGGAAAAUAUUUCCAAAAAAAAUUCAAAUCUUUUCAAAACCCUUUUCAUUUAUUUAAAUGGAAGAAGUCAUGUCAUCUUCUCUCUAGGGUUUUGUAAUGAAAUAGAUUUGAAUUCAUGGAAAUCAGAAAGCAAAGAUGCAAGUUUGGGAAAGUCCUUUUAUUCCCUCUCAUUUAACUUUCAAAAAGUUUCAAAUUUCACUCAAUUUCACACAAGCAAUCAAACAAUCAAUCAAAACUAUCUAUUUAAUAUAACAUUCCAAAAUUUAGAAUUUUUGGAUGUUACAGCUUCUUCCUCCCUAAUUUUCCAGGACAUGGAGCGGGUUCUACUAAGAGCAACUCUAGCAGACGCGCUAUAUCCCCCUCCUCACAAUUGUUUUACGGUUAACCUUAAAACGAUUUUGUGGGAAAUAUUAGCACUUUUCUGACUAAUCUAAUCCACGAGUAAGCAGUAAACAUGGCAAAUACGGUAUGUAUCUCAUACCAAUACCUAAGCAUGUGAGGACGUAUAGUACAUAGAACCGAAACAUCUAUGAACAACAUAUAUACGGCAAGCACAUGAAUGAGCGGAUAGGGGAUGAACGAGUCAUACCCUCCGGUUGGCCAGGCCAACACGGCGGCGGCAGCAGCAGCCUCGGUAUCAGCCAAGGCCUUCUUCUUGGCAAUUUCGUCAUCCGCCAUGGAGUCGAUGUAGAGGAAGUAGUGGAAGCAGAGGCGGACAAAGACGGGAACGGAUCGGGAGCAGUCGCGUCGAGACGCCCCAAAAACCUUAUUGCUGUUCUCCCGGGCAGGAUCUCGAACGACAGGGUUCCGGAGGCACCUGCCCUCCCGACCAACCGUGCACGCGGUCCUCGGGAUGGGGUCGCCGGAAGCAGCAUAGAGAGAGGAACAAUAGAUGACGGCUAGGGUUGUGCGAGAGGGAGUGAGUGAACUGAGUAAGGGUUCACUCCACUGGCGAGCGCCUUCUUAUAUAGGCCGUCGGGCCUUGGCUCAGGCCCACGACUAAGUCCGCGAACAGCCCACGGUCCAACGUCUCGGAUAGUGGCACUUCCGUAAGCGACUCGUUAAUUAAUCCGAGAUUAAUUAACCAUUCCUCACCGAUAGAAAUAAGCUUCGGCUUGGCUCAUUCCCGCAACCCGCGGCGCGCGCGCGCGUCGUGGCGAGCCGAGGCGUGGCGAGGCGAGGCGGGCGGCGGCGAAGGAGGAGCGCACGUGUACAACUCCUAUUCCCAAGCUCCCAAUAGCAAGUGGUAGAGCAGCCCUUAUAAAGAGGUCUCACUCUUCUUACUAUAGUAGUACGGUACUAAACUUCCCACCAAACUUCCCACCACCUGCCAUACACAUGCAUGGGUCUUAGAGAUUUACCAUGGAUUAUUGUCUUAUAUGGGCCUAAGCCCAUCCAUAAUCCAUCAAUCCCCACCAGAUCUUGAGGCACAUAAGUUUGUCAACUGUACCAAACAAUGUUUGAUAUACCAGAAUUUCCAGUGGAGACUGUUAAGUUGAACUUCCACCUAGAGCAAUAGGAUUAGACUUCUUCAUAACUAGACAAUGGACUAUGUCUUGAAUUGUCAUUUUGGCGUGCAGAAGUUUCGCCUAUUGUCAGCUGAUACAUGCCUGCUGAAGGCUAAACCCCACAGGUGGAGCUUAUUAGUCAUAUUCCGUACCUUCUCAUGAGCUUCCUAGCGAUCACCCAAUCUCAUAGACUGUAACCAACAGUCAGGCUCACAUAGGUGUGUUCCUCCAAGGAAUGUUCUGUAGGUUAGCAUCUUGCUUACAUAAGCUUUGGAACACAUUAAGACAAAAGUCAGCCUGCCUUACAGAAUUGAGAGUAUUAUUGCAUCUCCAACAGAGUGGGUUAAUUAAGGAUACUCUCCUCAAUUGACCGCUGGAUUGUUUUCCCGGGUCCUAAUUCACGGGAUGUUCGAUCACAUAGGUUGGGUUACUCCCAUGGAAACUUAUGUGGGUCUCGUACCCAUCUCCCUCGAUGCAUUCACAAUCCGUGAUAGCCCUUUCGUAAAAGGGUCUGCCAGAUUUUUAGCAGUCUGGAUAUAAUCCAACGCUAUCACUCUGGAGUUUCUUGAUUUUCUGGCAGAUUUUAAUCUUCUUCUUAUAUGCUUUGUGGAUUUCAUGUUGUCCUUUGAACUCUUAGCCUUGGCAAUCACAGUUGGAUUGUCACAGUUUAUAAGGACAGCUAGGACUGGUUUAUCAACCAUUGGCAAAUCCAUCAAAAGCUCUCGAAGCCAUUCUGCUUCGACGCAUGAUGUGUCUAAUGCUGUGAGUCCUGCUUCCAUAGUCGAUCUCGUUAAGAUCAUCUGCUUGCAAGAUUUCCAGGAAACAGAACCACCACCAAGUGUGAAGACAUAUCCACAUGUGGCUUUGAUCUUAUCAGCAUCAGAUAUCCAAUUCGAAUCACUAUACCCCUCAAGUACCGUCGGGUACCCAGAAUAGUGAAUUCCGUAGUUCACAGUGCCUUGCAAGUAACGCAUCACUCACUCAACAGCAUGCCCAUGAACAUCUCCCGGAUUGGAAAUAAACCGGCUCAGUUUGCACACAGCAAAUGAGAUGUCAGGACGAGUAGCACAAGCUAGGUACAUCAGUGAACCAACCACUUGAGAAUAUUUCAAUUGAUCUACAGCCGUGCCUUCGAACUUUCGAAUCCGCACGCUAGGAUCAUAUGAUGUUGCAGAAGGUUUGCAGUCCGAAUAUCCAAAACGGCUCAAAAUCUUCUCAACAUAGUGGGAUUGCAAAAGUGUAAUUCCACCCUCGGUAUCUCUCAGUAGCUUGAUGUUUAAGAUAACAUCAGCCACACCCAGGUCUUUCAUCUCAAAGUUAUGAGAUAGAAGAGCAUGCGAGGCAGCCAAUGCGAGUAACACUCGAAUGGUUGUGAAUCUAGCCACAUGUGAGUAAGUAUCAAAGAAAUCCCCUUCUUCUUUCUGGGUAUAACCCUCACUACAGGAAUCAGGCACUUUGCCGUCUGCCAUGGCUGACGGUAAAGGCAUGCCUGGCGGACGGCAAAUACCUUUGCCGUCAGCUAACAGACGGCAGCAGGUCCGGCUGAAUAGGCUACGACAAAGGGUUCUUUGCCGUCUGCUAGCGGACGGCAAAGAUGAAAUGGUCUUUGCCGUCCACCAGCGGGCGGCAAAGAGCCUGGACGGCACACGUGGCGGGUUAGGUCCGUUAGGGGGUUAACGUCGUGAUUUGCCGUCAGCUGGCGGAUGGCAAAGACCUUUGCAUAUUUGCCGUCUGCCAGCAGAUGGCAUAGCAGACCACGUGGCAGCACCUGGGGGCUGGCCUAUUUGAUUUCUUUGCCGUUUGGUGGCUGACGGCAAAGAUGCAAUGGUCUUUGCCGUCUGCCAGCAGACGGCAGAGCAUCCAAAUAGCCUGCCUAUUGCCCCAGGUUGCACAGGUAGCUGACACGUGGCAUAUUUGCCAUCUGCUGGCUGAUGGCAAAGCUCUUUGCUGUCUGCCAGCAGACGGCAAAGAGCCUGUAUAGCCCCUGUUUUUUCCGCUUUUUCUUAAAUUUAUUCAAUUUCACAGAUAUAUAUAUGGACACAUAUGAAAAUACUUUCGACAAGCAAACCAACACAUAUACAUACCAAAUCAUAUCCCUGCCAUAUGGAUAUGAUCAUCCAACACAUAUACAUAGCAAAUCAAAAGUCCAUAUGCAACAUAUAUAGCUAGCCAACAUAUCCAACAACAAGCAUACAAUGGUUUCAUCCAUACAUACAUAUAUAGGUAGAAAGUUUCACAUUGUUCAUCCCAGAAAAUCAAAACAAGAAGGAAGCAUAAAGAGAAGAGUAGACUCUAUGAACGCAAGCUUCCUCAUCUAAAGCAAAUCUGCAAACUGGGAAAGAAGAAAGUUAGAAGAAGAAGAAGAAGACUAGUUAGAAGAAGAAGAAGAAAAAGAAGAACAACAAGAAGAAGAAGAUGAAGAAGAAGAUUUCUUUUCUUCUCUUUCUUUUUCUCCUCUCCUCUUCUUUAUCUUCUUCUUCUUCUAACUAAGGUAGGUAAAAAUGCCAUUUUAUUGCUAAGCUAGGUAAAAAUGCUAAGUGUAGGUCAUUUUAGAGCUAAGCUAGGUAAAUAGGUCAUUUUGGAGCUUAGUAAUGUUAUUAUGUCAUUUUCGAGGAAAAUAAGCUAAGUCUAUAUCAUUUUGGAGGUAACAAAGAUUAUCAUGCCAUUUUUGACCUAAGUAUGUCAUAAAUGAACUGAAGAAGCUAAGUAUAGCUCAUUUUUUGUCUAACUUAGGUAAUUAUGCCAUUUAGGAGGAAAGUAAGCUAAGUAUGCAUUUGUUAAGCAAAACACUAGACAAAACUUACCCUCAUCACAACAAAUGCGAUGAACAUCGCAACUAAGGUAACAAUUGAUCCAACGGCAUAAUGAUAUCUCAUUAUCAAUGGCAUAUUUUCUAAUCUUCUUAAUAUUCAAGCGCAUUGCAUCCAUCUUCAAGCGCAUUGCAUUCAUCUUCAUCUUGUGAUCAUCUACGACAUCGGCAACAUACAACUCCAAUGUCAUCUUCUCUUCUUCAAUUCUUUUAAUUUUUUUCUUUCAAAUACUCAUUUUCUUUUUCCACUAAAUUUAACUUCUCAACAAGAGGGUCGGUUUCAAAUUCCGGUUCACAUACCUCCUAGAUUAAAAUAUCCCUAUGUCAAUUUGAUGGCCAUAAUUGUCAUAAAUGCGAAAUGCAACAAAUAGUUAUGAAAGAGAAUUUACCACAUCCGAAUCAUAAAGCGGGCGAGGGCCGACGCGGACGGACAUCAAGACCAUGGCACUAUGUAUAAGAAACAAUCAUACAAAGUAAGAAAAUUAUACAAGUAACUAUAUAAAUCAUACAAUCAUACAAGUAACUAUAUAAAUCAAGUACAACAUAAAAAAUUGAAUACCUAAUAAUAAUCUGGAUCGUCGGGUUCAAUAAAUGCUCCGGGAGCAAUAAAUGCAUCAUCAUCACUAUCGGUAAUGACGUGCUCAUCAUCAUCAUCAUUAAUAAAUGCAUCAUCAUGUGGAAGGCCACCUUUACGUAAUCGGUCAAGCAUUGACAGGUCAUCCGUAGCAGUAACCUCUUCUAGUUCAGGCUCUUCUUGUUCCAGCUCAGGGGUGAAGUCGGGUUCACUGUCGCUGUCUACUUCAAUGUUCUGGGGUGAAGUAGAGCGGUUCUUGAAACGUUUCUUGGAAAGAUGUGUUUCUUGGAAGAAUUCUCCUUCAUAUGUGUCUGGGUUAAUGUGAGGUUCAUAAUCCUCUUCAUUGGGGGGGGGGGGUUGUAUAACACGUGGCGGCACUUCAUAAACGACAUCCCAACCAUUGAGAUUUGGAUCAUUUUGACAGGCGCACUGUAGAUAGAAAACUUGGGUUGCAUGUUGAGCCAUAAUAUAGACAUCGGGAACAUCCAAAUGGGUGCUUUGUUUGAUUUCCACUAGCCCUAAGUGUUCAUGAAUCCUUCUAGUCUCCGUCGGCUGGAACCAAUAACAUUUGAAGACUACGACGUUUGGUGGGUUUGCACCAUAGAAUUGAAGUUCAUAAAUUGCUUCAACUCUUCCAUAAUACUCGGUAUCUCCUUCGCCGAUAGCAGAGACACACCAAUUUGUAGACUUUCGGUCGGCCAUAGAUAGCUCUUUGCCAUAGGUACGAAAGCGAUACCCGUUGAUGUCGCAUUUGUCAAAUGAACGAACCUUAAAGUCAAAACCACUAGCGACUUGUCUCAAUUCGGCGUCCAUUAACUCUGAAAUUAGCCUACAAGUUUAAUACGAAAGGGAUUGUUGCAUUAGCCACAAAUUAGACGAAGAAAUGAAAUGGUCUAAUGGAAAUUGCCAUUUGUUUGAACCAAGAGAUGAAACCGGGAUAGCCGCCUCCAUGCUUUGCCAGAAGCUCAUACUCUUCGACAGAAUCCUUUUGGAUCACCGCUCCAUACGAGAAUUUGGCGACGUAUCGACUGUAUCAAAUUUAUCCGGGAAUAAGAGCAGUUCAAAGGAAUUAGAAGUUGUGAAACAAUGUACCGAGAACUUACUCGAUGUACGGCGACACUUCUGUUAAGUUGGUGAAGAUAUACAACGAAAUGAUCUGCCAUUCUUUGAAAUCCAACAUUAAGGAAUUAGAAGCACCGUCUUGUGCGAGAUCCCCUUUGCAUAGGCUGAGGUCGGAUCCACCCUUGUUAGGGUCGUCAGCAUUGUACUGAGGCUUCGGAUUAUGCAAAUGACGAUUUUUGGCUUCGUAGUGUGCUGUCACGAAGUUUGCCGCCUCCUCAGUAAUGAAUGCCUCAGCCAUCGAUGCUUAAAUUCUACGUUUAUUUUUACAUCUUGCUCGUAGCGUCUUCUGCAUCCUCUCAGUUGCGUAGCACCAACAAUUUUGCACGCCCCCCCAAUCUUGCCUCGGUUGGGAGAUGCAAAAUCAAGUGCUGCAUUGGAUUAAAGAAGCCCGGCGGAAUGAUCUUCUCUAACUUGUAGAUCAACUCCAGUGCCAACUCUUCCAUUUUUUCUAGUAGGCCAGGCGAUAGUUCUUUCGCACAAAGAACAUAGAAGAAAUAGCUCAGCUCUGCUAGUACUAGCCAUUCAUCCUCAGGGAUGAAGCCACGCAACAUCACCGGCAUUACCCGCUCAAUCCAUAUGUGCCAAUCAUGACACUUGAGACCAAAUAUCAACGUCAGGAAAAUGUUUUUUCUUUGCAUAAUCUGUCCGGGGGGGAUUGAGUGGAAAGACAAAUAUGGGCCAACAACUGUAUUGGGAUGCCGUCAGACCAAACACACUGAACCCAUCCAUGCUGAUGCCGACUCGAGGAUGCCUUGGAUCUGCCGCUUUGUCAUCAUGUAAUGCAUCGAAGCGCUUCCAUGCUUCACCGUCCAAUGUGUGCACCAUCAUCAGCUUCCCAUUUGCAUCUAGUUGGGCUCUUUUGCCCGUUUUGUGCCAUGUCAUCUGUCUGGCCGUCUCUUCGACCAUGAAAAGACGUUGAAGUCUUGGUACGGUUGGCAUAUACCGAAGAACAUUAACGGGGAUUUUGGUCUGCGUCUUAUCACCCAUACCGUUGUCUACCACAACAUACCUGGAUGACUUGCAAAUGGGACAAUAGUUCAAGUCUGCAUACUGAAGCCUAAAUAAGGCACAUCCUUUCUCACAGGCAUGUAUCUUCUCAUAGGGCAUCUUAAGAGCACGGAGGAUUUUGUCUGACUGGUACAGGUUUGCAGGUAGUACAUGGCCUUUGGGUAGGAAACAUACAAAUACUGUCAUCAUUGCGUCGUACCAUUCUCUGCCCAAGUUGAAUUGAGCCUCCAGAGCUAUUAUUUGUGAGAUGGCAUCCAGCUGACAAAGCUCAGUGUGCUCGUGGAGAGGACGUUUUGAAGACUCCAACAUUUCAUUGAAGGCCUUUGCAGAUUCCUCCAUCUCAUUGUCCGAGCCCCGAGCAUCAUCAAAGUCUUGUACCAUGUCUUGCAUCCCGGUACCAUGCUCGUUGGUGCGACGAUGAAGCACCUCAGCUCUGGCAUGUUGGGCAGACUCGCAUGAAAUGUCCACACCGUAUAAUCUGGCGUAAAACCCCUCUUCUGCAGGUGUUUGCCCAUUUCUUCCUCUGUCCUCUUGUGCCAGUUGUUGCACCCGGCACAUGGGCACCAUGUUGUCCUCUGGCCAUUUGCAAAUGCGGCUCUCAGAAACCCCUUGGUUUUGUUAACCAUUCAAUGGUGAUGUCUUUCUGACUAGUGUGACCGGUGUACAUCCACGCACGAUCACUCAUCUUGCCUAGGUAUUGGACACAUAAGAAAUAUAUAUAUAUAUAUAUAUAUAUAAAUGAGCAUGUAUAUAUUCAUCAGUUAAUGGAGUUUGUCACUUUUAUUAUGUCCAUGCAACCUAGAUGCUAAUAGGUAAAGAUAGGUCCUAAUCCCACCCGAGUAUGUGUAGAUUGGGUUCAUUUUCCCACGCUCUGCUCCGGAUUCGGCAGCACCUCCCCGCCAUUCUCCUGAUACAUGUCUCGGCAAUAAGCAAAAAUGAUGUGUACCCGGAGAACAACAGGGAGGCAGUGACAAAAUUCUACAUCGGAUCCAGAGCAGACCUUAUGGGAAAACGAACCCAAUCUACACAUACUCAGGCUGUCCAUGGAUAACGUUGGACAAUUCGAAAGAACUACGGUUAUAAAUAUGCAAAUGCAUGCAUAUUUAUAGAUGUAACCCUUUCGAACGGGAGACGCAUAGUGGUCACACAUACUGAUGAUUGAAGACACCUAUAACUAGAAAGUUUCAUCGGCACAAAGACCGGAACAGAGCAAAUGAAGGGGCGAGGAGGAGAUGUCAUUUGUGCUCACCCACGAACCAGGGGCGGAGCUCGUUGAACUAGACCCCCGCAGCGACGAAAAAACUGCACAUUUAAAUCAAAAGAUGAGUUGUAACAUCCCAGAUUUUCAAUUUGGAAUGUUAUACAUUAGAUCAUCAUUGCAUAUCAUAUUUAUUGCAUUUUGGCUAGAUCCUAGAAAGUCUACGCAACUCAAGGACCCACAGGAGAGAGUUGGGGAUUUCGUUAUUUUCAAAUUUGGGUUUUCUCAAAUUUUGAAAAUAGGAUCAUUUGAUUUGAUUUAUUUUAUCUUCAAUUAUUCCAAUUAUAAAAAUAUGAGAGAGGGAAUAAAAUGACUUUCCCAAAAUAAAGGAAUAAUGAGGAUUUUUAAAAAAUCAAAUAAGAUUUUAUUUUGGAGUUUUUCGCUAUUUUAUUUGGAUAGGAAAAACAUGCGCGUUUUUUAAAAUUGCAUUUAGGCCCCAAAUAAAUGUUCAUCUUGUCCGGCUUGAUUUUAGAAGUCGAGGAAAAUUUAUUUCGGGAUUUUUGGAGUUAGUUCAGUAUUCUUUUGUUUUUCUCUGCGUAUUUAUUAAAAAAACGAAACCGACUAUGGGCCGUGUUCGGCCAGGACUCCGCCUGGCCGGGUCCUUUAUAAGUCGCGGCCCGACCCCGCCGUUGGCCCAAGCCGCCGCCGCCCCCAAACCCUAACCCUAGCCAGACCCCGCCGCCCGCCGGAUCCGCCACCGCCGCCGAUGUCNNNNNNNNNNNNNNNNNNNNNNNNNNNNNNNNNNNNNNNNNNNNNNNNNNNNNNNNNNNNNNNNNNNNNNNNNNNNNNNNNNNNNNNNNNNNNNNNNNNNNNNNNNNNNNNNNNNNNNNNNNNNNNNNNNNNNNNNNNNNNNNNNNNNNNNNNNNNNNNNNNNNNNNNNNNNNNNNNNNNNNNNNNNNNNNNNNNNNNNNNNNNNNNNNNNNNNNNNNNNNNNNNNNNNNNNNNNNNNNNNNNNNNNNNNNNNNNNNNNNNNNNNNNNNNNNNNNNNNNNNNNNNNNNNNNNNNNNNNNNNNNNNNNNNNNNNNNNNNNNNNNNNNNNNNNNNNNNNNNNNNNNNNNNNNNNNNNNNNNNNNNNNNNNNNNNNNNNNNNNNNNNUGUUGCCAGCGCCGCCCGUCCCGACGCCCGACACCGCCACCCGCCGACCCCGCCGAAGCCCGCCGGAGCCGCCGCCCCUCGCCGAGGUAGCCGCCGGAGUUGUUGCCGCCACCGGCGGUUUUCUCUAGAAAACCGCCCGGUUUUUUUAAAACUGUGGUUGUUUUUAUUUUUUUAGAUCGGUUUAUUUUUUUCUUUUUUCUCGGUUUAGUUAAUUAGCGAGCGUUCGCGCGUUCGUUCGUUUUAACGAACGUAUUCAUCGUUUAGUUACAGUUAACGAACGUUCGUUCGAUAAACUGUUCAUCAGUUUUUCUUUUUCUCGGAUUUUCCGCGAUUAUUCCAGAUCGCGAUUUCUGAUCCGAUUUUCGUUCUAGUAUAUCUUUUCGCUCGUUUAUCGGAAUCAGGUGAUUCAAGCGCCUAGAGUUUCGUCUUGAAAUUUUCUUUCCGUUUAACCAACUCAAACAAGUUUUUGCUAAUGUAAAAUUUGACUUAGAUCCAGAUUAGUAAAUGAAGCUUGUUUCUUUCGCCGUUUGACUUUCGUUGCUUCGUUUGAUUUGAUUCUUUUUGCUAACCGGAGUUCUUAAGUUGAACUUUCUGGUUAGAUCUUUUAUUUGAGUUUUACCUUUGCAUUAUUUGAGUGCUUACUGUAUGCUUGUUUGUUUGCGAUAGAGUACCCGGAGUGCGCCGCUUGCUACUUCGAAUCUCUAGGUUUCACGGAUCAUCAGCAAGGCAAGUAACACUUUGAUCAUACCUCUUUACUACCCAGUUUUAUUGCAUUAGACCAAUCCUCAAACAUUGCAUGAUUAGGAUCUAAUUAAAUUGUGGGUAUUGGGAAGUAGAUGAGGUAGUACCUAUUACCUGUUUUGUUAUCAAACCUUUGGGGAGUUACUUCUGCGUUUGCUCAUAUUGCUAUGCUAUGCUAGUAGACGUGGAUUGGGUGAGUGUAUCCAUGACAGAUGUGAGAUUGUUAAUUUAAUGGUUUACUUAAGGUGGCAACUUAAACACACAUCUGGGUGGAUUGAGGCACCUGGGUAUUCCAGUGAUUGCCUGUUUUCUUUUGGACCGCCACCCAGGCUCAAAGGGAUCAUGAGAUUAUUCAUGCUAGAAACUUCCGUGUGGAGCUACAAGCUAUUAUGGGCUCUAGCAUAGUUGAAUAAGUUGUGUGAACUCUUACAGUGGUAGACUAGCAGAUGUAGGGGAAAGUAGGUGUAACGGUCUACCCGAUCGUAAGGUGCAAACACUUCUGAAAGACUAUGUCUCGGUCAUCCGUCACUCAAACACCAUGUAGUGCGAGUAAUCCAACGGAGGAGAUCGAGUUUUGUGGGGAAAAGUGCACAAACCUAUGCAGAGUGUAUAAACUAAUCAUGAUUAGCCGUGUCCCCGGUUAUGGACAUCUUGAGUAUCUAGUACUUGGAUUAUCAUGUGAAUCUCAUCAUGUUACUCAAAUUAAUUUUGUUGGGUUAAGGAUGAUACUUAAUUGGGAUUGAGAUGCUGUCAACCAUUCUCAAUGUUUAACAACCACCAUGAUAGUUAAAUAAAAUUUAUUCCUUUGUAGUAGGGAAAAAUUGGCUUUUUCGCAAAACUGUAACCAUAGAGCUUAACACCAGCCAAAUAUGCAUGUAGUAUAGCUUUAUUCUGUUCAUUACUCUCUAUGUGUUAUUUUGCCAGCAUAUUCCAUGUGCUGACCCGUUUUCGGGCUGCAACGUUUCAUGUAGCAAACUUUUCAGACGAUGAGUAAGGUGCCUUAGGUCGUGGUCUUAUACUCAGUGAUGCCGUUGGAGUUGAUGGACUCACUUAUCUUCCAAGCCUUCCGCUGUUAUCGUUUUAGAUGGCCUUAAGCCAUAUUUGUCAUACUUAUUUCUCUUUUGAGAUACUCGAUGUAAUAAGUGUGUGAUUGCUACUCUGUUAUAAAUCCUCCAAGUACUGUGCGUGUCUGCAUUGCUGAUCCAGGGAUGACACUGGUGCACGGUAGAUCAGACUGUUUGAGGUCUGGUCGCUACAAGGUGGUAUCAGAGCACACGCUGACUGUAGGACACGACCACUAAGCUUAAACCCUAGAACACUACUCUCUUCUCAUUUCUGACUCCUCUCCAUUUUCUACUCUUUUAGGAAUGGCGGAUGCAAGGAACAAGUUCAUGCAACCGGAUUAAGAUACACCUUUUGGACGACACUUGAAGGAAGUCACUAGAUACCUGAACAUCGGAAUUCCAAGCUUCACUUGAACUUACAAUGCCACACUACCAGAAGAAGAGCGCAGGAUGAUUCAAGUUCAAGUUCCAGGAAGGACGUUCAUGCCAGUCACUGAGCCUAUAGAGUUUUCCUUUGAUGCACCAACCUGGAGUUUAGGGAAGAGCAGGGCAGCCCACAUCACUAUGGGACGCAUUGGAGAAGUCUACCACAGGGAGCUUAAGGAUACUAUUUAUCAGAUUUGUGGGCGCCGAGAUGAGCAAUGGGAGAUGGUCAGCACCAAGAAGGAUAGAUCAAUUGCAGCUUUCAUCCACGAGCAAAACCAACACAUUCGUCGCUAGGAGAACCAAAUGUGCACAGGCAUGAUAGAUCUGAAGAAGGCAUUGACCAAGAUCACGGAGUUGGAGGAAGAACUCAAGGCUACGCGCGAGGAUUAUAUGGAGGAAAUCGUCGCACUGGUGGAGAAGAAUGACGAACUGGAAAAGAAGAUCGGAGUAUUCAUGGGAGACCCAGCACCAGGAGGAGAAGACGAUGAUUACGCUUGCCCGGAUAACUACAUCAUCAUCGAUGACACCAACUCGGACCCCAGUGAAGAUGAUUUUGUUGAUGAAGCUGGAGCAGAGAUCAUGGAGUCUUCGACCGAUCAAAAUUUCUACUAGACCACCAUAAUCAGUAGUAGUAUUCCCCCAUGUAUAUAGUAUAGUCCGAGCACUUUGUAACGAUAGUUAGAUUGAUUGUAUGCCUUGUUUGAAUUUAUUGAGUGAUAUUGAUGUGUUUGUCUCAUGAGCAUAUGGGUAGUGUUUUCUCUCUAGACCUCAUUCUAUUCUAAAUUCUCAUCUUUUCUAAAUCUAUCAGAUGCCUCUGAGAUGCGACACCGGAUUUGUUUUCCCACCGGAGAUCACUCAGUUGAUUCAACAGCAGAAUGCCCUGAUGCAAGUGUUAGUACAGAACCAAGGCAACAACAACAACAACAACAACCCACCGCCACCACCUGUUGAUCACUUAACCCGUUUCUUGAGACCGAAUCCGCCGGUGUUUUCCAGCAGCACCGAGCCGAUUGUUGCAGAUGAUUGGCUCCGCAAAGUUGGAAGGGAGUGGACCACUGCAGGAUGCACAGAUGCGGAGAGCGUGCGUUUUUCCGCACAUCAGCUUGAUGGACCCGCAACAUCAUGGUGGGAGAAUUACACAGCCACACACCCUAUUGACACUGUCACAUGGGACCAGUUUCAGCAAGCUUUCCGUACUGCCCAUGUUUCAGCAGGAGCUAUGGCUACGAAGAAGCGUGAGUUUCGCAACCUACGCCAAGGAGGACGCACCGUAGGCCAGUAUGUGGGGGACUUUAGUAAGUUAGCACGUUAUGCUCCAGAUGACGUUGGUACAGAUGCAGCUAAGCAGGAGAAGUUUCUGGAAGGACUAAAUGAUGAGCUGAGUAUGCAGUUGAUGGUAGCAACCUUCAACAACUACCAGGAGUUGGUAGAUAGAGCUCUCAUGAUUGAAGGGAAGCAGCAGCAGAUUGAAAGCCGCAAGAGGAAAUAUGGACAAGGAAAGUACAAUUCUGGAGCUCAUCAGAAGCCAUGUUUUACCCCAAAUUCGGGAGGACCUUUUCAGCAUACCCAUGGAGCAGGAGGUUCGCACAACCAUAGUGGACCCAAGAAUGGUAUUGGGAAUGGAGGAAGCAACGGACAGAACCGUAAUAACCCAUCUACCCCAGUUAAGAGAGAUCUGAGCCAAGUCACUUGCUACAAGUGCCAGAAGAUUGGACAUUAUGCUAAUGAAUGUCCCGAAGCUAAAAAUGGAAAUGGCAAUGGAAGCUCUGGGAAGAAGCCUAACCCUUUCAAUAAAGGACAUGUGAACCACGUCUACGUGGAGGAGGUUGAAGCACAGCCUGAUGCAGUAAUAGGUAGUUUUUGGUUAAGUCAUUUACUGCACUCGUUCUUUUUGAUACUGGUGCAUCGCAUUCAUACAUAUCAAGGGGAUUUGUGGAUAAGUAUAAACUGCCCACCAAAGUUCUUAGAACACCUAUGUUAGUAAGUUCACCAGGAGCCGAGUAUAUGGCAAGCCAAGGAUGUUUUUAGAUGCCAUUGUCCAUAGGUAGGCAUGUUUUCCCCUCAGACUUGAUAAUCUUGGAAUCGCAAGGUUUGGACGUAAUUUUGGGUAUGGAUUGGCUAUCGAUGUACGGAGGAAACAUCGAUUGCGCCAGUAAAACGAUUUCGCUUACCACCCCAGAAGGAAGAAGGAUUAAGUAUGUAUCCCGGCAUCUGCCGAAGAGGACUCAAGUAAAUUCCUUAUCAGGAGUUGUACAGGAGGAAGUACCAGUGGUGAAGGAUUACCCGGAUGUAUUUCCAGAGGAGUUGCCAGGCAUGCCACUGGAUAGAGACAUUGAGUUUUUGAUUGAGCUUUUGCCAGGCACAGGGCCAAUAUCAAAGAGACCGUACAUGAUGCCCGCAAAGGAUUUAGAGGAAAUUAAGAAGCAGAUUAAGGAGUUACUGGAUAAAGGCUAUAUUCGCCCAAGUUCUUCACCUUGGGGUUCGCCAGUGCUUCUAGUGGAGAAGAAGGAUGGAUCGUUAAGGAUGGUUGUUGAUUAUCGAGGAUUGAAUGAAGUGACCAUAAAAAAUAAGUACCCACUGCCGAUGAUCAAUGAUCUGUUUGACCGAUUACAAGGAGCUAAGGUAUUUUCCAAGAUCGAUCUACGAUCAGGAUACCAUCAGUUGAAGAUUCGAGAGCAGGAUAUACCUAAGACGGCUUUUACCACCGGGUAUGGGCUGUACGAGUAUACCGUUAUGUCAUUUGGUCUGACUAACGCACCUGCCUAUUUCAUGAACCUGAUGAACAAAGUGUUUAUGAAGUUUCUGGAUAAGUUCGUCGUAGUAUUCAUUGAUGAUAUUUUGGUUUACUCAAAGAAUGAAGAGGAACAUAAGGAGCAUUUGCGUUUGGUACUUGAGAAGCUCAGAGAACAUCGGUUAUACGCCAAGUUCAGCAAAUGUGAGUUUUGGUUGAAGGAAGUUGGAUUCCUCGGACACGUUAUAUCCGGAGAAGGAAUAGCAGUAGACCCCACCAAGGUUGUCACUGUGACAAAUUGGGAAGCACCCACAUCAGUUGGAGAGAUCCGGAGUUUUCUUGGACUUGCAGGAUACUACCGGAGGUUCAUUGAGAAUUUCUCGAGGAUUGCUAAGCCCAUGACAGAGUUGUUGAAGAAGGACACCAAGUUGAAUUGGACUGAGGAAUGUGAAGCUAGUUUCCAAGAGUUGAAGAAACGUUUGGUUACAUCACCAGUGUUGAUUCUGCCAGAUCAACGCAAGGAUUAUGAAGUAUAUUGCGACGCUUCACGUCGAGGACUUGGAGCAGUGCUAAUGUAGGAGGGAAGAGUUGUUUCAUAUGCUUCACGACAACUUAAACCCCAUGAGAAGAAUUAUGCCACGCAUGAUUUGGAGUUAGCAGCCGUAGUGCAUGCGUUGAAGACAUGGAGACAUUUUCUCAUCGGAAAUCACUGCGAGGUGUACACGGAUCACAAGAGUUUGAAGUACAUUUUCACGCAAAGGGAGUUGAAUCUCAGGCAGAGGAGAUGGUUGGAACUCAUAAAAGAUUAUGAUAUGAGAUUGCAUUAUCACCCCAGAAAGGCUAACGUAGUAGCCGAUGCGUUGAGCCGCAAAAGUCAUGUCAACACACUCAUGAUCGGAGAAUUACCCAAGAAGUUAGCCGAGGAUCUUCGUGAACUACGUUUGGAAAUAGUUCUGAGAGGCUAUGUAGCAACAUUGGAGAUUCAGUCUACCUUGAUGGAAAAGAUCAGGGAAGCUCAGAAGACAGACAAGGGGAUUGAGGAGAUAAAGAAAAGGAUGAGUAAAGGAAAAGCCAAGGGAUUUCGUGAGGAUGAGCACGAUACCUUAUGGUUUGAGGACCGCGUUUAUGUGCCCAAUGAUCUGGAGAUCAGGAAGUUGAUCUUGCAAGAGGCCCAUGAUUCGCCGUAUUCGAUUCACCCAGGAAAUACCAAGAUGUAUUUGGAUUUGAAUGAUACUUUCUGGUGGACCGGAAUGAAGAAGGAUAUUGCGGAGUAUGUAGCAGUUUGUGAUGUAUGUCAGAGAGUGAAGGCAGAGCAUCAGAAGCCAGCAGGAUUGCUACAGCCAUUGCCGAUACCCGAAUGGAAGUGGGAUAAACUAGGCAUGGAUCUUAUCACGGGAUUGCCCAGGACUCGUUCAGGCUAUGACUCGAUAUGGGUUGUAGUCGAUCGUUUGACGAAGGUAGCUCAUUUCAUCCCAGUGAAGACCACUUACACCAGUGCUAAGUUGGCAAAGAU
rnacentral:lncRNA from 1 species